ACGGAGGCUAGUGCCAACCUCAUUGACAACUAUGAAUUUCAUCACUGAAACAUUUAGAGAUUGAGAUUGGGGAAUGACGAAGCAUUCUGAGAAGUCCAAAAAAUUCUCCAAAUGCAUAGACCUCAGUUUAUUUAUUUAUUUAUUUUGGUGAAACAAAACUAAUGUCUACGUAAAUGUAGGAGAAAAGUAGAUAAUUAAGAUUAAAAAAUUGCUUUGAAGUUAGUAAAAUAGGAGAAGGAGGUGCUUUGGUAAUGUUAUAGAACUCAGAGUUAAGGUUGAUGUAAAGUCUUUUAGUAAACAAUAUACUGAAAAUGGGAGUUAUUGGAGAUUGUAUAUGGUCAUCCAAAGCAAGUCAAAAGCAUGACACAUGAACUCUCCUGAAAAGGUUAACUGGCUAAUCUUGAUCGCCUUUUAUUUGUUCUGGGGAUUUUAAUGAAAUUCUAAUGCCUUUUGAGAAGAUAAAAGGGAAUGACAAAGAUGUUAAUAGGAUGCAUGACUUUAGAUAAGUAAUUAGAGAAUGUGAUAUGGUAGAUUUAGGGAGCAAAGGACAUCAUAUUAUAUGGUUUAACAAAGGUUAUUGCCUUUCUUUGAUUGAAGAAAGAUUGGAUCAUAUUAUACGGUUUAAGUUUGGGGGUGUGAUAAUUCUAUGAAAUGAGAGUUAUUACGGAAAUUCUAGAUUUAAAUCAAGACCACUUAGAGAGUGAAUGAUGUGUUUUUAUUAUAUUUUGCAUAAACAACCAUUUUAGUUAAGUCUUAAUAAGUUUUGCUUGAUUUAAAGUAAUUUGUGCUCAAAACAUGUGCAUAAUUGUAGGUUUUCAGAAGUUCAUAAUUCAUGAAGGGAUGCUGAGAUAUUAGGCUAGCAAGAAGAAGAAAGAAUAUGGCCACAAAAGAAGUGAAACACAACUGGGAACAGUGCAGUGUUAUAGCCAUUGCUGGAGCGACCAUUGCUGUAGCAAUCCUGGAACACCGAGGGAGAAAACUUAGCGUAGGUUAGCUGUAGAAUUGCGAUAUGCGGUUUCUUAAUUUGACUCAUGUAGGCUCGAGGCUUUUGUUUACCCUAGUUUUCAGUUAUAAAAGGAGACGCGCAUCACAUAAAACGGCGGCAAGGAAUUAUCUUUGGAAAAAUUGGGAAAAAGAAGAAGGAGAUCAGAACUCAAGGGAACCAAUGCCGCAUCAGUGAAGAAUCCAGCAGAGUUAUUUGGAUUCACUAUCCAUCGUUCUUCACUCUUUGAUUAAACCAAUGUAUUUCAUGACUAAUAUGUUGCUGUUUGUUUUUUUCUUUCAGAAUAUGAACUAAACUUGGUUGUAGUUGAGUGACAAACGAUCUAAUGGGUUCUUGAUUGUUCUUAUGAGUUGCUAUAUCAUUGAUGUAGCAUUUUACUCUAGUAGCUAUUAUUAUAAUUGUUAUUUCGGUUGACCACCCAUUUAAUGGUUCAAAUUAAGAUAGAGCCGCAAAAGGGCAUGUCUUAGUGGAUAUUAUUAGAGUAAUACUUGAUCUUAAUUUAAGUUUCCUGGAUUAAGUUUAUCUUGAAUCCCAUAAGGGCCAUACUUAAAGUUAAGAUUUGUGAUAACUUAGACAUAGGUACUCACCUUGUAGGGUGGAGAGAAUGGAUGUUCAUAAUGUCAUGCCAUAGGUAGAAUAACAAUUGGUCAUUACUAAGAUACUUACGGGUAUGAGAAUUCCAAUAUGCGACAGCUGAGGAUGUAAAAUAAAUUUUGCCCAAUACUAUAGAAAUUGAUGUAGCAACUGGUGUUAACUUGAUGAAAUGCAGUCAGCCCAUAAAAAGAGUUUGAUCAUUCAACUAACUUAUUUUCAUUUAAUUCUUCGACACAUUUUUAUUUAAUUUAUUUCAUUACUGCAUUGUUUCAUUUUUAUUCUCUCACAAUUAUCAAUUUCAAUAGUAACCAACUUUACAUUUGUUCCUCUCGGAAUCAAGGUAGAUUGCACUAUUGUGAUUACUGUAGCAUUUCUAGUAACAUCAAUCCCUGUGGAGACGAUCUUAAAUAUUCAUCACUUUAUUACUUGUUGUGUAUACUUGGACAUUAGCAUCAAUAGCAUUAGAAUAUACCCAACAGAGUGGCAAAGGGUAUGAUUUAACUACAAAGAGGUUUGAGGCAGGGUUGCCCUCUCUCGUCUUACUCAUGCAGAAAAAAUCAAAGCAGUUUAUCAACAGUUUAAAGUUUAAUAGAAACUUAUCAAUCACACAUCUCUUCUUUGCAAAUGAUAUCCUUACAUUUACAAAGGUUACAACUAUAGGUACAAAUUUAAAGGCUAUUUUUUAAACUAUUAUGCAGCUACUUCAAGUCAGAUCCUUAAUUAUGAGAAGUCUUCAACAUUUUUUUAGUGGAAACACUUAAGUUAGAUAAAUUGCUACAAUCAAAAUCAUCUGUUAGCUCUAAGUUGUGUCUUGGCAUGAGAAAUAUCUUAAUUUGCCAUCCAUGGUGGGAAGAAAGAAGGUGAGUUUUUUCGAAGGUAUCAAUCUCAGAGUUUUAAAUAAGAUAUCGAGUUAGCAAAGUAAAUUAUUUUCUAGUGGUGGGAGAGAAGUGCUCAUCAAAGUAGUUGUCCAAUAAUAUAUGUUUACACCAUGAGUGUUUUCAAGAUUCUGAUGGGUUUAUAUGAUGACAUUCAAAAGGCAAUAGCAAGAUUCUGGUUGAGUUCAAAAGAAUAUCAAAAAAACAUUCAUUGGGCUAAAUAGGAGAAAGUAUGCAAAUUUAAAGGUAGAAGGGGUAUUAGGAUUUAAGGAAUUGUCUAGCUCUAACCAAGCUCUAGUGGCAAAAUAAGGCUGGAGGCUCAUGAAGUUUCCUAGUUCACUAAUGGCAAAAGGUUUUAUUGGCCCAAUAGUUUAAGAAGUCAAUUUUUUUAAAUGCAAGUUAGUAUGUAAGCCAUCCCUUAUAUGUAAGAGCAUUAUUUCAGGUAGACAAGUGCUUUAUAAUGGUUUGGGAUGAAUAGGUAAUGGAGAACAAGUGUAGAUUUACAAAAGUUUUUGAAUUCCUAGAUCAAUUACUUUAAAUAUGUUGUCUACACUAACACUGCCCUUGAAAGAGACUACAAUAUCAGCUCUGAUUGAUAAGGAACACAAGUGGAAGGGGGACUUGACUUGCUAAAUUUUAUACCUGAAGUUGCAGAUCAGAUUAUAAAGAUUUCACUCCAAUAAUCUUAAGACUUGAUAAGCCUCUUUAUUCUUUUGAUAAAUAUGGUAACUACUUAAUGAAGAGUGGGUACAAACUUGCACAUAGACUAAAGAUGCGAGACUAUCCAAGCCCUUCAAGAUCAAGUAUCACCGAAUGUAAUGCAAUUUGGAGGCUGGAAUUGCCAGAAAAAAUAAAAAUUUUUAUGUAGAGAGCUGUUCAAAACUUCCUUCUAGCAGUUGAGAAUCUAUGGAAAAAGAGAAUCUUACAAUAACCAUGGUAUCAAAGGUGUGGUAGAGAAGGAGAAAAUGUUGCUUAUGCCCACAUAACCUGCAAAGCUUUCAAAAGAUAUGGAAAAUCAUAACUUUUUAAACAAAAAGGCAAUGCCUUGCAAACCAAGACUUAUUGAACGUUCUACAAUAUUUGAUAAAAUGAGACGCAAAUCAGAUCUGUAACUUUUUAUUCCUUUGUUUUGAGCUAAUUGGCAUCAAGAAAUCUUUUUAUCUUUGAAGAGAGAAGGAAGAUUCACAAAUAUCAGUGGCUAUAGUUGAAGCAAUAGUAAAGUCAUAUAAGAAAAUCAAAUCACCCCAAAAAUGAUAUAUCUCAAUAAAUUCCAGCAAACUAGACUUACAAACCUCCUCCGGGAGGCUCUUUUUAAGGUGAAUAUGGAUGCAGCAACAAAGUUGAAAGUGCAUACUGCAGGAUUAUGAUAAGUGAUUAGAGAUUCAGGGAAACUUAAUAACUAUAGCUAUGAAGAAAUCAACAUUCAGAUUGAGACUUGAAACUACAAAAGGGCUGCUUGUGUGCCACUGAUAAAUGAAAUUGAUUGUUAAGAAAUUGUUGAACUUAACAAAUGGAGGAAAUGUAGUCAAACCAAGAUCUCAUGGACCAUUACUGACACAGAAGAGAUGUUAAAAAGACUAAGUCAGGCUAGAAUGUAGCACACUUUAAGGCUAUGUAAUGGCAGUACACAUUAUCUAGCCAAAAUGGCUUUAAACAUUGUAAAACCUAUAAUGUAGGUGGGAACUUCUUUAAUUCAUAUGAUAUAUUUGUUGUUGUUGUUCUUCUUCUUAAAAAAAAAAAGAUUACCUUAACCUUAUGUCAUUCAAAUAGUGAAAAUUUAUGACUCCAAAUGCAUAUUGCAAAUUUGCCUAUAAUUGCCUUUCUAUCUAAUCAAGGAUUUCUAUAAACUAAUUCACCAAUAAAUCACCCACUGUUUUAACAAACCAUCAUAUAAAAAAAAUAACCAUGGAUAUUGUCUUUCAAGCUCCACAUUUAACAAACUAAAUAUUAAUCAUACUUUUAAUAAGACCCAUCAAUAUCCUAUGUUGGUGUUUAAUGUUAAUAAAAUCCCACUUAAUCCCAUAUCAUUAGGCUAUUUUCUUGUCCAAUGUGACUAAUUAAAAUCAUUAAUAAAGAUUUUGCUGAAAAUUUGGCAGAGUCUCCCCUGCAUUUUGACAUUUUCAACUUGUGAAUUUGAAAAACAAGCACUCCAAAAUAAUCCAAUAUUCAACCAACUUUAUUGGUCAACCUCAACCUCCUCAAUUAUAAUACAAAACAUUAUAGUAAAUAAAACACUUUAAUGAUCUAAUCCAAAUAUUACCCAACAUCUCCAAAGUAUUAAAAGAGUAAUGCCAACAUACUUUAAACAUCCAUAAUCAUUAAAUCAUAGAAUAAUUAUACAAUCCAAAAUGAGAUGUUCAAAAUACUCAAAUAAUAUCAUCCAUGUCUCUUAGCACCAUCAUGUACAGUCACUAUGUUGACUAAUAUACUUGCAAUCUCUUGUGAGAGAAAAAAUAUAAUAAAAUGGGGUAAGUAUAAAACUUAGUGAGUAUAAAACAGUUUUCAAAAUAAAAUUUUCUUUAAAAUUACUAUGUUAUUGCAAUAUACAUACAAUUUUCGUGGACUUAUAUAUAAGACAACAUAAGUAAAAUAUUUAGAUUUUAAAUCAAUUAACUAGCUUUUAGGAAAAGAACACACAAUGUCGUACAUAAUAAUCAUGAAAAUCAUCUUAAGGGGAGAAAACACACACAUGAUUUAAAACUGUCACUAAGCAAGUACCACGAAAAUAACUUUGUCAUACUUAGAUCUCAUAUGAGUGGUGCAAUGAUUUAUUAAAAGACAAUGUCAUGUCCGAAGCUCAACAGGUAGACCAAUAACAUAGCAUCUCAUAUAUUUAAUCAUACUGCAUGAACAAAAUAGCCUCAAAGGGCAAAAGUACACAAGCACAUGGCCCGAUGUCUUGUGUGCGCUCAAAUGAGCCCUAAAGGCCUCUAUGUCAAUUGUACCUCUGUAUUGUAUCUCUAUAAUUGUAUCUCUAUAACUAUAUCUUUAUACUCAUCCAUGUGUCUAAAAGGGAUGGGUACAAUUUAAUAAUUUUGAAAACAAACUUUACACACAUGUACAUAAAGCAUUUUAAACAUAUUUGAAGUCUAAAUUCCUUUUCACUAAACAUAUUUUAAUAUUAAAAAAAAUCAAUGAAUCAUAUCCUUUAAAAAACGUAUUAAUUUGCAAAUAAAAACUAUUUUGAGAAAACUUGAAGCAUUAAAGAUUUCUUUGCAAAAAUGAUUUACUUUUCUAAUAUUAAAAUAGUAAAAGAAAAAUAUAAAAUAUAAGUUUAAUAUAUUCAACUCAAAAUGACCAUACUCAAACUUGGUUAAUCUCAAUAUCUUGGCAUUGUUUCACGGCCAUGGCUCUUUUAAAUCAAAGGAAACAUAAGCAUCCUCUAAAUUAAUUAAACUAAUUCUCAACAAAUUCCUUAACCAAAACCCUUAUAAAAACUUCAUGGCCUAAUUUGAUAUAACUUUUUACCCAUUUAUAAGCCAUUAAAUGUUAUUUUGAAAUCAUAUCUGACAAUAGUUCUUUUGAAAGCUACCAUGUUAGCACAAACCAGCACCCUUACACUUUGUAAAUUUAUCUUUCCAAUUCACAAUCUAAAGCCUUUAAAGUAGUUUAAACUUUAAAACACAAGCUCUUCUUUCACGAGAGCUCUCAUGCGAAUAGAGCUUCGUGAAUGGAAGCAUUCUUAGGGGUUGCAGGACCCAUAUGGUCACUCCGAGAGUGAGUGGUUUAGUUCUUACCAGUAGGCUCUUUAGCUAGAGCUCUGGAAGGAAGGCAGAGAAGGAGUAUGAUAGGUGAUAAGGGGUAUUAAUAUCUCAGUGUUAGGUUAGUCAGGUGUUUAAAGUUUGCUCAACCUCUUAGCAUUAAUAUCCAUGGAUACAAAAGAGUUAAUUCGCAAAUGCAGAGCAAUCACAAUACGAGAGGAAGACAGAACCCAAAUGUCAGUAAAAGUAAAUAUGAAAGCAAAAAGAAGGGAAGUUUUGGCAGGAUGCCUGGUGGGCAAAAUUCUGCUGUCUAGAAGUGUCAACAAAGAAGGUCUCAAAAGUGCUUUGCAACAGGCUUGGCGAACACUCAAAGAAGUAAAAAUUGAGAGCUUGGGAAGCAAUAUUUUCAUGUUUAAGUUUGUAGUUGAGGCAGACAAAAGAAGAGUAAUCAUGGGUGGCCCGUGGCACUUUGACAGAGCUCUGAUAGUUCUUACCGAGCCAAGAAGAAUUGGGGAGAUCUCCAAGCAAUCAUUUGUUUAUGUUUCCUUUUGGGUGCAGAUCCGCAAUGUUCCAAUUGCGUGUAUGGAGAAGGAUUUUCUUUAUGAGCUAGGAGGAAAGAUUGGGGAAGUAGAAGAGGUAGAGACUAACGAAAAUGGAGAUUGUAUUGGGGAACUUGCUAGAAUAAGGAUAACUAUCAACAUAACACAACCAUUGAAGAAAGUAUUAUUUCUCAAACAAGAAGGUGAAACAGAUAUACCAAUGCCAGCGGUGUAUGAACGAUUGCCCGAUUUUUGUUUCUGCUGUGGUAUCAUUGGGCACCAAUACAAAGAAUGCUCUAAGUACCAGGGGCAACCAAAAGAAGACUUUCCCUUUGGGGUGUGGAUGAAAGCUAUCACAAUUGGAGGACGCCUAAAGAAAUACCGCAACAAAGAGAGAUGGCAAAACGAAGGAAAUAGAGCUGCGAAAUUGGCAAGCUCAGAGCAGUAUGAACAGUCUCAACAAAAUCAGCAAGAACAGAUGAACCCGAACGAUAAAAACGGGUUAGAACCCGAUAUGGAGGAAAUGAGUCAAACUAGAGAGCAUGACAGCAACAUCGAGGUGCAACGGGUAGUUGAGAAGCAUUUAAUGGAGGGAGGGACAGAACUGAUGGCUAAGAAGCAGGUAGACGGCAAAAUGGAAAGGGUGGUUAUUGACAAUGUAACAGCACCUAGAGAACUGAGAAUUCAAGCGGGAGUUGAAGUAUCAAAAGUGAGGGAAAAUUCGAAAACAGCUGGGGUUGAGAUGUUUAAGGAGAUAAUGGGCCCGAAAGCUAUCCUUAAUAGCCCAACCAGAUUAAAUUAUGAGGAAACAGAGGAGGAAAGAAUAAGAGAUGGCCUGGGAGUUUCUCAAAGUCAAGCUAACCGACAGAAAUGGAAAAGGCAAACUCGAGCCUUUAAGAGUGAAGGAGGAAUCAAGUUGGGAUCAGGUGCUCAAAAAAGACCAAACAAUGAGGCAAUAGGGCUAAGCCCGAAGCAAAAGAAAUGUAGAGGUGCUAGCCCCUCUCCAGCUAAAACAAAGAAACACACUACAGCAGCAGCAAUAACUAAACAGCUCUGGGAGCCACUGGAAAUGGAGGAGAUGGAGCUCACAGCUACAAUCACAGAAGAGAGAUCGGCGGAGGCUGGUAGCCAGCCCCGCCGGAAGCCAUGAUAGUGCUCAGUUGGAACAUUCGGGGUUUUGGGGAAUCCCCGAAUGUUUCUAGCUCUCAGGAAAAUUCUCCAAAUGCACGGUCCUCACCUUGUGUUUUUAUGUGAAACGAAGUUGAUGACCUCGCAAAUGAAUGGGGUGUGCAAUAAGCUUAAUUAUGAAAAUUAUUUUGCUGUAAGUAGUAUUGGGAGAGGAGGUGGCCUAGCAAUGCUUUGGAACUCAGACACGAAUGUGCAAGUCCAAUCUUUCAGCAAGCAUCAUAUCGAUGUUGAAAUCCAGAUGGACAAUGGUAGACAAGUUCGAUGCACAGGGGUCUAUGGUCACCCAGAAACGAGACAAAAACGGCACACUUGGACUUUACUGAGGCGCCUUACAAAUUUAUCAACUAGUCCCUGGCUUUGCUUCGGAGAUUUUAACAAAAUCCUUCAUCCAUGUGAAAAGAGUGGAGGAAACAAGAGACAUCCAAAUUUAAUUCAUGAUUUCAGAGAGGCCUUGAGGGAUUGUGACCUUCUGGACGUGGGAUUCGAGGGGUACCCUUUUACUUGGAGCAAUGGCAGAUAUGGUCCUGGCUUUGUCAAAGAAAGGCCUGACAGAUUUAUGAGUCACAAUACUUAGAGGGACAUAUUUUCGGAUUGUGCAGCCACCAACAUUGACACAUGGACCUCAGAUCAUUGUCCUGUAUUGAUGAAGGUUCAAGAACGGGGCAACGGGAUAACAAAUAACAAAAGUCAGGCUUCUCGGAGCUUCUACGAAGAUAUGUGGAGCCCUUAUGAUGCGUGUAAAGAGAUUAUUGAGGAGGAAUUGAGCUGGCAAGGGAGCGGGAAUAGUGAGAACCCUGUGCACCUAUUUCAAAAAGUUUCCAAGAAUUCCUUGGCCAGGCUGCUGCAAUGGAGUAAAGAAGAGUUCAAAGGUAGACAAAAGAAGUUGGAAAAGCUAAUGAAGCAGCUUCAAAGCCUCAAGCAGAGAAGAGUGCAGUAUGAGAAUGGGGAUUCGAUUAAAGGGGUGGAAAGGAAAAUCCAAAAUAUGCUAGCUGAUGAUGAAAUAUAUUGGAAACAACGCUCAAGGGCUGACUGGCUGAAGGAAGGGGACAGAAACACAAAAUGUUUACUAUAAGGCUUCAUCUAGAAAGAAGAAGAAUCGGAUUUGGGGAAUUGAAAGUGAAGCGGGAAGGUGGUUGGAUAAAGCUGAGGAAGUUGAGUAUGAAUUCUGUAAAUAUUUCUCCAAUUUGUUCACUUCAUCCAAGCCGAACCAAGCUCAAACAACAGCUGCUCUUUCUGGAGUUUCUCGGAGAGUUACUAGUGAGAUGAAUAGAAAUCUAGAGAUGCUGUUUAUAGCUGACGAAGUAAAGGAAGCUCUUUUUCAAAUGUGCCCGACCAAGGCUCCUGGUCCCGAUGGCUUGCCGGCAGUGUUUUAUCAAAAGCACUGGCACUUGGUUAAACAAGGGGUUAUCUCUACAUGUCUUCACAUCUUCAAUAAGCAAGGUACCUUAGCCCCUCUCAACCACACUUACAUUGCUUUAAUUCCGAAGAAAGAGAAACCUAGGAAAGUUACCGACUUUAGGCCUAUUAGUCUAUGCAAUGUCAUUUAUCGGAUUGUUGCUAAAGCCAUAGCUAAUAGACUUAAGCAUGUUAUGCACAAAAUUAUCUCCCCAAUGCAAAAUGCUUUCAUUCCCGAUCGGUUGAUUACUGACAAUAUCAUUAUAGGCUAUGAGUGCCUCCAUAAGAUAAGGCAUUGUAAAGGGAGAAAAAAUGGAUUAGUAGCCCUGAAGCUUGAUAUCAGUAAAGCUUACGACAGGCUAGAAUGGAAGUUCUUAGAGCACACAAUGGAGUCUCUAGGAUUCUCAAGGGGUUGGAUCAACCUAAUUAUGCGAUGUGUUAGCUCCGUUUCAUUUUCAGUUGUUAUAAAUGGGGCUGUGAGCAGGGUAAUUCAACCUCAACGAGGUUUACGCCAAGGUUGCCCACUCUCCCCGUACUUGUUCAUCAUGUGUAUGGAGGCCUUUUCUUCCCUACUACUUCAAGCGGAGCAGCAAGGGCUCAUCCAUGGUCUGUCAUUCGGGAAGGACUUAAGGAUCUCUCACCUCUUGUUUGCGGAUGAUAGUCUGGUCUUCACGAGAGCGUCGGUUGCUGAUUGUCAAAACUUGAAAAGGAUCUUUGACUGCUACUCGACAGCCUCUAGUCAGCUGUUCAACUUCGAGAAAUCAUCAAUGUUUCUCAGCGGUAACAUCCAGGAUGGGCAAGCUUCAUCAAUUAAGGAUAUUUUUCAGCUCAACAUUGUCUCAAGGCAUGAAAGAUACUUAGGAUUGCCUUCCAUGAUUGGAAGGAAGAGAAGUAAUUUUUUUAAUGACAUCAAGCUGAAGAUUUACAAUAAGGUAUCGAGUUGCCAACAUAAAUUCUUCUCCUGUGGGGGUACAGAGGUUUUGAUUAAGGCUGCAGCUCUGGCCAUUCCUACAUACGCAAUGAGCAUUUUUAAGAUUCCCUUGGGCAUUUGUGAUGAUAUCCAGAGAGUAAUAGCAAACUUUUGGUGGGGCUAAAAAAAGGACAAGAAGAAUAUUCAUUGGUCAAGAUGGGAUAAGCUAAGUCAGUCUAAGUGCAGAGGAGGUAUGGGAUUCAGGGACUUUUCGAGCUUCAAUCAGGCGUUAUUAGCAAAGCAAGGCUAGAAUCUUACAAGCUCGAUACUUCCAGAACAAGGACUUUUUGAGUGCAGGGCUCGGCUCCAAGCCAUCUUUUAUAUGGAGAAGCAUUUUGUGGGGUCGGCAAGUUAUUUCCAAGGGUUCAAGAUGGAGGGUGGGAAAUGGUCAAAGCAUUAUGAUCCAUAAGUCAAAUUGGUUACCCAGGCCCUCUACCUUUAAACCAAUUGCCAGACCAAAUUUACCAGCUGAUGCAGUAGUUGUUGAGUUAAUCGAUGUUGAGCAUUGCUGGAAUAAGAGACUGAUUUACAGUGUUUUUGACAAAAUGGAUGCGGCAACUAUUGUUAGAAUCCCUCUCCUUAGAAGACCAAUGAGGGAUGAAGUUAUUUGGCAUUAUAAUAAGAGAGGUCAAUUCUCAGUCAAGAGUGGGUAUCGGGUUGCUUUGAGCCUGAAACUUCCAGCCACUCCAUCAAGUUCAGAAAAUCCCAAUAGUCAAUGGAAGUUUAUCUGGUUGCUUACUCUGCCUGAGAAGAUAAGAAUUUUUGUGUGGAGGGCUGUUAAGAACAUUCUUCCAUCAGCUGAAAAUCUGUGGAAGAGGAAGAUUAUUCAGGAACCCUUGUGUCAGCUCUACAAGAAUGGAAUGGAGACUAUUUUUCAUGCUCUAGUUGGCUACAAAGCUGCUAAGAAAAUCUGGAAAACGACCAGAUUUGCAGAGGAUUUGAAAGGUAGCAGUGAUCAAGAUAUUCUGAGUUUUCUAUUGGCUUUAAAUUCAAAGAGAAGCAAAGCUGAAAUGGAGCAUCUGGUGGGGAUCCUCUGGAUGAUAUGGAAUGCAAAGAAUAGCUGGCUCUUUAAAGGAAAAAAAGAUACUCCUUAAAUCCUUGUUUCCAAGGCUGAAGCUGUGAUAGAAGCUUAUCAAAGAACCCAAAAACCAGCAGCUGCUCAUAUUGGCAAUCAGAGAAGCUUGAUCCGCAAGGCUUGGAAUCCUCCCCAAAGAGGGUACGUCAAAGUUAACGUGGAUGCUGCUACCAACUCAGAAAAGCAGCUUUCAGGCCUUGGGGCUGUAAUUCGAGAUGAGAAUGGGAAUGUGAUUGCAGCUGCUAUUAAGGUAUCAAGAUUCUAUGGGGAAGCUGCUUAUGCAGAAGCAGAAGCAGAAGCCAUUGAUUGGGGCCUGCAAAUUGCUGAUCGAGCAAGCUUAAGUUCGCUGGUGGUGGAAUCAGAUGCUCAAGAAGUUGUUCAGUUGGUAAACAACAACCAGGGCUGCAAAUCCGAGAUAUAUUGGAUUAUUUCAGAGGUGCAAAGUAUGCUGGAAAAUUUUAACUCUAUAAGUGUUCAAUAUACUCAUAGAUCAUGUAAUGUUUUAGCCCACUCUCUAGCAAAACUAGCUUUAGAGACUUGAAACUAUUGUGUGGAUGGGUUCAUUCCCCCCUCAUUUGCUGUACUUAUUUUCUUCUGUGAAAUGAAAGCAUUUUCCUUUAAAAAAAAAAAAAGAAAGCUACCAUAUUAGCUAGCUAAUCACCAAUCAAUGUCAAUCCUCAAUAAUUUACAUAUCCCCCAAUUUCAUGAACCUUAUACAUAUCCAAUUAUAACCACUUUAAUUUAUUUUCCCUAUAAGAACUUAAUUUUAUAUUUUGAGAAAAUUCUACUCCAAGAUUCAGAUAUCAAAAUACCUAAUCCUUAAAUUUAUUUAAUAAGCAAACCCAAAGUUUCAUCAUAAAAAAUCAAAUUAAUCAUAACACAUAUAUUUCUACAUAAUUAACAUUCCUCAACUUUAAACUUUUCUUAAACUUAAAAGUAAUAUAUAAUAAAUGAACUAAUAUUAGAAAAAUGAAUACAUUCCCAAUACAAUAUUUCUGUAAAACUUAUGUUUAUUUUUAAUAACUUUUUAAUCUUUUGCAAGCCUCCAAAUCCCAAUUCCAAAUCUAGUAGAAAACUCAACAAUUAUCAAACCUAUCUUGAAUUUCAUAAAACUGCUAGGCAGGGCAGAGGACAUAUAAGAUUAGAGGGCGCCAUGGCCCUUACUGAAUUUGAAAAAUUUUUAAGGUUUAUAAGUAAAAUAUGAGAAGUUAGUGUAAAAUGUCCAUAUUGGCCCCUGCACAAUUAAUGUAUAAAGUAUAUAUAUUAGAUCAUAUUGUAAUUUUACUGUUUAGCCCACUAAUGAUACCAUCAAAAUAGUAAGAAACAAAUCCGUCAAGCCCACUAAAACCCAAUAAAUCACUAAUAUAUAAUGACAUAAAAAUUGAAAGUUUAAAUGGUGGGGCUUCCAUGAAAUUUUCCAGUCAACAAAUUACUCUCCCAAAUUUGUCAUUCUCCCAGCUCACUCUCUCAAAGCUCUUUCCUAAUUCCUUCUUCUUUUCCUUUUUUAUUCUUCUUUUCCUUUUUUUAUCUUCUUCAUCCCUCCCUCAUGGAAACAAAUAUUCUUCAAUAAUACCUAAACUGCAUUUUCACAUAAAGAAAAUCUCAAAUCACUUUUCUAUUUCCAUAAGUCACAAAUCACAAAUUUCUCACAAAUAAAUCCCAAAUUUGAAACGCAUUUAACAGUUAAAUUCUUCCCUUUUCCUUUAGGCUUUUUUCCCCCUCUUUCUCUAUUUUUUCUUCUUCCUUGUUCUCGUUUCUUCUAGUUUAAAAUCCUCCCUCAGUUUGGAGCCCCAUGGCCCCACCCCAAAUGAAGUUAAUUUUGAAUAGUUUUUGGGGAAUAGGGUGGGGAAUGAGAAAAAAUAAUCCCCAAGUUCUUAAUGGGACGAGAUUUGAUUUUGUACUCCCCACUCCCCCACAUCCCAAUCCCCAUUAUAUAUGAAUAUUUUUUUUAAUUUUUGUUUUAUUAAUUUUAAUAUUGGUUAAUAAAUUUCUUUUUAUUUUUACCUAAUAUUAAUAGGUUAUAAUUAAAAGAAAAGUCUAACUUAUAAUUCUUAUUCAACCCUAAAAUAUUAUUAUAUUUUUUUUCUGUCUUAAGAUGCUACUCUCUUCAAAUGUUUUUUAAUUUUGAUAUUAUUUCAAAUUUUUGGUAAUAUGGUAAUAAUUUUAUUUGAGUCUAUAAUUUUUAAUUUACUGAAACUAUUUAUUUACUCAUAUGGGGAUUCCCCAUUCCCACCCGAUUAAAUUUAUUAGAGGAUGGUAUGGGGAAUGGAAGAUAUAUUUUUAAUGAGUUGGGAAUGGUGUAGGCCUCCCAAUCCUCACCUCGCCCUCCCCUAUUGUCAUCCUUAAAGAUAAGCGUCUUUUGUCGUUUGAAAACAAAAUAUCUAUUUUCUAGAAUUUUUAUUUUUGUGGGCCUAAAAUGUAUUAAUGGUCUUUGGACUGUCGAGAUUGGGCUUUUUUUUGUUGGGCCUUAAAUGUAUUAACAGUCUAUGGGCUUAGUCUAAAUGUCCUAGAUUUGGCUUAAAAAAUAAUAAUAACAAUAACAAUAAUAGUGAGUAAAACUAAAUAAAGAAAGGAAAUAAGAAUAAUUAGUUGGGGUAUUUCACUUGCAUAUAGACUUUGAAAUGUUGUGCAACUGCUACAACUACCUUAAUACUUGACAAUGUCACAAGUUGAAGAUUGAAAAUGAUGUUUGGUUACUUAGAAAAUACAGGAAAGUGAAAAGAAUUAAGAAAUAGAUCUGAGUAAACUUCUGAUCUUAUUAAUCAAAAUACACUCAUAAUGUGUGUUGAAUUAUUUCUUAUAUACAAGUGCUUAAGUUCAGCUUGAUAACUGAAUAUAACAACCUUUAACUAAUCAGUCACGUGUACACAUAUUUCAUAAUCACCAGGCAUGACAUGACAUGCCACAUCAUCAAUGCGUAACUGAUUGAUCUUGCUGCUAUCAUCCUUUGUUCUGUUGAGUACAGUACAAGUGUGAGCUUCCUUAACAUCACAAAACCAAAUCGUUAGCUUCUCCCGGUGACCUUGUCAUAAGUUACCUGCCACAAAUAAUAACCUCAUCACAUCAAACUCUUCAAAAUACUAAUCACUAACAGAUAUUUAAUCUGGAAUUGAAGUCUUCCCAGCUGCUAGGAGAGCAUCCAACAGCUCCCCAUAGCUUGUUGUUUGAUGUUAUAUACUCAUUGCUUAUGUCAUAUAUUUAGUCUACUAUAUUUAAUGCUUGCUGAGGAUAUUAUGCCUUUGUUUAUCUAGUGUUCUGUUAAAUAUUCUUUUCUUUUGAUCAGAACCGAAAGUCCACCAGUGAUGUUUUACCCUAAAAUCUGUUUGGUCCAGGAUUUGGCCGGUAGAUCAUUUCGAGUCUCCGUGGCUGAAGCUAGGCUUCCAAGGCAUCAAUUUCAAGCUGUGACAAAACUGAUUCUCAGUUGUUUUGAUUCUACCAUGAGCGUGCGUGUGUUAGAAGUCUGAUUAUUGAUUAUAUCAAAUCAUUGUCUUCACAGACAGGUCAAUGAUAUUAUUUCUGCAGAUGUGGCGACAUUAAUCCUAGUUUCCUUAUUACAAUUUCUAACUAAUUUCACAGGUCCUCGGAAAUUUGGAGCUGCAUUGAUUUGAUCUUCAUCCAAAGGCUUUGAGAACAGGAUCCUUGCGCCGGCGGCAUGUACCAUUUUGGCAAUCUAAUCUUUGUGACGCCUGCUAGAUGAACAAGAGCUAAGCUGUCUAUUGCUAGCUUUUUCAUUUAUAUUAUUUACACCAGAAUUAAGAUGAGAAAAGAAACGUAUAGCCUAAAGUUUGACUUGAUUUGACACACGACAUAUCUAUUUUUGGUCUAGCCGUUCAGUUUAUGCUGGUAGGAUUUUUGUGAUUGCGAAAUCAUUUCUUCUCAUGUAUUGUUUGGCUUGCUAGAAGGAUCUUUUCUUUUUAUCUGUGCAGCACUCCGAAUUUCUGUAGAAAAUCAAACUCCAUCUUUCUUUUUUUUUCCCCCACUCUCAUUUCAUCUUCCCUUCAUUCUUCUCGUUCCUUUAUUCGAAAUCCAAUCUCGAAAAGGAAUUCACAAAUAACAUCCCAACAUUCUAUAAUUUAUCAAUAGCAGCCCAAUUUGAUGUGUUCCAUUUUUUUUUAUUCUCAUUUUUUAAAUAUCCACUUUUUCUUUCUCUAUGUUGUGAACGGGUAUGAGUUAUAUAUCUUUUAGUUUACACAAUGUUUAAACUCCUCGAAGGGUUUCGGAUGAUACCAUCUUCUCAAGAAUUCCUGCAGAUUUAUCAGCAAAUGAAGCCUAGAACAUUCUAAAAGAGGAGUUUCAAGGCAAUGCUAAGCUAAAAGCUAUUAAAUUUCAAUCUAUACAAAGGGAUUUUAGAAGUAUUAAAAUGCAAGAUCUAAGGCUAUUAAAAAUUAUUAUUCAAGAGCAAAAGAUACAGUAAACUAAUUGAAAGCAUAUAGGGAAGCUAUUAAUGAUAAACAGGUGGUGGAGAAAUUAUUAAUUAGUGUCCGAGAAAAACUUGACCCAAUAGUAACUGCUAUGGAAGAGCCAAGAGACAUAUAGACUCUUCCCAUGACAGAACUAGCGGGAUCUCCUCAUGCAUGGGAAAAAAGGUUGAAUAGGCAUAAUGGAAGUUCUGUUGAAAGUACAUUUCGAUCAAAGUUAAAUAUGCAACAUCAAAAUUUUAAAAGGAGAAGUAAUAAACAAAAUUAUAGAGGAGGAGACAAAAAUGACAAUAAUCAUAAAGAAAGAAAAUCACAAGAGAAGAAAAGCUUUCUACCAUGUGGCAUUUGUGAAAGAACAAAUAAUUCAUAAAAGGAUUGCUGGUAACAUGGAAAGCCGAAAUACUGAAAUUUGUAAAAAAAUUCGGGCACACAGAAAAUUUAUAGAUUCAAGAAAAACAGUCAAGCCAAUUUCUUUGAAAAAAAAUGAGGAGGAGCUCUUUUAUGCCUGUCAAGCAGCCAUGUAGGAAAUGAAUGACACGUGCUACAUAAAUAGUGCUUGAAGCAAUCACACGACUAGGGGACGACAACAUUUUCUACAAUCUCGACACAUCAAUAAAGUCCCAAGUCAAGUUUAGGAACGGGGCACUGGUAGAAGCACAAGGAAAAGGUACGAUCGCGAUCCAAACUAAUAAAGGAAUUAAAUAUACCAAUGAUGUACUUUUGGUGCCAAGUUUGAAACAUAAUUUGCUGAAUGUCGGUCAAAUGAUCGAGAACGGAUAUUCUUUACACUUCACUGGUUAUAUUUGCACAUUAUUGAACAAAGAUACAAAGCAAAUAAUAGUCAAAGUGAAGUUGCAAAACAGAAAUUUUCCUAUCCAAUGGCAGACAAUCGAUACGGCCAUGAAAACAGAGCUUGAAGAUUCAUGAUUAUAGUAUAAAAGGUUUGGCCACCUUAACUUCUAUGCACUAAAGAUUCUUCAGCAGAGGAAUAUGAUAAGAGACUUGCCAAGAAUCAAAGAAAUGAGUGACGUAUGAGAAAGAUGUCCUCAAGGAAAACAAUAACAGUAGUCAUUCCCACUAGAAAUAUACAAAGGCCCAAGGCACCACUGGAGCAAGUGCAUACAAACUUUUGUAGACCCAUGAGGACUCUGUCACUUGAAUAAAGUAGGUACUUUAUAUUGAGUAUCGAUGAUUUUUCUAGAAUGAAAUCGGUAUACUUCUACAUGAAAGAUUUAAAGUACUUGAUGUCUUUAAGAAGUUCAAGAACCAUGUUGAGAAACAAAGUGGCCACUAUAUAAAGACGCUCGGAAAUGACUUAGUUAAAGAAUAUACUUCCAGAGACUUUAAUAAGUUCUAUGAUGAUGAACGAGUCAAGCAUCAGCUGAUAGUAGGCUACGCUCCAAAACAAAAUGGAGUUUGAUCACGAUAAUAGAGAUGACAAGGUCAACACUACAUGAGAAAGGAUUACCAAACAAAUUCUAAGAAGAGUCUGUAAACGCUACAGUGUAUCUGCUAAAUCGAUGUCCAACUAAAGUUAUACAAAACAAAACUCCAAUAGAAACAUCAAGCAAACAGAAGCCUUUCUCAGAAUAUUUAGAUGUAUCUGUUACGUUUAUAUUCCAACUAAAAAAAGACAUAAGCUAGAAGAAAAAAUAGAGAAAGGCAUACUCAUGGGGUAUAACAUUGUAUAUACAAUGUAAGAACCGAGAAGCUUGUAGUCAGCAAGGUGUUGAGUUCAAUGAGGAAACCUCAUGGAAUUGGAAUAAAGAAAAAGCCAAGAAAGAAGUAUUAUGCUUCCAACAAUGCAAAAAAGGACAACAAUGCAAGGACAUUUAGAAGAAGCAGUAGAAGGGACAGAUUCAGAUACUUCAGACUCAUCCUCAACAUCACUAGAAGAAUCAUCCUCUGAUUCACCAACAAGAAGAGUUCCAGAGCUCGAAGAAAUAUAUGAGUCAUGCAAAUUACUACUUUAGAACCAGAGUUCUAUGAAAAAGCAACAAAAGAAGAAGUAUGGAAGAAGGCUAUGGAAAAGGAAAUCAAGAUGAUCGAAAAAAAAGACAUGGGAACUAGUAGAGUGUCCUCAAGACAAAGAGAUCGUUGGAGUCAAGUGGAUACACAAAACCAAGAUCAAUCUUGACGAUUCAGUUAAAAAAUACAAAGCACAGUCUGUGACUAAAGGCUAUUCACAACCGCCAGGCAUCGAUUACAAUGAGACUUUCAUUUAUGGAUACAAUACGAGCACUUAUGGCACUUAUAACUCAAAAUGGUUGGAAGAUUCAUUAGCUUGAUAUAAAGUCAGCAGUGAGGAUAAGAUUCUAAAACCAAAAAAAAAAAAAAGCCUUUAAUGCAUUGAAGCAAGCACCGACAGCAUAAUAUAGCUACAUUGACCGCUAUUUCAUCGGUUAGGAAUCAAGAGGAGCAAAAGUGAGCCGACGCUAUACAUCAAAAGCCGAGUGAAGUCAAAUACCCUGUCUCUUUAUACGUAGAUGAUUUUAUCUACACAAAAAAUAAAAAGAGAAAAUACUACUACAACUCAAAAAUGUCAAAGUAACUCAUUAUUCAAGCAACUUAAUAAGGCCACGUCAGCAAAAUGUUGUUAAUGAAAAAUAGCAGCUCAGCAUGAUUUGUUAAAGGUCAUUGUCCAGCUCAUAAAGUUGUUAUGUAACAAAUUGUAGCUGACUUGUUAGUUAGAGAAAGUUUGUUACUUAUAAGUUAUUGUCACGUGUGAGUAGUUGUACAUAUAUAUGCAUUGAUAUGUAAACGAUGCUAUGGAAUGAAUCUUAUGGAAAUUCAUUGUUUCAUUUUCUCUGAAAUUUUCCUUUAAGCCAAACAACACAUCUCUAUUUUUCUACUUGGUAUUAGAGCCAAUAAUGGCUAGCUAAAGUACUACCUCACAUCAACCAAUCAUAAACUCAAAUCAACCUUCACAAUCAUCAUUUACCUUUGCUGCUACUGUGAAACCUGAUCGAUCAAAUUUUAUACUUUGGCGCAAAUAAUUCUUAAUUUCAAUAAGAGGAAAUCGUCUUGAAAGAUUCAUUUUAGAACCACAAAUCAUUCCAGAACAAUAUCUAUCUGACUCAACAACUAAGGGAUCCGGUGAAAGCAUUGAAAAUCCAGUUUAUAUCAAUUGGAGAGCACAAGAUCAAACACUUCUUGGCUGGCUGUUAUCAACUAUCAGUGAAGGUAUUCUGAGUUCUGUUCUUAGCUCUGAUACUUCUUUUGACGGGUGGAGAUCCAUGAAAAAUAGUUUGGAGUUCAGUCUGAGGCUAAGAUAAUGCAACUCAAUAUGAAAUGAACAUUCUGAGAAAAUAUUCAAUGACUAUUGAGGAGUAUUGUGCAAAAAUGAAAUUGCUUGCUAAUUAACUUGCUUGUGCUGGUGAUAUAAUUACUGAAAAGGAUUUGUUAAUGAGAAUUUUGAAUGGCUUAGGCCCUGGCUAUCUAGAUCUGGCCUCAAUCAUUACUGUAAAUAAGAUGAGUUAUGAUGAUGUUUAUGCUUUAUUAAUGCUUAUGCUUUGUUACUGACACAUGAAGCCAAACUUGAACAAAAUUAGAGUGUGAAAACUAUGUUUAAUGUAAAUUAUGGUGCAAUGAAUGUUAAUCAUUCUUAUAUGAGUGGAAAUUUUAGAAGAGUGCUUUUGGAUUUCCAACAGGUAUUGGAUAGAUGAUUUAAUGUUGGAAGAGGCAUGUUUCAUAAUUCAUAUCCCAGAGGAUUUCCAACAGGUAUUGGCAAUUUUAAAGGUUAUGGCAGAAGACAGGCAAUGCAAUUUUUCAGGCCACCUGUGAAAUCAAAUUUUCAUCCUUUAGCUGACAUACACUCUGAUGAAUAAUCAACUAUGUGUUAGAUAUGUCACAAGGCAGGACACACAGCAGAUGAAUGUUCGCAUAGAUAUGAUAACACUCUUUCACCAUUACCUAAGCACUUUGAAAAGGGCAAAUCAAUUGGAUCCAAGGCUGCUUAUAUAGCUAAUUUUGAUCCAUUUACCAGUUAUGCUGCUCCAACAAUUGAAGAACAAUAUGUUGCCCUUUACUUAAACUACAAUCCUAUAUCCUACUCAUCUUAUCCAUCAACAGAGACAACUGCUCUUGAAGCCUACCUUACCAACUAUGAAAGACCUACUGAUGAAGGAUGGUACAUAGACAGCGGUGCCAUACAUCACUUGACCAACAAUAUGGCUAAUAUGAAUGUUAGAGAGGCGUUCAAAGGAUCAGAUCAACUUGUCAUCAGCAAUGGACAAGGUUUGCCUAUAACUCACAAUGGUGAUGCAUGUUUUACUUACAAAGGAUCAAAUGUUGCAUAUAAACCAACACAUAUUUUGCUUAAAGAAAUGUUAGUAGUGCUUAAUAUUAUAAAUAAUUUACUAAGCAUAUCAAAACUAACAACUAAUAAUAAUCUUUAUGUUGAAUUUGUUGGUAAUGUCUGUUAUGUGAAGGAUUCUAUGAAGAGGCAAGUGCUUCUAAAAGGACUUGCUGAGAAAGGAUUGUAUAAAUUGCUUCUAAACCCAUCUCUUCCCAAUUCUUUCUUGUGCCAAUCUUCUUCCAUUCAACCAUUAUCAAUGCUGUUUGCAUACUUUUUUUACUCGAGUGUCCUUAAAAAUAGUCAGAAUAAUGAUUCCAGUUAUGUCUCAUCUUGUAAUGCAUCAAUCAGUAAAUGUUCUAAAUACAUUUCGUCUUGUGAUGCAUUGAAUAAUAAAGUUCUUCUUUUACACAGGCGUUUUAGUCAUCUUAAUUCUCAAACUCUAAUGCAUUUGCUAAAUAGUAUUGCUUUUGUUAAUCUCUCAAGUAAUACCAUAAAACAAUCACUUGAACAGAUCUGUGAAGCAUUUCAAAUGGGAAAAUCUCAUAAACCGCAUUUCCCUAUCACAGAAACCAAAACAACAAAACCCCUUGAACUUAUACCCACAAACUAAUGGGGAUCUUUACCUACACCUUCUAGAGAUGGCUAUGACCAUUACAUAAGCCUUGUUGAUGAUUUUAGCCAAUACACUUGGAUUUAUCCUCUUAAACUAAAAUCAGAAGCAUUAAAUGUUUUCAAGUUAUUCAAAUUGCAUCUUGAAAACCAAUUUGAUACCAUUUACUCAAUUUUUAAACUAAUGUAGAAUUAUCUUUAGACACUCUUGCCCUUAUACACAUCACUAAAAUGGAUUAGUAGAAAGAAAACAUAGACACAUUGUUGAGUUAUGACUCACCUACACAAGCUAAGGUACCACUUAAGUUUUGGUGUGAUACCUUUCAUAUAGCUAUUUAUCAUAUUAAUAGACUACUAUCUACAACCCUGAAACCUCUUACUCCAUAUGAGAAAAUUUUCAAACACAAACCUGAUUAUAACAUGCUCAAGUGCUUUGGUUGUACAUGUUAUCCUUACUUAAGAAAUUAUAAUAAGCACAAGUUUAAUUAUCACUCAAGCAAAUACAUUUUCCUUGGCUAUAGUCCAUUCAAUAAAGGAUAUAAGUGUAUGCAUUUAUCAGGCAAAAUAUACAUAGCCAGACAUGUUGUUUUUUAUAAGUCUGCAUUCUCUUAUUUCACAUAUUCAAUUUUUCAUUCCAAUGAAUCAUCAUCAUUUUCAAGUCAAUCUUUUACACCUCAACAAGUAUACCAUUUAUCCACAUUACUUCUAAUACCAGUUUCAGUUGUAAGCACCUCAUGCAAUCCUCUAUCUGCAAUUUCUACCAGCAGUAGCUCUCAACAUUCAGAUAAUUUUCCUCAUACUGACAAUCAACAUUCCCAUUUGCAAUCAUAUAUACCAACCAUUGAAACAUCUACAGAGCCUCAAAUUUCACCACCUUAACUUGUACCCUUACACAUCAAUAUCUAUUCAAUCUAAUGUACAUCCCAUGACUACUAGAAGCAAAGCUGGUAUCUUCAAACCCAAACUUUAUGCUGCAACCCUUGCUCACAAAGAACCUGACUCUGUGUAUGAAGCAAUGCAAAAUCCAAAAUGACUUACAACCAUGAGAGAAGAAUAUGCAGCCUUAAUACAGAAUGAUACAUGGUCCUUAAUAAGUGGGUAUAUAGGGUGAAAUAUAAUAUUGAUGGAAGUGUGGCCAAAUACAAAUAUAAGUUAAUAACAAAGGGUUUCAACAGAGUAUGAGAGCAAAUUGUUUUGAAACAUUUAGCCUUGUCAUAAAACUAGCAAUUGUGAUAGUGGUUUUAAGUCUAGCUGUGAUGAAUCAGUGGAAGAUAAGACUAGUUGAUGUGAAUAAUGUCUUUCUCAAUGGAGAGUUAAUAGAAGAAGUGGUCAUGGAUCAACCAGAGGGGUUUAUUAGUGCUGAAAAAUCAGAUUAUAUAUGUACGCUUCAUAAAUCCCUUUAUGGUCAUAAACAAGUUGCAAGAACUUAGUAUGAUAAGUUGAAAGAAUGCUUGUUACAGUGGGGAUUUACAAAUUCCAGCUCUUGAAAAGAAGUAAGUCAUCUAUGAUCCUAAUCCUUAUAUAUUGAUGACAUCUUAAUAACAGGACCAGAUAUUUCUGAGCUAGAGAACUUUAUUGCUGAAUUCAAUACAAAAUUUGCUCUGAAAGAUCUUGGAGAUCUUUAUUAUUUUUUAGGCAUUGAAGAACUAUAUGAUAUAUAUUUUAUUUUCUUGUCUCAAAAGAAAUACAUAAGGGAUUUAUUGUCAAGGAUUGAAAUGAUCAAUUGCAAAGACAUUGAUACUCCUAUGAGUAUAGGACUGAAACUACAGAAGGAAGCUCAAGGAAAUCUUGGUCAUUAUAUUGAAAAUGCAACACAUUAUAGAAGCAUUGUUUGUGGAAUGCAAUAUUUGGUAUAACAAGACCAGAGAUUGCUUUCAGUGUGCACAAAUUGAGUCAAUAUGUCUCUGCACUAACACUGCAGCACCUUAUAGCAUGCAAAAGGGUGCUCAGAUAUUUAAAGGCAACACAAGCCUAUGAACUCAAGUUCAUUAAGGAUGGUGAUAUAAAAAUAACAUUGAGGUGCUACUGAAUUAGCUAAAUUGAAAUUGCAAUGCAAGGAAAAGCUUGUUAUUUGGUGUGAUAAUCUCCGUGCUACUGAAUUAGCUCAUAAUCUAGUUUUUGACUCAAGGAAAAAAUAUAUUGAGAUUGAUAUGCAUUAUAUUAGAAACAAAGUUCUUGUUGGAGAAUUAAAUAUUCAAUACAUACCAAGUGAAGAGCAGGUAGCUGACAUUAUGACCAAACCACUCUCAUUCAUUCGGUUCAACUAUCUAAGAGUCAAACUCAAUGUCAUUCAUUAUCCCUUGAGUUUGAGGGGGGCUGUUAAAGUAGUUUAUUAUUCAAGCAGCUCAAUAAAACCACGUCAGCAAAAAGUUGUUAAUGAAGAAUAGCAGCUCAGCAUGAUUUGUUAAAGCCAUUGUGCAACUCAUAAAGCAGUCAUGUAACAAAUUGUAGCUGACUUGUUAGUUAGAGAAAGUUUGUUAGUUACAAGUUAUUGUCACGUGUGAGUAGUUGUAUAUAUAUAUGCAUUGAUAUAUGAAUAAUGCUAUGGAAUGAAUCUUCUAGAAAUUCAUUGUUUCAUUUCUCUGAAAUUUUCCUUUAAGCCAAACAACACAUCUCUAUUUUUCUAUAAAAAGAAAUGAUGAGGAUAUUCGAAAUGACUGAUUUAGGGUUAAUGUGCUACUUUCUUGGUAUUGAUAUAAGCCACGAAUUAAAAAGGUUUUUCAUAUGCCAGAAAAAGUAUAUAGAGAAUCUAUUGAAAAAAUUAAAGAGGUAUAGAUGUAAGGCCAUAGUCACACCAUUAACUACCAAUGAAAAGAAUACAAAAGAAGACGGGUUAAAGAAAGAUGAUGGUCUACUCUAUAGGAGUCUGAUUGGAAGUUUGUUAUAUCAAACAACAACACGUCUUGACAUAAUGUAUAUAUUAGUCUUCUUUCGAGAUUCAUGGAAGAACUAUCCCAAGUUCGCUAUGGAAGAUCAAGACAGAUACUGAGAUAGUUACAAGGAAAAUAGAUUAUGGGAUAUGGUACCAGCCCACACAAGAUGUAAAACUUAUAGGAUAUACAAAUAACGUUUAAGUAGGAUCAGUCGAUCACAUGAAGAGUACAUCAAGAUAUGCCUUCAUAAUUAGAUAAAGUAUAUUGUAACACCCCAAAUAUUUCCAAGAAUUCUAAAAGAAAUUUGGAAUGCAAUCUCUAAACAAUUAAUUCUUAUUACUAUUCCCAAAAGAAAAUCAAUAAUGUCCAAGGUUGAAACAUAGUCUCUAAAACAAUAAAUAUAACAAUAAUCCUCCAAUACCAAAUUUAGCUCUAAAAUAAUAAGCAAAAUAGCAACAAUUUAUCAAUCACGAAAAUGCCCAAAUCUUUCGGCUAACAAAUCUUCUUCUCUAAAACCAAAAAGUCCACAUCUCUAAAAUCACUCUGCAAAAUGUUGGAGACGAGGGAUGAGCCGUCAAUUCGGUAAGUAAACUCAUGUAUAAGAUUACUAAUAGUGAUGAAGUACAUAAUAAUUAUUAUUAAGUGCCAUGAAUCAGUAAUCGUUUUAUAAUCGAAUAGAUAUGUACAAUAAAGUUUAUAACCAAUUAUGUCAUAACAUAAUGACCAUUUUCAAUAAAUAAUCAUUUAUUAAUAAAACCUUUCAUUUGUUUAAUUUUGCUCAUGUCUCAUAGUGUCAUCUGUACUCUCGGUGACCCGGCUGGUGGUUCAAUCAGGGUACUUUACCCUACAAUAAUCGUCAAUAGGUGCACACAAUACAGUUAACUGUUCUGUCAUAUCAGUAAUGGUACCUACGAACAAUGAGCUAAAACUUUAAAAUAAUUUUCAAUCUUUCAAUAUCAAUCAUUCAAUAAUCAAUCAGCAAAAUCUCUUAUAAGACAUUUAAUUGGCAAAGCUUUACAAAUUAUUUUUACGGAAGAACAAUUUAUAGAACACAAGUUUUUUAAACCCUUUUUUUUAAAAAAACAAUUUAAGAAAGCAUUUUAAAUAAACUUUAAACCAAAAUGUAAAUCAUUGUUAUAAACUAUAACAACAAAAUACUUCAAAACUAUAAAUAUGCCAAUCCUUAUGAACAACAUUAUUUUUUUUUUCAUACAUAAAUUCAUACAUAUAUAAUAAACGUUAUGCAUGAAUCCACUUACCUCAAUUCGAAGCAAUCAAUAGUAACCCCAAAUACACGAGCUCACUCUUGACCUAUAAUUACCAAGAUGAGAUUUUCAUCGAUAUCAUAUUCAAUUCUAACCUUCAUAAGAUAUGCAACAUCCUUAAACCAUUAACUCUAGCCUAAACAAAUCAAUUCACCAAACCACCCUCAACCAUCUUAUAGGAGCUAAUUUCUAACAAGGUAUAACUAUUGUCGGAAAAAUAAAAAAAUAUUACAAAAGCUACUGUAAACAUGUUGGCAUUCAAUAUAAAUGUUAACAAAAUUAAUUAGAGUUGAUAAACAUUUCCGAAAACUAAUUUUCCACAAAAACAUUAAAACUGUCCAGUGACAAAAUAAACAGACGACUUCUGAUUCAAAAAUUCAUAAUUUUAAUUAUACAUGUUGUAAAAUAGUGAUUCAAGUUUUGAUCAUCAGAGGAGACAGUAAGGAAUCAGAAUUAAAAUUUGUAAAGCAUUUGCUAAUGAAAAAGCAACUCAAAUUCACUUCAAUAUCACCCCUUGAAAUUAUGGAAAACAGUUUCCAAGAUUGCGGCAGCCCAGCUUUAUGAUUUUUAAUGAUUCUAAUAUAAAUCCAAAAAUUACGAAAUUAAAUACAGAAAAACUAGACAUGUAGAUGUAUAGUAAUAAAAUUUUCCAGAAUUUUCGGAAGUUGUUUGGAUUAUAAAAUAAAUUAUAAAAUUGAGGAUUGCUGCUGAAAAUUGAAAUUUUCCAUUACCAGUAUUCCAACUUUGAAAAAUCAAAACAAUUAAUAUGCAAUGAGUUUUUGGACAGUAAACAUAUAGAUAGAAAGAUAAAGAUGUCUAGUUUAAUAAGCUAUGAUGAGACUAAAUGAAAACAACAAUCGUAUAGCAUUGAAUCUGCAAUGUUCACAAUUUUUAGGAUAAUAUACAUAAAAUUAGAAAUGUAAAAGAUUAUAAAUACCUACCUCUCUAAGAAGAAUUUCACUCCAGACUACACCCUUCAAAACUUAAAGCCUUUGCUCAAACACUUCUUGAAAAAUUUUGAAUGCAAAUGAGAGGGGGGUAUUUAUACAACAUCAAGGCACACAAGCUAGCCACACACAAAGAAAAUAAAAUAAAUAAAAACACAACCAAACUUAAUCAUUUAGCACAAUUACUCUACCCCAAUUUCUCCACUUACCAAACAUUAAUCAUUCAACAUCAUUACUCCACUCCACUAAUUUUUUAACUUACCAAACAUUAAUCAUUCAACAUCAUUACUCCACUCCUCCAAUUUCUCCACUUAACAAACAUUAAUCAUUCAGCAUCAUUACUAUCAUAAAAUAUAUAUAUUCUAUAAAAACAAUUCAACAUCUAAAUGACACUUUAAUCAUUCACUAUAUAUAAUAAGUAUAAAAUACUCUAUUAUAAAAUACAUACAUGAAAGAAAUGAAAUAAAUUUGAGGCUUUACAUAUAUUCUCAUGGUCCUCAAAGAAACAAACAACUGCACAAUCAAUAAUUGAAACAGAGUACGUAGCAGCAGCAAGUGCAGCAUGUCAAGCAAAAUGAUUAAGAAGAAUAUUUGAAGACAUGAUAAGAAGCAAAGUAAAGCCACUGAAUUAUUUUGUGACAACAAGUUUGCUAUCGUAAUAGCAAAAACUCUUGUGUCUCACCACAAAAACAAAACAUUUUCCUAUCAAAGAUCACCUCCUAAGAGAAGUAUAUGUUGUGCGCAGAAUGCGGAAUCAAGCGCACCAAAUAAUUAUAGAAAAAUAAAUAACACAAGAAUUACGUGGUUCGGUAAUUAAACCUACAUCCACUGAGGCAAGAAAGAAUAAUUGUUUAUUUAACAAUUAAUAGAGUACAAAUACUUGAGUAACGAAUCUCACUUCCCAGAAACCCAAAAACUACCCAGUACUCUCACACUCUGCAGGAAAGAUAAAUUCCCCAGACACACUUCUCUCACUUCUCUCAUAAGCUUAGAAACUUAUAAGCUUAAUAAUUUUGGGAUGCUAAACAAAUGAAAAUCUCCCUCUAUUUAUAGGAAGUAUUUUACACUAUUACAAAUUCGGCGCUCACCAACAAUUUGCCAAUUUGUCAAGGUAGUUGUGAAUUUUUCAAACUGUCACAUGCUUCACCAACUUAUUUGGUUUCAAUUUCUAAGGGUCGGUGCCAACUUUUCAAGCUUUGCAUGCUUAGCCACAUGCAUGUGUCAAAUUUUCAAGGUUUAGUGCCAACUUUGGCCAAUCUUUUGUCAACUUUUCAACAAUUCUCCACCUCAACGAAGAUUUGUCCAUAUCUAAGCCGACUACCAACCAAUCGUCAUCCCCAAAGUGGCUGCAUCUCUGUGACUGCCUACGUACCUAAAAUUUGGGAUCAAGCCAACCAUAGUUCAAAAUUCUCAAAGGACAUAACUUAACACAAUCGAAGGAUUUGAAUUAGUUUCAAGCAAUGUUGAAACUUAACUCCAGAAACUACAUUCGUCAACAUAUCUGAUGGAUUAUCUUUAGUAUCGAUCUUUCUCAACAACACAACACUGCUCUCGAUAAUCUCCCUCACGUAAUGAUAUUUUCACAUCUAUGUGCUUUGUCCGAGUAUGAUAUGUUUGAUUCUUCGCAAGGAAUAUCGCACUUUGAUUAUCACAUAAGAUCGUAAUGUUCUCCUGGAUUACUCCCAAAUCACCUAACAAGCCUUUCAAUUAGAUAGCUUCCUUUACAACUUCAGUUGCUGCCAUAUACUCUGCUUCCGUAGUGGACAGAGCAAUUGUCGAUUGUGGAAUCGACCUCCAGCUAAUCGGACCUCUACCCAAUGUGAAUACGUAGCCCGUUGUUGAUCUUCGCUUGUCAAGGUCUCCAGCGAAAUCAAAAUCACAAUACCCAAUACAUUGUUGACCAUAAUCCUUCUUGAACAAUAACCCAACAUCAACUGUUCUAUACAGAUAUCGGAGAAUCCACUUUACCUCAAGCCAGUGAUUUUUACCCGAAUUGUGCAUGUAACUACUAACCAUGCUCACUCCUUGAGAUAUAUCGGGCUUUGUGCAUAUCAUGACAUACAUAAGACUACCCACAAUACUAGUCUAUGGAACACGAGCCAUGUAAUCGCGCUCCUCUUGAGAUCUAGGACAUGAAGAAGAGCUUAAUUUGAAAUGAGGAGUUAGAGGUGUACAUACCAGUUUAGUUUUGUCAUCCAUGCCGAAUCUUUCUAGCACUUUCUUCAAAUAAGACUUUUGAGUCAACCAUACGCUCCCAUUCUUCUUGUCUCUAUGAAUCUUCAUCCCAAGUAUUCUCUGUGCAUCACUCAAGUCUUUCAUCUCGAACUCAGAAGCCAGCUGCUUCUUUAAUCUUUCGAUCUCAUCUCUAUUCUUCGAAACUAUAAGCAUAUCGUCGACAUAGAGUAACAAAUAGAUGAAAGCUCCAUCUGGUGGUCUUUUAAAGUAAACAGAAUGAUCGUGUUCCCUUCUGGUCAAUUUCUGCCCUUGUAUAAAUUGAUCAAAUCUUUUAUACCAUUGCCUUAGCGAUUGCUUCAGUCCGUACAAAGAUUUAAUCAACCUACACACAUUAUUCUCCUUUCCAGCAACUUUGAAACCACAAUGUUGAAUCAUAUAGAUUUUCUCCUCUAAAUCUCCAUGUAAGAACGCCGUUUUAACAUCCAAUUAAGCCAACUCUAACUCAUAUUCUGCAACUAAAGUAAGUAGGAUAUGAAUGGAAGUAUGUUUUACAACUGGAGAGAAAACUUCAUUGUAGUAAAUACUUUCCUUUUGAGCAAAACCUUUUUCCACAAGCCUUGCCUUGUAUCGAGGAGUUGUUUGAUUUGGAAGGAUUUCAUCUUUUCCUCAAUGGCUAACUUUUCCCCUUUGGUAACUUUACAAGUUCCCAAGUCUGGUUUUGAUGGAAGGAUUUCAUCUCUUCCUCAAUGGCUAACUUCCACUUAUCACUUUCACUGUUGCGUAAUGCUACACCGAAAGUGUUGGGGAUGUCAUCAUCAAUAACUGGAAGUGCAUAGGUUAUCACCAUAUCUUUAGUAAGCCAUUCAGGUUUUUUUAUCUCUCUUCUUGGUCUCCUUGUUGCUAUAAAAUCAUUAUUAUCUACAUCAUCAAUUGUUUCUUCAUUUUGUGGGACAUCAGAAGAAACAACCCCUUCUUCAACUUUAGGUGUCACCUCUAUAGUUGAACCCUUCUAUGAUGUAGAGCUAACUGGUACAUAUGGAGUUGCAUUAAACUCCACCCACUGCAAUACCUAUGUGGUCUUGUUCUCUACCUACUGAGAACUUGAAGCUUUUAUCAUUGAAGCUUCAUCAAAUGUGACAUCUCUACUACACACAAACUUUUUAUCUUCGAGAUCCCAAAGCUUUAAGUCCUUUACUCCACCUUUGAAUCCCAUAAAGAUAUGUUUUCUAGUACGAGGAUCCAAUUUACCAUCUUUGACAUGAUAAUAAGCUGGACACCCGAAUAUACGAAGGGAAUCAUAGUCUUGUGCAUGCUUUCUAGACCACAUUUCCGUAGGAGUUUUACCUCCAAUUGUAGCAGAAGGCAUACCGUUCUAUUGCGGAGUAUGUCUCACCGUGAAAUGUCUUUUAAUACCCUCGUUCUGGCAUACUUGCAAGAAUGGAUUUGAAGUAUAUUCACCCCCAUUAUCAUAUCGUAAUACUUUGAUCUUUCUGCCUGUUUGAGUCUCCACCAAUUUCUUCCAUUUCACGAAAAUCUCUAGAACCUCAUCCUUUGCUCGCGUGGUGUACACUCACACAUGUCUAGAGAAAUCAUCAACAAAAGUAACAAAAUAAUGGCUUCCACUGAUUGAUGCAGUCUUGGUUAGUCCCCAUACAUCACUAUGAACAUAUUCAAGGAUCUCACGAGUAUCGUGAUUAGCUGUACCAAACUUGACCUUUAUUUUCUUGCCUACUACACAAUGCUCACAGAAAUUUAAUUUACAGGUUUUGGUACCUUUUAAGAGUCUGUGCCUCAUCAGAGUUUGCAAAGACUUCUCUCCAGCAUGUCCCAGCCGUACAUGCCAUAACUUGGUGGUGUCACUAUGCACCUCAACAACAUUUGCUUCAUCAGUUGUACCUCCCUUCAAAUAGUAUAUAUUGUAACGCCGAACCCGUUGUAGUAUCACCAUAUCCCCAUGUGUAAACUUCAUUGUGCCAUCUUCAAUGAUAACCUUGUAGCCUUUAGCUUCUAAAGCACCCACAGAAAUUAGAUUUUUCUUUAAAGCUGGAACAAAUCUAACCUCUUUGAGUUCUCUGAUCAUUCCAUCAAAUAUUUUGAGUCGAAUUGUUCAUAUCCCCAUUGUACGAUAAGGUUGAUUAUUCCUCAUCACAACUGCACCGGAUUCCAGAUUACGAAAAUCUGUAAACCAUUCCUUAAUAAGACACAAAUGAUAGAUUGCUCCAGUAUCAAGUAUCCAUUCGCUCGAACUAGCCUCGUAUGCUGCAGGAGUGAUACUUAGUGAAUAAUUAGAGUCCUCAUCUUUCCGUGUCAUGUUUGCUGCUGUUGGUUUCUUCUCAUCUCUCUUUUGAGCAUUUGGACAAUCUUUCCUCCAAUGACCCUUUUCAUGACAAAAGGCACACUCAUCUCGAGCUAGAUUUCUGCUUCUCGAUUUAGAUCGAGAAUUCUUUCCACCACGCUUUUUCUUUUUCUCUAUCGCCCAAUCUCUGCUCACCAAAGCUUCAGACGAUGCUCGUUCAGAAAUUUUAUCACUAUUCCGAAUCUCCAACAAGUUAGUCAAUGUUGUACAAACAUCUUUGAAGACGAUCACACUUUUCCCAUAUAUCAAAGUAGUCACAAAAUGACUAUAUUCCUCUGAUAGUGAGUGUAACAGAAUCAUAGCCUUGACUUCAUCCUUAAUAUCUUCAUUAAGUUUCUUUAAAUCAGCAAGUAACUUUUCAAAUCUUGAGACAUGAUCAUGCAUUGACACCUCAGGCUUCAUUUGAAAACCAUAUAAUUGGCUCAUUACAUGAAGACGAUUUUCUGGACUUUUCAGCAGGUACUUCUCCUCCAAUGUACGCCACAAAGUCACCGCACACUCCUCGUCUUUCACCAAGUAUUUCACCUCCUUGGUCAAACAAAUUCUGAUCUGACCACAAGCUUUCUCGUUCAUACGAUCCCAAAUUUCUUCAUCAUACAAGUGUCUUUUAUUUUUUAGAACAACAUCGAGAUCAAUUUGAAUAAGGGCAUCGAUAAUUUCGCGCCUCCACAUGCCGAAGUUGAUUUUUCCAUCAAAUGUUUCAACAUCGAUCUUUUGACCUCCUAUAACAGGUGUUGAAUAGCGAUUUGACAAAUCUCGCCUCCCACCUGAAGUGUCUCCUGAAAUAGUCUUAGUAGAUCUCUCCCCAAUUCUGGAAGUUUCACCUUCUACCAUUUUCUCAACGAACCAUUUCCACUUGAAACAGCCUCUAUUAUGUUAAUUUCGCGUGAAUAAAUGCACAAAGAAAGUUCCUAGGAAACUGGACGGGAACUUGGUCCUAAUUAAAAACCAGAAUCCUUAGACUCUUAUCGUCUUUUUUGACAGAACUUUCAUAGACAUGCAAAAAUAUACACUACUUACAAUAGACUGUCCCUCAAGUACAAAUGGUCAUCUCUACCAUAUUCGUGAACAGUAUCAUAUACGUGAAUAAUACCGUAUACGUGAACGGUACUGUAUAGGUGAAUAGUACCAUAUACGUAAACAGUACCGUAUCCCUUACGUACAAACUGUUGGCUCUGAUACCACUUGUUGUGCACGGAAUACGGAAUCAAGCGCACCAAAUAAUUAUAGAAAAAUAAAGGACACAAGAAUUACGUAGUUCGGUAAUUAAACCUACAUUCACGGAGGCAAGAAAGAAUAAUUGUUUAUUUAACAAUUAAUAGAGUACAAAUAUUUGAGUAACGAAUCUCACUUCCCAGAAAACCAAAAAAUACCUAGUACUCUCACACUCUGCAGGAAAGAUAAAUUUCCCAGACACACUUCUUUCACUUCUCUCAAAAGCUUAGAAACUUAUAAGCUUAAUAAUUUUGGGAUGCUAAACAAAUGAAAAUCUCCCUCUAUUUAUAGGAAGUACUUUGCACUAUUACAAAUUUGGUGCUCACCAACAAUUUUCCAAUUUGUCAAGGUAGUUGUGAAUUUGUCAAACCGUCACAUGCUUCACCAACUUAUUUGGUUUCAAUUUCUAAGGGUCGGUGCCAACUUUUCAAGCUUUGCAUGCUUAGCCACAUGCAUAUGUCAAAUUUUCAAGGUUUGGUGCCAACUUUGGCCAAUCUUUUGUCAACUUUUCAACAGUAUAAUCAUUUAAAAAGAUCAAGCUGAAACAUUAUAGAAUGAAAGAACAGAUUGCUGACAUCUUAACUAAAGCACUUCCAAAGCCUAAGUUUGAGCUUUGGCGAGCAAAGAUUAGAGUUCAACAUAAGCACAUUAAGGAGAAGUGUUGAAGUUAACAAGCCCUAUUGAAGAUUCUAGAAAAUUGUCAGUAAAAAAAUCAAAGAAAAACAUCUAGGUAAAUCUAAGUUGUGGUUAAAGAAAUAAGGGUAGUGAAAUUAAUGGAUAGGAAAAAGCAGCUAAAUACGUGGUUAAAAGACCAUAGAUAUGUCAAUUAAUUAUGUUUUAAAUAUAAAUCAUGCAUAAUUAUGUAUGUAAGAAAAAUAAUUAAAAGCCCUUUGAUAAUAGACUACAUUGUUAUCUCUUCUUCCUCUCUUAAACCAAACUUCUAUACUACCCAACAACUUUCAACAUUACUCAAAUGCAUCUUUCUCGCAAAGUAUAAUUAUUUCCCCAAAUUCCAACAAAGGGUCUGUGUCUAUUCGUAUUUUAUUGGAAUAUAAUAACAUUGUUAUAUACAAAAAGGUAAAUCUCAGUUUACUCUCCUAAUAAAUUAGUUUAUCUACAAAAUAUUUCUAAAGUAUUGUAUAUCUCAACUCAUCCUUAAUUAUUGUUUAAAACAUGAGGGCUAGUGGGUGUGUUUUGAAUAUUUUUGUCUUCUUAAUGAUAAUUGAGAAUAAGUUGUGGUUUAAAAUAGUUUAGACAUAUUUUAAAGAUAAUUAAGUUAUGGGAGAUUGCCAAUUACCCCCUUACUAUUUUUAGUAUGUACCAAUUACCUUCCUACUAUUUCUUUAAUACUCCAUCACCCCCUAUCAUUACUUUUGUUAAUGUUUAAAUUUCCUUUAAAGGUAAAAUUGUAUUUUAACCUAAUAUGAAAACAAAAACUGACCUUUAAAGAGGAUAAUGACAAGUUUUAUUCCUCUCUCUUUCUAAAAUUAGGACAUCUCAUCUUUUUCUUUCUAAAUACUCUAAAAAACUCAUUGUUUAACUCAACAUCAUCUGUCAUCAUCAUCUGCAUAUAUCAACACCUCCACAAAAACUCUUUUUUUCUACUCAAAAUUUGGUAAUUUAAUUUUUUUAUACGAUAAAUUUCAUUAAUCUAUCCAUAAGAAGCAUUAUCGCAAGCAAACUCUAGGCUAGGCGGGGCUCAAAAGUAACAACAUGACCAAUUUAAAAAGAACACAGAACUAUAACAAGCCAAAAAUUGCACAAAAUCAAGAGCUUGUAAAUUAGUAAUGGCCUUGGUCCCCUUUGAUACAACGUGCUUCACCAAUUCAUUGGCCAUGACCAAUCUCACGGCCGUCUGGAUCUCCCUCGACGUGAUUGUUGGCUUUUUGUUGUAUCUCGUGAGAUGAGACACUUCCUACCGGCUUUUUCUUUGCUGGUUUCUUCUCGGGUUUAAGCACUGCCAUUUCCUUGAUGAGAAAACUUAAAGGGCAUGGGAAGAUUCUUCUUGAUUUGAGAGAAAAAGAAAUAAGGAUUUCAUCCGAAGGGAUCACCAAAAUAAAAGAGAAAAAAGGAGAGAGAAAUUCAAAUAAAAUGAUUUUUUUUUUGUUUAGUGAAAAAAGUUGUUAAAAUGGAAGAAAAAUAUAUAAUUUCUUUUUUUUUGGUAUUAAAACUUACACUUUUGAUAUAAUUUAGUUGCUGAUAAAAAUCUCUUAAACAAUUUGUUUAUAGGGGUAAAUAUGUAAAAGAACAAAAAGAUGUUAUAUUUAACAUAAGUUUUUUAACAGAGGGGGUGAUGGGGGUAUUAAAGAAACAAUAGGAAGAAAAAUGGUAUAUACUUCAAACAGUAAGAGGAUAAUUGGCAAUCUCCCAUUAAGUUAUUAAGAGGUGGGGAUCAACCCCGCUUCUAGAAUUACAAUUAGUUCACAUUAUUUUCAUCCAACACAAAUCAACAAAAGUUUUGUAUAAUUAAUCAGUUAAAUCAAUCUAAUAAUGUUUUUUUCAAAGGUUUCUUCGACCAUCUUUGACUAUUUUAUUUAACUAUUUUAUCCUCAUGACAUAAAAUGAUUAAUUUUCUCCAAGAAAUUUGAGUUCUUGUAGUUAAUAUUUUAGCUAUUUAAGUUUGUUACUUAUAAUCUAAUGUCUUUAAAUGAAUUCUAAUAAUUAUUUUCAGUGCCUUACAUGUAAAUGAGAUAACUUUGACAGCCCAAUAACUUAUAUGAGUAUUGUUCCAUAAAGACAUUAUGUUAGUUUAAUCAAAUAUUAAUAUUCAUCUUAAUAAAGUAGUUUUGAUACAUUAUUUAGAAACAAUGAAUGAGUUAUAAAUUUCAAAAAAAAAAAAUCAUAUUAAAGUAAUUUUCUAGUACUUUUACCUUAAAAGGGUAAAAUAAUUAAAUUUAAAUAUAGCUAAAACAAUUUUCUAUUCAAAUAUACAACAGAAAUUUAAGUUAAAAAAAGGAUUUAAUUAAUUAAUUCUCCCGACUUCUUUAUUUUGAUUUUUUAAAAAUAAUGUGCAAUUUUUGUAAUUAUUUUCUGAUAGUGAAUGGGUUAUAGAUAAUGUAGAGUGAAGAUAUCACCAUAUUUUAUUAAGGGGAUAAACUGAAUAUUAAUCCUAUUGAAAAUAAUUUAAUGAUUUGUGCCAAUACGUGUGCCUGACGAAAUUUCAUACAACCCAUUAAUAGGACACAACACAUGAUAAUAGCCAUUGUUGGGUCUAACCUUAUCAGUUAGUGAAGUCGUUAACUAAAAUCUAUUUAAUGAUAAUAGUCGUUGUUCGGUCUGUUUGGGGGAUAUACUUCGACAAGACCAACCAUGCCUUGGACACUAAGCCAGCCUCCUUAUAAUGGAGUAGAUGAACAAAUGUCUAGUAGCAGGAUUCCACGAACAGGAAUAUUCUGCAGAAGUCUAGUAGUAGGUGUCCACGAAUAGGAAUAUUUUGCUCGUUCACAAAUGCACCCUCCACGGGAUCACAGCGGGAGCCGGCCUCCUACUAGGAGCAUAAGGCCAUUCCUGCUAGAGGUUGAAGUGGGUAGACCCGGUCAAUGGCGGUUGGCAAGACGUGCACUCCUGCCUGAGAAUCAAGGCACGAAAUCCACUCAGCCACAACUAUGAUAAUGAAGCACCCACUUCCAAGAGUUGAGGGAGGUGAUGGAUGUGGGUUGUAGAAAAGGCCAGAUUCAAAAGAAGGCUAUAAAAAAGUAACCAACGAAGGUAAAAUGGUUAGAUUUUUUUAGAUUAGAACUUAGGAAAAAGAACUUUCUAUUGAGAGAUCAUAAAAAGCCAUAAUAUUAGUGGUCGUAUUUUCCAGAAAGGCAAAACCUACGUUUCUGACUUGAGCGUCGAAGGGUUUACGCCGGGAAAACACCCAGCAUGCUCUGACCUGUUUCUGUGUGCGUAAGAGUCUGCUGAGAGGAAAUCUUACGAGGAAAGAUCUUGAUCGUGGACGAGUUAGUUGAGGAGAGAUCCUAAUCGUGGACGAGCAGAAAACCAUAAUCUCGCAUCAACAGAGUCAGAUUUGUAUUUGGUCUUUGGAAACCAUUUCAAUCAUUUAACACAUUAACAGUGAUUUAUUUUCGGCAAUUUAAUCAAUUUUUUAAAACAAAGGAAAUGGCUUUAAAUUGGCUACUAGUGAAUUAACGCACUUGCACGCCAAACAGAAGCGAAAUCAAAAUCGUUAAUGGAGUUAAAUUACUGUUAUUAGACAGGAAGACAAUCAUUUGAUUUUGCGAUGAGCAAUUUGAACCAUUUGAUUUAUGUCAUGUGGCCUUUGAUACACAGUAGGAAGAAUAACCUCCGCCUAAUUACAAGUUUGUUCUGAAUCAUGAAUGUGUAUGCUAGUCAACAGAUCGUAAAAUGGGGUCCACUAUAUAUUGAGUGACAGCGUAUAAGCCACUCAAGCCUACAGGCAAAAUAUUUUUUUAGAUUUUUUUAAACGACGUUUUCAAAUAUUCUUAUCUGGUAAAAUUGACUUGCUGCUAAUACUGAGUCCCGUCUCUAUCGUUGAAUUAAUAAUAAUCCGGUGGGAGCUUCAAAUAUUCAUAUCUGGUCAAAUCGACUUGCUGCUACUAUUGAGUCCCGUCUCACUCGUUGAAUUAACAGUGAACCAGGGGGAACCCGUUGAAAUUGACUUGGAGCACCUAAUUUUGGGUCAAGAGAUUGAACAAUGAUCCACCACAGACUGAGAGUCUUCUGCCACUAUCAUAAAUGCUCGGAACUAAACGCUUGACAUAUAUUUUUUCUAAUUUAAGACAAUUGAUGUGAACUUGAAACGAUCACACCAUUUACCAAAUAACAUUAGGCUUUUCUGAAACUCAACAUGCUUAGCUCCAUUUCCAUCUUUUGCUGCCUUGCUACUCUCAGCCUCAGCUUGUUGCUUCAUUCUCAUAAAACCAUUUGUGCCAAUUCAAACGAGACAGAUCGUCUUGCAUUGCUUGCUAUCAAGUCACAGCUUCACGAUCCACUAGGAGUUACAAGUUCAUGGAAUAAUUCUAUGAACUUGUGCCAAUGGACAGGGGUGAUUUGCGGUCGACGGCAUCAAAGGGUAACCAGGUUAGAUCUGAGAAACCAAAGCAUAGGAGGUACUUUAUCUCCUUAUGUUGGGAAUCUCAGCUUCCUCAGGUACAUCAACCUUGCAAACAACGGCUUCCUUGGUGAAAUCCCCCCUCAAAUUGGCCGUCAGGACAUGCUUGAAGGGCUGGUGCUGUCCAACAAUUCUUUUUCGGGUACAAUACCUACAAAUUUGUCCCGUUGCUCUAACCUUAUCGAACUUUCUGUCGAUACCAACUACCUUGUCGGAGAAAUUCCUGCAGCGAUCGGCAGCUUGUUCAAGCUUGAGCGAUUGUUCAUUUUUCACAAUCAUAUAACAGGGCAGCUCCCAGCUUCCAUCGGGAAUCUUUCAUCUCUUCUUGCAUUUGAUGUUCGGGAGAAUAUUUUGUGGGGGAGAAUUGACAGCCUAGUCCAACUAAGAAACUUACUUCUUCUCGACAUAGCUUUUAAUCACUUCUCUGGUACCAUUCCUCCUCCAAUUUUCAAUAUCUCUUCCCUUGAGGUGAUUUCUCUCUCGGAAAAUAGAUUUACAGGUAGUUUACCAGUUGACACGGGGGUCAAUCUUCCAAACCUUAGACAGCUUAGUCCUAAUGGAAAUAAUUUCACUGGAUCUAUCCCAGUUUCAUUGUCCAAUGCUUCGCGUCUUGAAAUGAUUGAAUUUUCCAGAAAUCAAUUCGGUGGAAGAGUCUCAGUUGAUUUUAGUAGGCUUAAGAAUCUGUCAUGGCUAAAUAUGGGGAUUAAUAAUUUGGGAACCGGGACAGCCAAUGAACUUGAUUUUAUAAACCUUCUAACAAACUGUAGCAAAUUGGAAAGGCUUUACUUUAACAGGAAUAGAUUUGAAGGAGAGCUGCCACACUCUGUAGCAAACCUCUCAUCAACAAUAAAGCAAAUAGCGAUGGGCAGAAACCGAAUAUCCGGCACCAUACCUCCAGAGAUAAGAAAGCUUGUCAGUCUAAAUUGGUUGACAAUCGAUAGAAACCAAUUAACUGGUACUAUUCCUCCUGAAAUUGGUGAGCUUAAAAACUUGCAAUUAAUAAACCUGGGUGGAAACAUUUUACAGGGUAGCAUUCCCUCAUCUCUAGGUAAUUUGACGCUGCUAACGUAUUUGAUACUGGGAUUCAAUAACUUGCAGGGCAUUAUACCCUCCUCCCUAGCAAAUUGCAAUAGUUUGUUGGGGUUGAACGUUUCCCACAAUAAGCUCACUGGUACUUUUCCUCAGCAAAUUCUCAGCAUAACGACUAUUUCACUUUAUUUGGCGUUGGAUAAUAAUCUUUUAAACGGCCCUCUUCCUCCACAAGUGGGUAACUUCAAGACUCUCAUGCGCUUGGAUGUAUCCGGAAACAAAUUUUCUGGUGAGAUUCCUGCUACUCUAAGUGCUUGUACAGUUUUAGAAUAUCUUAAUAUCUCGGGCAAUUCGUUUGGUGGAAGCAUUCCUCUUUCAUUGGAAUCCUUGAAAAGCAUCGAAGAGCUAGAUCUCUCAAGUAAUAAUUUAACCGGCCAGAUUCCAGAAUAUCUUAAGAAUCUACCCUUUUUGGAAUUCUUGAAUCUUUCAUACAAUCAUUUUGAGGGUGAAGUACCAACAAAAGGGGUUUUCAACAAUAAAACAAGAUUUUCAAUUGCCGGGAAUGGAAAGCUAUGUGGGGGUUUAGAUGAAUUGCAUUUACCAUCUUGCCAAUCCAAAGGAUCCUUAACCACUCUUCUCAAAGUGGUGAUUCCUGUGACAAUCUCAUGUUUGAUCUCAUCAGUAUGUUUUACUGUUGUUUAUGUUUGGAGAAGGAGAUCUUCACGUAAAGCUUCUAAUAUGUUGCUGAUAGAACGACAACUUCUAAUGAAUUCUUAUGCAGAGCUGAGUAUGGCAACUGAUAACUUCUCACCGGCAAACAAGAUUGGUGAGGGAGGCUUUGGCAUUGUGUACAAGGGAAUCUUGGGCAAAAAUAGAACAGAAGUUGCAGUAAAGGUGAUUAAUCUUGAGCAGAAAGGGGCUUCCAAGAGUUUUGUGGCUGAAUGUAGAGCAUUAAGAAAUAUUCGCCACCGAAAUCUCAUCAAAAUCAUCACAAUUUGCUCUGGCAGAGAUUCCCAAGGGGUUGAUUUCAAGGCUAUUGUUUAUGAAUAUAUGCAAAAUGGAAGUUUAGAGGAGUGGUUGCAUCAGAGCAAUGAUCAACUCGAAGUAUACGAUUUGAGUCUCACUCAAAGACUAAACAUAGCCAUUGACGUUGCUUGUGCCAUUGAAUAUCUUCACUAUUAUUGUGAACCAUCCAUUGUUCAUGGAGAUCUUAAACCAAGCAAUGUUCUGCUUGAUCAGGAUGUAGUCGCCCAUGUGAGUGACUUUGGGCUAGCAAAAUUUCUAUCCAGUCGCAAUCCUGACACUGCUGUGGAAACUCGACCAAGCUCAACUGGGAUAAGAGGCACUGUUGGCUAUGUUGCUCCAGGUAAUUUUUUCAUGUUUGAUAAAUUUGAUAUUUAUAUGUAAAUGUUUUAUACGUUUACUAGAUAUUAACAAUCUUAUGUCAAGUGACACUAUGAAUUAAUAUGUUUGUAGAGUAUGGCAUGGGCAGGGGAGCAUCCAUGAAAGGAGAUGUAUACAGUUUUGGAAUUCUGUUGCUGGAGUUGUUUACAAGAAGGCGACCAACCGAUGCCAUGUUUAGUGGAGGACUUACUCUCCAUGAAUUUGCCAAGAUGUCUUUACCAGAAAAAGUGAUACAGAUUGUUGAUUCUUCACUUCUAUCGGAGGUAAUGGCAAGCAGCUCUAAGAGUACUACUUGGAGAGAUGGAAGGGCCAGAGCAGAGGACUGCUUUGAGACUGUAAUUAGAAUUGGUGUUCAUUGCUCAAUAGAAUCUCCAACUGAGCGGAUGGAGAUGAGAGAUGUUGUUGCUAGGUUAUGCCACGCAAGGGAGACUUUUCUUGGCAGGUGGAUUUGAUGUAGUAUCAAUAUAGUCUUCUGAGUUUCUGCUUAGAUUUUCUCUAUGUAUCAUAGCCAAUGAUUCCUGUAUCAUAGCCAAUUUUCUCUAUUUUUCGUUAAUCAUAUAUGAAGUUUGGAUUCAAUUAAUCAAUUUGUUCUUCAUACAUACAAGAGUACCAUAAAACAAAGGAUCAUGGCUACUAGGCUUUAAAAAAGUAGGUUAGAAAUUUAAUUAAAAGGGUCUGUGAUGCUUGUCUUUAAAGAAGAGAGUCAUAUUUGCAGGCUGUAAAAAUUUACUCCAAUACCACAAUUUUAGGUAUUUGUUGCCAUUGAAUUCUCAAAAUAACUCCAGGCAGGACAUAAGCAAGAACAAACUGGCCCCUGGGCCCCUGGUAAAAACUGUUACAGCAAAAAUAAUAGGAUCUUACGAAAAAUAAUAAGAGAUAUUAAAAUAAAUUCUUUGAAGUAACUUGUGUUUUUACUAAAUUACCAAGAUAUAUUUACACUUAUUAAAUUCUAAUUUAUUAAUGGUCCCAUGGCUCCCAUCUUCAUCUCUUUGAAUUGCAUUAUUUGAAAACCAUAUUAAUCGAAUAGCAUUCUUUUAGCAUACACUGACUACCAAACAAGCAUUGGACAUAUAUUUAACAACUUUCCCCAGGGAACGAUCUAUAUACUAAAUAUUUAUCAAUCAUAUAAGAUCACUUCAAAUUUACUUGAGUCAAACCCUCUCUGCAGACAUUGUCAAACUCAUUUAUGAAACAAAUCUAGAUUCUACUUUAAUGCAUGAGAUAAAAUAGUUAAUAAACUAUGCUAAAUAUGACACUAAACUACACAAAAUAUGUAGGCAGAGUUUCAGUUGCUGCUUGCGGAUAUUCAGGAAAUGUAAAUCAAAGUCCUUUCAUAUAAAUGGAAAAUAACACUAAUUUAUCGAAUGGCUUCAGUUGCAAACAUCUCGUGAUUAUCUCCUAGCUUAUUUCUUAGAUUAAUUAAUUAUGCCAUUUUCUAAAUUAGCUGCAUCCCUACUACUUAUAAAUGAUAACUGAACAUAAUGUGAAAUGCAAACAAACAAAAUUUCAUUUGUGAUAGAAAGGACCAGAAUGUGUAACAAUCCAGCAUCUAUACCUCUAAUAUGUCUACAAAUGCGAUCCUUCAUAUAAGUAGUCACUUUGCCUUCUCAAAACUGCAUCAAUUAAUUUUUCAUGUCAUUUAAUUUAUCUAGUGAAAUGAAGAUCAAGUUUAAGGAGAUUUUAGGAACAUUUAUCUUCGUCCUAUAUGUUCUAUGUAGAAAAGACAAUCCAACGCAUUGAAUGCACGCAUAGGGAUAGAAGUAGUGUGACCAAAACAAAGACAAACUAAUGUUUUAAUAAGUGUUCCCAAAAAAAAUAAGAAAACACAAGAACUUAGUCAAAUUAUAUGAGUACUAAAACUACAAAAUUCAAAUUCUAUGCCACUACUCUCACCUAAAACUUAUUUAAGAGAUUAACAUACUCUUCCACUACUGUCCCUAAAUAUUUCUUGACCACAAUAUUUCGCUCAAAAAGUUCCAAUAAGACAUGAUAUAAAAAAAAUAGAAAAUUGAAGUUGAAUAUUCCAUUUUGUUAUCUUUUAAAUUUCUAAAAUCAUGAAAAAGUAAUAUAUAAGUUUAUUUCCACUUAGAAUAGAUACUGCUCUUUUAAUUAAUCUUCGUUAUCCUCAAAUGGGUCUUUAUUUGAAACUCUUCCAGUCAAACAAAACGCGAUCAAAACAAUUACUUCCUCAAUAGAAAAACAAUUUAAAACUAACGUGUGGAUCGACUCUUCCAAAUAUAUUAUUUCAAUUUCAUAGAAUUAGUUUACACAAACAUUAGAUAACAAAAAUUUGAGUUACUUAACUUACAAUUUAGCUUAUAGUGUUCCAUGUAAAACUACCUGCAUAGCAAUAACCAAAUUUCCUCUUCAACACAUUGAUGAAUUUCAUGUCUGACUCAUUAAGAGCAAACAAUUACAAGGGUAAAUAAUUUAAUUACUGUUGAUGCGAGAUUCUGGUGUCUGCUCGUGCACGACCAGGAUAUUUCCUCAACUCUCAAACUAAAAUGUUGAUACGAGAUUCUAGUGUCUACUCGUGCACGACCAGGAUCUUUCCUCAACUCUCGAACUCUCGACCAACUGCAGAUUCUCCUCGUAACUCUUCUCACUGAGUAGAACAACGCCUCGUAUGACUUCAACUUCAACAGACUCCUGCGCACACAGAAACUGGUCAGAGCACGCCAGGAGUUUCCCCAGCGUAAACCCUCCGACGCUCAAGUCAAAAAAGUCGGUUUACUUUUUUGGGAAACUCGGCCACUGAUCUCGUGGCUAUUUUUUUGGUCUCUUAGGCAGUAAAAAUGCCUCUGAGCUUUUCUCUCCUUUUUCCCUAAAAAUACUUUUUCUUAAGUUCUAAUGUGAAAAUGUCUAACCCAUUUACCUUCGUUGAUUACCUUUUUAUAGCCUUCCUGUGAAUCUGAUCCCCCAUGAUCCAUGCCCAUCAAAAGACCUCAAGUACUCAGGGCGAACGAUCCAUUGAUGCACAUAGAGCGCUUCAAUGAUAUAAUUGGGGUGUAGGGAUUAUCUCAGGCUCAAGGGUGCAGGGUGUUCCCGCUGUUGCUAGAGGGACAAGCACAUGAGUGGUACCGGAAGCUCUCUCGAGGAAGCAUUAAGUCAUUCGAGCAGAUGUGCCAGGAAUUUGUAGAGCAGUUUCGGGAGAUGAUAUGAUGGAGCUAACAAGCAUGAAGCAAGGAGAGGAUGAAAGCCUUCGGGAGUUCAUCAAAAGGUUCCAUCGCGCUGUCCUCGAUUUGGGGGCCUUCAACCAUCCCCAAUCAUUGAGCGGACUGAAAGAAUGGGUGAAGAUAAGACGGCUGUAGUACAAUUUGAGGAGUCCAGCUAUUCAGACAUAUUCUGCUGCUUACGAGCAGGCCAAGAGAGACACAUAGAUUGAGGAGGAAAAGACAUCAAGGAUUAAGACAGACCAAUUGGAAGGGUUGAGAAGGAAAGAGAAGAGAGCCCUACUAGGAAAUGGGCUGAUUAAGAGAAAGGACCACCGUGCCUCAGGCAGUGGUGCAGGAAGCCGGGUCACCUCUUACCAACAUCAUCAGAGGCGACCCCAAUAUCAGCAUAGCAUGGUGCAACCUCCUCGUUCACCAGCUAGAGAUUCUUGGAGAAGGCAUGACCAGACAUGCAGUCAUCCUUAUCCACACCCAUACGGUGGUAGAGGAAGCAGACCAGAGGCACCGAUUCCCCCUCUAGCUUAGAACGGCACCCACAGGGAAAGGGUGGUGCACAUGAUCGACUAGAGCCAAGGCUAUGGGCGGUAUACUUCCUUGAAGGUGUCCCUGGACGAGGUAUAUGGGGCCAUAAAGGAAUGGGGAUUAUUGUACCCCUUAUCCUAAUAACAAAGCUACCCAGCAGGAGAGAUAAGGGGUGGUAUUGCAAGUUCAAUAGCACCCACGGUCAUACUAUGACCGAAUGAAGGGAUCUCAAGACUCAAGUUGAAGAUUUGGUGAGAAAUCGUUACCUGGACGAGUUCGUAGAUGGGGCCAUCCCGAUGGUGGGUUCGUCAUGUGAAGGGGAGUAGAGUAAUAGAAAUAUGAGCCACGAGCAGCCGAUGGUAAGGGUAAUUGCUGGAGGCCCAACAUUGGCGGGAGAUUCCAACAGAUUGAGGAAGAACUAUCCUAGGUAUGCCAUGACUAGCAAAGAAGUGUUUUUCAACACCCGAGUAGUCGAGCGAGUAAGAAUCAGGCAAGUCCCGAUCAUGUGGGCAGAUGAGGACGAAGAAGAAAUUCUAUAUCCGCAUGAGGAUGCCUUAGUCAUUAAAGUCACUGCUGUUAGCAAGAAGUUUGAUCGGAUUCUGGUAGAUACGGGAAGCUCGGUUAAUGUUUUGUUCAAGUCAACUCUGGAGGAGAUGGGAAUAAAGGACUUGAGGUUAGAGCACACCAAUACCUCCUUGAAGGGGUUUGGUAGAGGAAAGCUGGUCCUGUUGGGCGUAGUCGAGCUGCCCGUCACGAUAGGCAGCUCCCCGAUAGAAAAGCGAUUAUCCUAGAUUUUGUAGUUGUCGAUAAAGAGAGUCCUUAUUAAACGAUUCUAGGCCGCCCCUUCCUGCGAAUGAGCAAGGCAGUGCUCUCUAAUCAUUACCUAGCUCUCACGUAUUGGGUGAAUGAAGUAGUGGGGGUAGUACGAGGAGACUAGAGAAUUGCCCGAAGCUGUACUCCACAGCAGCAAGGGGAGCAAUUCAGAUCACAUCGCUUGAUACUUGAGUGGAGGUCAAGAAUGGCAGACAGGAGCCGAUUGAGGAGCUGGAAACGGUAAACUUGGAACAAGCUGAUUCAGGAAAAAUAAUCUGAAUUGGGUCGAGCCUUAAAGAAGAGCAGAAGCAAGAGCCGGUGCAUUAUCUGCGGGCUCACGCAGAUGUGUUUGCUUGGACACAUGAGGACAUGCCAGGAAGCGACCCUAAGGUGGCCUGCCACAGGUUAGCAAUAAGGAAGGAUGCUCGUCCUGUAAGGCGAAAGAGAAGAUAGUUCAACGAGGAGAGGUGCGAAGCAAUAAAUAGUGAGGUAGAGAAGCUCUUGAAGGUGGGAUUCAUUCAGAAAGUCAACUACCCCGAAUGGAUAUCGAAUGUUGUUCUGGUAAAGAAGGCUAAUGGGAAAUGGAAGAUGUGUGUUGAUUUCACUAACCUCAACAAGGCGUGCCCGAAAGAUAGUUUUCCCCUGCCAAAGAUCGAUCAGUUGGUUGACUCAACAGCCGGUCAUUGGCUGGUUAACUUCAUGGAUGCAUUCUCGGGAUAUAACCAAAUCCCAAUAUAUGAGCAGGAUGAGGAGAGCACGAAGUUUAUCACUAACCAGGGUUUGUUCUGUUACAAGGUAAUGCCAUUUGGUCUAAAGAAUGCGGGUGCCAUAUACCAGAGGGUGGUGAACAAAAUCUUUAAGUUGUUGAUUGGGAGAACGAUGAAGGUUUAUGUGGACAACAUGAUAACCAAGUCGAAGAACCCGAACAAACAUGUAGAUCACCUCGAGGAGACAUUUGGGCUUUUGAGGAAAUACAAGAUGAAGCUCAACCCAGAGAAGUGUGCCUUUGGGGUUGAGUCAGAAAAAUUCCUUGGAUUCAUGGUGAGCCAUCGAGGAAUCGAGGCGAACCCAGAAAAGAUCCAAGUAAUCGUGCAGAUGAGAGCCCUUUGCAACCUGAAGGAGAUACAGAGCCUUACAGGAAAGUUGGCAGCACUAAGUUAGUUCAUAUCCGAGACGACAGAUAAGUGCCAAGCCUUUUUUUCAAGUGAUAAUGAGAGGAAGGAAAACAGAACGGACCCCCGAAUGCGAAGAAGCCUUCCAGAACUUGAAACAGUACUUGCAGAGAGCACCUUUGUUGUCCACGCUGCGGGAAUGGGACGUGGUCUUCCUAUAUAUGGCGGUAUCAGAUCAUGCAAUGAGCUCGGUUCUAGUGAGAGAUAAAGAAGGGGUUCAUUAUCCAAUAUAUUACACAAGCAAGGCAUUGCUCGAUGCCGAGACCAGAUACCCACGGUUGGAGAAAUGGGCACUUGCUCUUGUGGUUGCUGCUCGAAAGCUGAGACCAUACUUUCAAGCAUUCCCUGUCUUCGUAAUAACAAACCAACCGUUGCAGCAAACUCUGCACAAGUCAGAUACUUUUGGUCGGCUAGUGAAAUGGGCCAUAGAACUGACGAGUUCGAUAUAAGCUAUCAACCUCGAGUGGUGAUAAAAGCCCAGGCAAUGGCGGACUUCAUGGCAGAAUUCACAGAGCCCGAAGUGGGUUUCGACCAGCUAGGUACUGCUACAAUCGACGACGAAGAUCGGGUCUGGCAGGUGUCAAUGGAUAGAUCCUCUGGAGAACAGGGUUCGGAGCAGAGAUUGUGUUAAAGGGCCCAGAAAGGGAGGAGAUCUUUUAUGCGAUAAGAUUAAAAUCCAUCGGACAAUCACUUUUUCACCUAGGAAUUUAUAUGUCUCUAAAAAAUAAUUGGUAGGCAAUAGCCACUUUUGUUGUAGUGAAUUCUUUGUUUUAGUUCAAUCUUCAAUCCAAAAUUUCACAUUUUUCAAUUCCUCUUGAAUUUUGGUUUUAACAUUCUUUGAGAAGGUAAUUAGAUCGAAAACUUCAGUUCAACAUUAGUAUACAUGGUUGUAAUUGUACGAAAGUUUAAGAGAUUUAAGAUGAUCUUUGCAGUUUUGUUUUUUUACUUAACUAUCCGCUUUAAUAUAAAAUGUGCAAUCUUAAUAAAAGAUGUAAUUUAUCAAAAAGUUUUCAUUUCAAAAUAAUUUUUUUUCAUAGAGUAAAUUAUUUCUUACUUAAAAUAGAAAUCUGAAACAAUUACUUUGUUGGUUGUAAACCCCUAUAGCCAAAGUUGCAUUGUUCCACCUAUAAUAGGUCAAGAAGAAAUUAUAAAGACUUUAUUAGCUAGAGUCUGAUUGAGUAGCUUCUAAGUAGUUCUAUUUGAUUAGCUAACAGAGUUUAAAUUUUGAGAAAGUUAGAUUAUAGAAAAAUAAUUCAGAUUGUUAACUCUGUUACUUUCUAAAUUGUCAACUCUUUUACUUUCUAAAAGGAAAAAAAAAAUUUGAGUAGCUUCAACUUGGACCUUGAUUUUUCAUGUGUUUUAUUUCUUCAUUUUUAAUUUUUCUUUGUUGUAGCUUCAAGUUCAAAUCAACCCUUAUUCUCCCCCCUCCAAAGUUCCAGAUUCAUUUCGAAAAAUUCUAUUAUUUGCAAAAUAUUUUUUUAAAUAUACACCAUUGUCUUGUUCUUUGUUCUUAAGUGAGAAGUGUAAGUACUUUAUAUAUUAGGGCAAUGUUGUAUGGACUAAUUUGCAAAUCCUUCUAGACUUGUUUGCAAACUGGCUAAAGUUGUUGGGUUUUAGUGCAAAUUGCAUCCAUUUAAGGGACUAACUGAUAAAGUGAUGCUGAUAUAGCAAAUAAGUUCGUUAAAGUUUGUUAUCCGCCUAACAAACCUAGAUUUGUCUUCGUAAGUUGAUUAGAUAGCCUAAUUUUAACAUCUUAUACUCUUUCUUUACUAAAUUAUUUUCAAAGAUCUUUGAUUUGUUCAUUAGUUUUACAACUUCUUUGUAUUUCUUGAUCAGUUUUUGUGUAAUUAAGCAAUAAAAGGUGUGCUAAAUGUUCCUUUAAAAUUACUAUUGUAUGCAACUUAUAAUUUCUUCCUUUUUGUUCUAGCUUUCUAGUGUGUUCAUAUUGGAGUUUGAUCUUUGAUCAAGGUUUCUAGAUCCUUGGUUUGAUAACCCCUUAAACUUCAACAAGUGGUACUAUAGCUUGUGCCUAGAUCUUGGCCAUAUAUCUCUCAAAGCCUGAAAUAAAAAAAAAAAAUCACUAUUAAAGCUGAUUUCUCUUUGUGGAAGAUCAAAAUAAGAGCUUUACUGGCUCAUUAGAGUCUUGAAGAAGCUCUAGAAAAGGAAGAUUUAAAUAGACUACUAGUUCUUUAUCAUAUAACAAAGGAAGACAAAUCAUUAACAAGGUUUAUAGCAGAACAAAACCUCCAUAAGAUUUUGCAAGGAACUGAAAAAAAAGUUUUUUCUUCUUCUCCAAUCUUGACAUCUUCUACCACUUUAAGAUCAAGAGCAAUAUCCCUAAAAAGAUCAACAUGAUCUUGUACGAGGUUCCUUCUUUCAUGCUGAAAAUGUAAAAUUUUUCUUCAAAAGUAGCCUCUAAACAAAAGAUUUCUUUACACACAAAACUCCAACUCUUUUCCAGAUCCCCAAGGUGGACUCUAGUACGUAGAUUCUAAUUCUAGAAGAUGUGAAAGUUUCUUUAAGCUCUUAAGAGAUCUUGAAGAAUGAAAGGUUAAUCACAAGCAAUGAUGAUGAACUAGUUGUUAGAUAUGAAGAAAUGAAAGAAUAAAAGAACAAAGGCAGUGAAAAAUCAAUCAAAGAAUUAAGAAAAUGUCAAAGAUAAGGGGAAAAAAAGAAGUGAUUUUAUUGCAAAAAAUAAAGCAUUACAUUAGAGAUUGCAUAGAAAAAACAAGAAGGAAAAUCAAGGAAGGUUAGGAGAUGCAGUUGUGGCUUUAAAUGGCUCCUCAGAUGAUGGCUAUCACAAUGCUAAUCUGUUGAUAGCUUUAAAAGGCAACUUAAAAGGUCAGUGAGUAUUAGCCUAAGGUUUUUCAUUUUACAUGUCCUAAUAGGUCAUUUUAUCAUGAAUAUGAGUCUCCUUAUGGUGUAAAGUUCUUACGAGAAACAACAAGGGUGUAAAAUUUUUGGUAUAGGGGCUGUCAAGAUAAAAUGUUUGAUGGGAUCAUUAGAACUUUACAUAGGGUUAGACAUGCUCUUGAGGUAAAAAGAAACUUAAUCUUUUUAAGCAUGUUAGAUAGCUCAGAGUAUUCAUUUAAUUUAGAUAAUAGUGGAAUACAAGUGACAAAGAGGCAUUUGUUGUGAUAAAAGAUGAAAAGAAAUAGGUUGUGUAUUGACUAGUUCUUUUGUAACCACAAAUGAUGUAAUGACAAUAAAUAUGAUGUAGAUAAGACCAAGCUAUGGCAUCUUAGGCUUAAUCAUAUGAGUGUAAAAGGUUACAAGAAAAUGAAAGGCAAGGUUUAUUAUGUGGUGACAAGAUAUGAAGUCUUGAUUUUUGUGAGAAUAGUGUCUUUGGUAAGGCAUAUAGAGCUAAGUUUCCAAAAAGAAUACAUAGAUCUAAGUAUGUUUGAGAAUAUGUUCAUUCUAAUUUAUGGGGGCUAGCUGAAGUUCCAUCUUUAUCUAAAGGAAGGUACUUAAUGACUUUGAUUGAUGAUCCUCAAAGACAGUGUGGCGCCAUAUCAUAAAAACUAAAAAUUAAGCCUUUAAGAAGUAUAAGUCUUCAAAAACUUUGUUCGAAAACUAAAGUGUAAAGAAGUUGAAGGCUUUAAUGAUUGAUAAUGGUUAAAAAUUUUGCAAUGGGGAAUUCAAAGAAUUCUAUUAGAAACAUCGAUUAUUGAGGCAUAAAACAGUCAUAUUCACCCUUUAGCAACACAGCUUAGCUAAAAGGAUGAACAUGACUCUUCUAAAUAAAACCAUAUGCAUGUUGGUUAACUUUAAGCUUCCAAGAAGUUUUUGGGUAGAAGUUGUAAAUACAACUUAUUAUUUAGUUAAUAGAAGCCCUCUAUUUUCUAUUUUUUUUAAAACACUAGAGGAGAUGUGGUCAGGGAGGCCUAAAAAUUUUAAUAGUUUUAGUAUUUUUGGAUGUCCUACUUAUGCACACAUGAAUCAAGGCAAACUUGAAGCUAGAGCUUUAAAAGGAGUCUUUGUUGAUUACCCUAAUGGAGUUAAGGGAUAUAGGAUUUGGUAUGACAAUCUGGCAUAUGCAUUAACAGUAGAGAUAUUAUGUUUAAUGAAGCUGCAAUGAUCAAGGAUGAUAAAAAGUAAUAGAAACUGAUAUACAUACUUAAAAUGGUAUGGAUAAGUUAGUUGAGUCUUCUAAGCUUAAAGUGGAGUUUCUUAAAGAUGAAGAUAAAUAAAGAAAAUCAUUGAUGUUGAAGCUGGGUUACAUAAUGAAAUUAAAGCAGUUCAAGUAUAAGACACACAACAAACUAACCUGCAAGACUAUUAAUUAGUCAGAGACAGAGCUAGAUAGGCAAACUAUGGAAAUUGUGAGGUAUGAUUAUGCUAAUUUAAUUGCUUAUGCAAUGAUGAAUGUUGAUGAUUUUGCAAUUAAAGAACUUGAUAGUCACUCUAAAACUAUUAAAAGUGAAAAUUGCAACAAGUAUAUUGAAGUAAUGCAAAAGAAGAUAGACUUUUUGCAAAGGAAUCAAACCUAGAUUCUUAUUUUAAAUUCAUAUAACAAAAAGAUAGCCAGUUGUUAGUGGAUUCUUAAGAAAAAUGAUGGAAUUUUGGGAUUUAAGCCUUCAAGGUACAAAACAAGGCUUAUAGCUACAGGAUUUACAUAGAGAGAGUACAGAUUUUAAUGAAAUCUUUUCCUUUAUGGUUAAACACAACUCUAUUAGAAUUCUUUUAACUAUAGUGGCUUUACUUGACAUGGAGCUUUAGCCAAUGGAUGUUAAAACUUCCUUCCUUAAUAGAAAACUUAAAAAACAGAUACUGAUGACUUUGCCUAAGGGUUUUGCAGAGAUAGGAAAGGAUUACCAUAUAUGUUUGCUAAAUAAGUCAUUGUAUUGCUUGAAACAAUCUCCAAGGCAGGUAUAGGAGAUUUGAUGACUUUAUAAUCUCAAAUGGUUAUGUAUUUGCAUCUAUAUAUGGAUGAUGUACUUAUUGCAAGCAAAUAUAACUAUGAAAUUGAUGUACCUAAGCAUAUGUUGAAUAAUAUGUUUGAGAUAAAAGAUCUUGGAAGUACUAAGAAAAAUCUUAGGACAGGGGUCAUAAAGAAUAGAGCUCCUAGUACUUUUUUAUUAAGCCAAGAAAGAUAUAUAAAAAAGGUUUUAGAAAGUUUGACAUGUAUGAUAACAAAAUUGUUACUAACUCUUAUUGGUACUCAGUUCAAGCUAUCUAUAACAUAAGCAUCUAAAAAUGUUAAAAAACAAGUUCAAGAUGCAAGGGAUACCAUAUGCACAAGUUGUAGUGAGCCUUAUUUAUGCAAUGGUUUCCAUAAGGCUUAAUAUAGCUUAUGUAGUGAGUAUUGUCAGCAAGUUUUUUAGUUGUCUAAGCAAGGUCCAUUGAGAUGCUUUCAAAUGGAUAUUAAGAUAUCUCAGGAGAACUUCAUAUCAUAGCUUGUUGUAUGGAAAGUCUAAGCAAAUUAUUAGUGAGAUAAUGAGGUAUAUAGACUAUGACUUUGUUGGAGAUUUAGACAAAAGGAAGUUAAUUAUAGGCUAUCUAUUUAUGUUCAACAAUUGUACAAUCAGUUGGAAAGCUCCUCUAUAGCCUGUGGUAGCUUUAUUAUCCUCAACAAAGGUCGAAUUUGUAGUAGUUACAAAAGUAGUUAAGGAAUUUAUAUGGCUUAAGGGUAUCCUCAAUGAGUUUUGGUUGGAUCAGAAAAUACUUUAAGUAUCCUAUGAUGGUCAAAGUGUGAUUUAGUUGGUUAAGAAUCAAAGUUACCAUAAGAAGACCAAACAUAUAGAUUUAAAACUGUAGUUUAUUAGAGAUGAAGUUGAAAAAGGUCCUGUAGUGGUUUCCAAGAUGCAUACAGAUAUUAAUCUGGCUGAUAUGCUUGCCAAAAGUACUUUUUAUAACCAAGUUUGAAUUUAAUAUGAAUUUUGUGGGAAUCAUUUCCAAUUCAAAUUGAAUUCAUGUGUGAAUUGCAAUAUAUUUUGAAAGAUUUUUAGGAACAACUAUUGUAAAUAGACCAACAUGUUGUGUGGACUAAUUUACAAAUCCUUCUGAACCUAUUUGAAAAAUAUCUAAAGCUAUUUGAUUUUAUUGAAAAUAACACCUAAUUGAGGGGUAGUGAUAAAGUGAUGGUGAUACGGCAAAGGAGUUCUUUAAAAUUUGGUAUCGGUAUAAGAAAUCCAGAAAUGCCUUUAUAAGUUGGUUAAUUAGCUUAGUUUCAACAUCUUGUUGAUCAGAUUCUGUGAGAUUAAGUAAUACAAAUUAUGCUACUAUUGUGUGCAACUUUGUUCUUGUUAUGUUCCUACUUUCCUGCCGUGUUCAUCUUAGAGUUUGAUCUUUGAUCAAGGUUUCUGGGUUCUUGGUUUGAUAACCCUUUAAACUUCAACAUGCAUCGUAAUAUCCAUAAGGGUUUUACUUCUUGUUUAUUGGUGUUUGCAAAGGUUAUUUGCGAAUGGCACAAUUAAUUUCCUAAAAUAUUCCUAGUGAUGGCCAUUGUGAUUUUUUUUUUUAAAAUGGGCAGGAUGAAGAUAUAAUAGGUUCUUUUUCUUUUUGCAAUAUCAAAAUACAUGAUAAAGACAGUUAAAAAAGAUGCAUCAAAUGCCAUCGAACCUUUGUUUAGUUUGUAGAUAUUUUGAAUGUCAAGCAUCUAAUUCGUUUUUGAGGUUGCUAUGAUAAAGAUACUUUGAAGAUGUAGAGUAGGAUUUGACGAUUCGUUCUCCUUUUCCUAUAUAGAUUACAAUUAUUUAUUGAUUCCUUGUUCAGGCUUGGCUAUAAUAUUGUAACGACCAUUUUAUUUUUUGGCAAUAAUUUAUUUUUGGAUUAUUUUGAUUAGCUAUUUUUUAAGUGUUUUGAAUUGUUGUUUUUGCUGUCUAUAAUUGUUUGAAGUGUUUCAUUCUAUGAAUUGUGGCUUAGUCAUUGUAGGCUCUUUGGCUCUGACUUUUAAGGAUCGGUUUGACAGCUGUAAAGGGAUAGGAAAAAGUUAUCAAUAAAAUCAAAAAUUUUUUUAGUCAAAUUAGUAUUUCUUCUUGUUUAUUGUUUCAUUGGUAUCAAAGCAGCAAUCUAGCACCGUAAAAAAUGGCGGAGGGAAUUAGAGCACACGAUCAACAACGGUUAAAAGAAUCAGUACACCAAUUGAAAGAGGCUUCUAACCAGCAGGCAAUGGAAUUGAAGGAGUUUUCUCAGAUGAUGGCAGCGACCAGUCUCAAACUGGAUCAGAUGAUGGGCACAUCAGGGGCUUUAUGAACAAUAUUAGAAGGUGUGAGUAGUACUUCCGCAAAGACAAAAAUCGUGUUGAACUCUGGUACGUAUAACUCACAACUGAGAUUUUCAAAAUUGAAUUUUCCAACAUUUAAGGGAGAAAAUCCUAGUGGUUGGGUCUAUAAGUGUGAAAGGUUUUUCAAAUACAAUAGGCAGGAAGAAUCUGAUAUGGUAGGAUUGGCAACCAUUCAUUUGGAAGGAAAAACAUUAGUGUGGUUCCAAGGAUAUGAGGUGGCUAUUGCAGAACCUAGUAGGAGGUAAUUUUCUAUGGAUUUAAUUGUGAACUUCGGUUUGGGUACCUAUGAUAAUCUGGUUGGGCAACUCACUAAGUUAAGGCAGACUUCAACAGUAAGGCUUUACCAAGAACAAUUUGAAGCAUUGGUGGCUAGAACUCAAGGAUUAUCAAAAUAUUUUUUUUUUGUGCAAUACUUUGUAAACGGAUUGAAAGAUGCCAUAAAAAAUUAGGUAGCUAUGUUUUAACCGAAAACACUAGUUCAAGUAGUUGGGUUGGCCUUAUUUCAAGAGAGUACUUUAGAGGCAAUGAUCAAAGAAGCCAAGGCUUCAACAAAAUCAAGAUGCUCCCAUUUAAUCCCUACAACAUAAUCAAAACGCAAUUCUAUGGGACAAAUUCCUCUAAUUAAAAGAAUAUCUAUUGUAGAAAUACAAGAGAAGGGACAAGAAGUUUUGCUAUUAUUACAAUGAGAAGAUUGAACUAGGGCACAAAUGUAAACGGUAGUAGAUUUACUUAUUGGAAGGGGAAGAUGACAAGGAACUUAGUGAUGAAGGUAACAAAAUUAGGGAUGAUGAGGAGGAUCACUUGGUGUCUCUCGAUGCUAUGUCUAGGGCUGUCUCUCAUCAAACUAUGAAGGUUAAAGGGAAUAUAAAGAAGAAAUGAGUUAUCAUCUGGAUUGAUUCUGGUAGUACUCAUAAUUUUUUAGAUGUGUCAGUGGCCAAGUGUACAGGGUGUGAAGUACAGCAUUAUAAACCAUUAAUGAUGGUAGUGGCAAAUGGCUCCAAAAUUGCAAGUUCUGCAACAUGUAAACAAUUGGUCUGCAGUAUGCAAGGGAGAGAGUUCAGAGCAGACAUGAGGCUAUUUCCGUUAGGGGGAUGUGAUAUGAUAUUAGGAAGUCAAUGGUUAUCUCAAUUGGGCCCAGUAUUAUGGGAUUUCAAGAAUUUAUAGUUCAAGUGGGAAAGAAGAAGAAUGGUGUUAAUGGGUUCUAUGAUGGGGACUUUGAAGCUAGUUUCGACAGCCCAUAUACAAAAGGAUCUUAGACAAGUUCCUCAAGUUAUUGCUACCUAUAUUACUUCACUUUUAUUGGAGCCAUGUAUUAACUCUACUAGAACUGCAAAAAUCACUAAAGAUGAACCAAUAGAGUUGCAACAUUUAUUUAAAAAUAUGAGGGCAUAUUUAUAGAACUAAAAAGUUUGCCACCACCUAGGGCUUAAGUUCAUUGAAUUCCCUUAUUAUCUGAUAGUGUUCCUCCAAAUAUAAGACCCUACAGGUACCCAUAUGUUCAUAAGGCAGAGAUUCAAUGAAUGAUUAAGGAGUUGCUCGUGGCGGGAAGUACACAGAGGAGUGUAAGUCCAUUUUCUUCUCCGAUUCUUAUAGUUAAAAAAAAUAUAUGACACUUGUCGGAUGUGUGUGGAUUAUCGUGCUCUUAAUUCUAUCACUAUCAAGGAUAAAUUUCUGAUACUUGUUAUUGAUGAGCUGCUGGAUGAGUUACAAGGGGCUAAGUUUUUCUCUAAGUUGGAUUUGAGGUCGGGAUACCACCAUAUUUGGGUACACCCAGAUGACAUCCAUAAAACUACCUUUAGAACUCAUGAAGGGCACUAUGAAUUUUUUGUCAUGCUUUUCGGUCUUACGAAUGCUUCAUCAACAUUCCAAAGCCUUAUAAAUGAAGUUUUUCAGUCAUUCCUAAGAAAAUUUAUGCUGGUACAUUUUGAUGAGAUCCUAGUUUAUAGAAAAAGUUGGGUUGAACUUAUGAAGCAGUUGGAGUUAGUGUUCGAGAUGUUUCUCAAAAAUAAUCUUUUUGUCAAAAAAUCAAAGUGUUCUUUUGGCAAAGAACAAGUAGAAUAUUUGGGACAUUUGAUUUCCAAGCAAGGAGUUGUUAUCCACGCUGCAAAGAUUGAAAACAUGAAGUGUUGGCCAUCUCUCAACUCGUUGAGGGCAUUGCGUGGAUUCUUGGGUCUUACUAGGUACUACAGAAGGUUUAUAAAAGAUUAUGAGAAGAUUAAUUGACCAUUAACAAAUUUACUUAAAAAGGACAAUUUUUUAUGGAAUCAAACUGUGAAAAAAGCUUUUAAUAGCUUGAAAUCAGCAAUGUGCACAACACUUGUUUUAGCCAUGCUAGAUUUUCAAAAAAACUUUGUUCUUGAAUGUGAUGCAUUAGGGAAGGUAUAGGAGCAAUGCUUCUACAGGAGGGCAAACCUAUAUCCAAUUUGAGUAAGGUACUAUCAUUAAAAAGCUUGGGCUUGUCUGCUUAUGAAAAGGAAAUGCUGGCAAUAGUGUUCGCAGUACAAAAAUGACGGCCUUAUUUACUAAGGAAACACUUCAAGGUCGUUACUGAUCAUUUUAGCUUGAAAUAUAUGUUGGAACAACGGAUGUCUCGACUGCAUGAAUCCACUGAGAAUGCAAUGGUAAUGGCAAUAUCCUUUCCUAUAGGUGUGUUGGUGGAACAACUCAAACAAGAAUAGCAAUGAGAUCAAGAAAUUCAGAAAUUGAUUUAAGAAAUAGUUACCAACAGUGCCCGACAUUCUAAAUUUACUUGGGAAAAUGAUUUACUCAAGAAGUAUAAGGGAAGACUUUGGGUUGGCAAACAUUCAGCUUUGAAGCAACUAAUUAUGACUGCAAACAUUCAGCUUUGAAGCAACUAAUUAUGACUGAGGCUCAUGGUGGAACAUAAGGUGGGCAUUCGAGGGGCUAAAAAAUCCUUAGCCAAAAUUAGAAAAUCUUUUUAUUGGAAAAUGAUGCGAACGGAAAUUUGUUCCUUUGUGGCAGCUUGUGACAUUUGCCAACGAAAUAAACAUGAAAAUGUGUUAUCUCCUGGUCUGUUGCAACCCUUACCAAUUCCUGAGCAUAAUUGGACUGAUAUCUCUAUGGAUUUUAUAGAAGGACUACCAAAGUCUAAUGAUAAGCAAGUUAUUUUUGUGGUGGUGGAUAGACUGAGUAAGUAUGCACACUUCUGCCCUUAAGUCAUCCAUACACUACUCUUAAUGUUGCACAACGUUUUCUAGAUAAUGUGUAUAAGUUGCAUGGCUUGCCAAAUUCUAUUGUUAGUGACCGAGAUAAAUUCUUCACUAGUACUUUUUGGAAAAAUCUAUUUUCCUUGUUGAAUGUGAACUUGUUAAUGAGCACUGCAUACCACCCUUAAAUGGUCAGACUUAAGUGGUUAACAAGUGCUUGGAACAACACUUGCUGCAUAACAGGUGAUAGGCUGAAAGAAUGGGUGAAAUGACUUCUUUUGGCUGAAUGGUGGUAUAAUACUUACCAUUUCUCAACUCGACACCAUUCGAAGUUGUUUAUGGUAAGCCACUUCCUUUGUAUAUUGCUUAUAUUCCUGGUACAUCUACCGCAACAGUUGUUGUUUUGAGCUUAAGGGAUAGGGAAGCUAUGAUAAAUCUGUUGAAAGCCAAUUUGGUGGAUGCUCAAGCUCGAAUGAAGCUGUAUGCUGAUAAGAAGAAAUCUGAGAGGAAAUUUGUGGUGGGUGAUAUGGAAUUUCUAUGGUUACAACCUUAGUCAGUGUGGGCUCUUUGGCUCUGACUUUUAAAGAUUAGUUUGGCUACUUUAAAGGGAUAGGAAAAAGUCAUUGAUAAAAUCAGAAUAUUUUUUUUAGUCAAAUUAGUGUUUCUUCUUCUUGGCUAUUUCAAAUAUACUUAUUUUAGUUUGAUUUAUUUUCCUUUUUCUUAGUGUUUCAAGAUAGUAAGUUUUUGGGUUCCCAAUUAUAAGUAAUGACACUCUCUUUUAGAGGAUCGUAUGGUAAUAAUCCAAACAGAAAUGAAAGCAGAAGCUCAUGUUUCUAGGUAACGACUUAGUAUUCCUCUUCAACAGUACUACAUAUAUGAGACGACAAUUCAUAUUAGAAAUUUGGAACCGUAUGUUUUGAGAUUUCUCUAAUCAAUGUUCUAUGUAAUACUAAUUUUUAUUUGCACAUGUCCUCAUUCAACACAGUCUAUAUUCUAUUAGUUAUUUAUUUAUUUUUACCAAAGAAACCUCUUAAAGGGUAUUUUAAUUUUAAUUACAAAUAUCAUAUUCAUUUCAAAAAAAAAAAUUGCAUGGUAUAUAUAUAUGUACAUAUUACUAAUGAUUUCGUUGAUUAGUGUGUUAUGUACUCAAAUAAUAUUUCAUUUACAGCUUCCUGUAUUAAAACUCAGAGAGGCAUUACGAGCGUAAAUCUGUGACAUAUCUACUUCUUAAUUAUUCUCCAAUUUUAGAUCAACUCUAAUGGCCAGCUCUAAUGAAGGAUUUUACCCAUAUAAAUUGCAUGGUAUUUCUUUGGCAGUCCAGAAAUGUACAAGAAAUUAAAGGCAUCUUAUUUCUUAUUAGCCAGACCUAUAAGAGAGUUGAAGUUGCAUCUUAACUAUUGAGGUAAUUGGUCUCUAGUUUUACUUCACACCACAUGCACAAUUUUCGUUGGGCAGAAUGACGAAAUGCUUGAUUUAUUGAUCUCAUAUAAUCCGUUAAUAAAUAUUUAUCUACCAUCUCUAACAUCAUUGGCUCCAAGGGAGAUUUUCUGCCAAGAUUUGAUAUAACGAUGUUCACCAUAAUCAAAUGAAUUUGUGCAUAGAUUGUCUGAUCGUACUUCACUAUCAGAAAUAAAAUCAACCAUAUUGUUAUUCAAAAGUCUUGAAAAUGGCCUACCAAACUAAAUUAACUUGACUUCAAAGAGCCAAAACUUUAUUUAUUAAGCUAAUCACAAUACAAGAAGAAAAGAUUGUUAGACAAAACAAAGAGUGAGAUAACAAAUUAAACAGUAGCUAAACAACGAAAAUCAGCCACUGAACGUUUCAAAUGAAAUAACAGAAAGCAAAACAGAAGAGAGAUGAAAAACAAGAAACAAGUGUGAUUAUAUCAUAACAGCCAAAUCAAUUCAAUGAAUGAUUUCAAAAUUGAAUUCAAAAGAUUAAAGCGUGAAUAAUAGCUAAAAAUAAUUGUCGAAGCUGUUACAAUUCUUUGAAUUCAAAACGUGAAACUGUUACAAUAAAAAAUUAAAAACGUGCCAAGCUUGCAUGGAUGAUUUUGGGCUGCGUACGCGAGGGCGCACACGAGUUCAACCAAAUCGGUUUUGGAUUUGCAUCCACCCCCCCCCCCCCCCCGCGCGUACCCGCAUGUGGAGAGAGUCUCUAUCCUCCGAACCUCACAAGAUUUUCCACUUUCGUUAAGUGUGACCCACUCAAAAUGUGCCCUCAAAAUAGCAUGUUAUGCUAUUUUUUCAACAAAGAUCACCUAUCUAAGAGAAUUAUGAAGGGAUAUAGAAAAUUACCGAUAUUCUACAAAAGAUACAUGACUCUCUAACUCAUGAAAGCUCACCACUCAAAAGGGUUACAAAGAAAAACAAAAAUUCACCACAUAAUGAUGUCUCCUACAAGAGACAUAGGGCUCUUUAAUUCAUGACUCUAAGGAAUUCACCUAACAGAUAUAGAGUUAAAUGAAGAAACUAUAUGAACAAGAAGACACUUCUAAGUUACACACUCAAUCCUAUACAUUAUGUGCUAAAGUUACAACUUAUUCCUUUUAUAUAGAUAAUGUUAUAUAGAUAAUGAAGAACAUCCCCCAAGCUUAGAAUUGAAUCUCUAUCAUUUUAAAAAUCAAAUAAAUUUGAAUUAAAAGUUUUAGUUGUAAAUAACUGGAAGAGAACAAAGAAAACUACAAUUUAGCUUCUAAAUUGGUUUAACCAAUAAAUCUGAGCGGUCAAUAUUUAUUUCAUGAUAUCUUGAUAUAAAUAAUUACACAUCAAUCACUGUAAAAUUCAACGAACUCUUGACUCUCAGAGGUUUCCAGUAAUAUGCCGUUUACAUAUUAAAUUCGGACCAAUUGAUGCUAGUUAAUCUAAAACAUUCAUGUGCAUAAUUUCUGACAGCUUAAUUAAUAUUUUUAAGGAGAAAAGUAUGAACUUAUUCUAUCAAAUUCUUUAAAAACAAGCAUAUUUGGCUCUCUAACUAUAUAUAACACAUGAUUUAAUUCUCUCUAAAGAAAUAAAGUUAUCUUAAAUACAUAAUUUAAUUAUCUCUAGAUAAAUAAGUCUAACUUGAACAAGUGGAAUAGCACUCCUACGUCACAAUUAGCUUAUUUGACUGUAAUUACGCACCAUUUAAUUCCAAGUAAAAAUUUCUGUAAAGCCAUAAUUGAAGAGAAAUAAGUCUAGCUUGGACAAGUGGAAUAACACCCCUACGUCACACUCAGCUUACAAUUACGCAUUGUUUAUUCCAAGUAGAAAUUUCUGUAAAGCCAUAAUUGAAGAGAAAUAAGUCUAGCUUGACUCGAACAAGUGGAAUAACGCUCCUAUGUCACUCUUAGCUUAUUUGACUGCAAUUACGCACCAUUUAAUUCCAAGUAAAAAUUUCUGUAAAGCCAUAAUUGAAGAGAAAUAAGUCUAGCUUGACUUGAACAAGUGGAAUAACACUCCUAUGUCACUCUUAGCGUAUUUGACUGCAAUUACGCACCAUUUAAUUCCAAGUAAAAAUUUCUGUAAAGCCAUACUUGAAGAGAAAUAAGUCUAGCUUGACUUGAACAAGUGGAAUAACACUCCUACUUCACACUCCACUUAUUUGACUGCAAUUACGCACCGUUUGACUCCCAAGCGGAAAUUCCUGUAAAGCCAUAAUUGAAGGGAAUUUUUCGGUAGCAUGUCAUGUCAAACAAGGGUUUAUUUUAAAACCCGACCUGCACGAUAUGGUGUUUAAUAUAUAUGUUUAUAGGAUAAAGUUAUGGUAUCACAGUUGUAUGAUACCACAAUUGGAUCUAAUCAUUGAAUCUAAUCCAUAAUUAUCACCAAAACUUGAUUCAAUGACUGAAUUCAGCUAUGGUACUAUAUAACUGUGCCACCAUAGCUGGACUUUAUGUUUAUAUUAGCAUGUCAUGUCACAUUGUGUUAGAAUUAAGUACUUAAGUUGGACGUCUGACAUUCUUUGUAAUUUUAUAUUAAAUUAAUGUUAGAAAUAUUGAUAUAAUUUUAUAGUAUGGAGAUAGUCAAGGGCCCGAGCCGGCUAGCACUAGCCGUCAGACGCAAACAUAUGAAAGCAUACGGAUCUGCACGGUACGGCCCACUUCAUUUUUGACAAAAAUUUUGUUGGGCUGCUGUCUUCGUUAUCGUGAAAGAAAUUAUGAGAACAUGGGGAUCGGCACGGCGCAACACACAUCAUUUUACUUAUUUUUAAAUUUAGCUGGGCUGGAGUUGGGCUGUUGCCUUCACUGUAAUAUAAUAAAGUUAGAGAACAACACCAAUCACAUAACAUAAAAUUUAUAUAAAAAAAAAAUUUAAUCUCCAAGAAUGACCAGAUAAAAAAUUCAUUAUAUGACCAGAUAAAAAAUUCAUUAAUGAAAAAUUGACAGAACCGUACUUGCACAAUUUUUAUCUAACACCCAAACACAAUUACACCCAAAUCUUUCUACGCAUUCAAAGCACUCUCUUUUUAUUAACUUUGUAGCUAUUAACUUUCGCCUCUUAUCUUUACACUUCAAUGAGUUCUCAAUUUAUGGAUAAUGGGGCUUUUUGAUUGCCAAAGAAAACGAACCAAAUUUUACCAUGCCUUUGAUGCAGCAUUCUAAGCAUGAGUACAAAAUACUUAUGAGGUAGUUUUCCCUCAUCUCUAGGUAAUUUGACAUUGUUAACCUAUCUUUAUCUGAGAAUCGAUAACUUGCAAGGCAGUAUAUGAUGGUUAAAAAUCAUUUUUUCUUAUGAAAAGUUUUAGGACCGAUCUCAUACAAUAUAUAAGAAUAUGUAAUGUAGAAAAUCAUAUCUUGACAAUCUGAGAAGAUGAACAAUCAAAAUUAAUCUAGUCUCCCAUAUCACGAUCCCUCACCACCAGUCUUCCUAUUAGAUCACAAUUCAUCACCACCGCGCGUGUUAGAUCACGAUCCGUAACCACCACACUUGUUAGAUCACGAUCCGUAACCACCACACUUGUUAGAUCACGAUCCGUAACCACCACACUUGUUAGAUCACGAUCCGUCACUAAAUAAUCUUCCAAGUUAUGAUUCAAGUUGAUCAGCACUGGACGUGUGGGCAUCCGUUUCACUACUUCCAAAACAACUGGCCUUUUCUUUUAUGUUUUUUUAAAACGUGUAUUUUGAAUCACGUACCCCUUUAGGCUUAAGAAAAAUACACUUAUAUAAUAUCUCUUAUAAAACCCUAGAUAUAUAUUAUCCUUUAUUAUAAUUCAAAAUAAUAAAUAUUUUGAAUUUAAUAUUAUCUCUCCACUUAUGUAAAAGUGGAAAUCAUAUGUAACUACUUUGGGGCUCACCUUAUAGAAUAAUACAAACCCCCAUUUGCACAUGAAUAUAACACAUAAGAGCUUAACAAAUAUUAUAAUUAGAUUUAUCACCUAAUAUGUCAGUUUUUUUGUUUUUAACUCCAGUAGUGAUGUAGUUAAUUAAAUGAGCUAACCCGGGGAUCAUUUGAAAACAUACAAUAAUGGGUACAACAAUUAAGCAUGUAAAUGACACAAGCCUAAUCAUUUAAUUCCAACUCUACUCCACUAUAAGAUUGGAACUGGCCUCCAUAAUUAUAUGUUCAAAUAAUAAUUCGUCCCAAGCCACAUUGAUCUCUUUAAUGCAUAAUCAUUUGUACCACAUCGUUAAUUAAAUCGAUAUCUCAACUGUCCAAUCAAUUUAAUUGUUAGCCUAAAAGGCUACACAUAAUGUAAUUUUGAUAAUAACAAACAUGUGUUUUAAGUAAAAAUAAUAAAUAUUGUAUUUCACAUUUUCACUAGUUUUUGAAGGGUAAUAUUUAUGCAAGUGAAUCAAGUGAAAUCAAGAUUGAAGACACUCAACGGACAACCGCGAAAUCAAGAAUAAAGUUUAGAGCUCAAUAAAUAAAUUAGUGCGAUAAAUUCUUGUAAAGCCGGUAUGAUUUAAUUGAUGCAUGAUUUAGCAUUUGAGAAGCUCAAGAGAUUAAUUUAAUUAAAUACCUUUCAUAAACUAAAAUAUUUUAUUUUUAUAAAGUAAAGUAUUUUUGUGGACUUCAGUAAUUUGGACUUCACGUCUAGUUGCCAUAAUUUCCAUCCUUUUGUUGCAGCGAAGGAAAUGAUUUUUCUAACUGUUUUCAUUUUAGCAACAGGGCUGAAAGUCUCCUCAUAAUCUUGACCUUAUCAUUGAGAAAAACCGCGAGCAACAAGACGAGCUUUAUGCCUUUCAAUUGUACCAUCUGCCUUUUUCUUCAACUUAUAAACCCAUUUGCAAGUGACUAAAUCAGCACCUUUUGGCAUUGGAACAAGCUUCCACGUGCAGUUCUUGUUUAAGGCUGAUAUUUAUUCCUUCAUUGCUUCUUCCCACUCAGAAAUCCUCUUAGCUUCAUUGUAAGAUUUAGGCUCACCAUCACACGUGUCUUUAAUAAAGAAACAAGAUAAAACAGAUGAGUGAUUCAUUUGAACUUCAUAAUCACCCAAAUAAUCAGGUUGCUUUCUUUGUCUUAAUGAUCUUCGAAGCACAGCAUCAGAAGUCUCAGCUUCAUGAAUGUUUUCGCCGGAUGAAGAAAUAUUGCUCCCCCUCUCACUAGAUGCAACAUUUUCAGAAAAAAGGUUCAAGAUCAACCUUGCCUUCAGCUUGCCAAGAUGACAGUUCAUCAAACACCACAUCACGAGAAACCGUAACCUUCUUUGUUUAUGGAUCCAUACAUCUCCAUCCUUUCCUGUAAGUAUCAUAACCAUCAAAAAUACAACGCUAGCUCUUGGGUCAAGUUUAGUUUGGUUAUUUUUGGAUACAUUAACAUAACAAACAGACCCAAAAAAUAAAAAAUAACUAACAUUUGGUUUGCGGUGGUACAAUACUUCAAAUGGAGAUGAUGCUUUCCGUGGCCAUGGAGGCAAUCGAUUGAUAACAUGACAAGCUGACUGCAUACCUACUGCCCACAGUUCUCUUGGAAGAUUUUUUUCAUGCAGCAAUGAUAAACACACUGAUGUAAGAUGUGCCAGCUUGUGCUCUGCAACUCCAUUUUGUUAUGGGGUAUUUGGACAUGUCAUUUGACAUUGAAUCCCAUGUUCCCUGCAAUAAUUUUGGAACUGAUCCAAUAAAAAUUCUCCUUCGUUGCUAGUGCAAAGACAUUUUACCGAUACCCGAAAUUCUUUCUCCACAUCCUGCUUAAACUGAACAAAUUUAGAGAAAGCCUCGCUCUUCUGUUCCAAGAAAUAAACUCAAGGGAACCGAGAAAAAUCAUCCACUAUAACUAUCAUAUAAUGAAGACCAGUACAGUUAGGAGUUCUUAUUGGCCCCAUUAGAUCUGAAUGAAUCAAUUGUAGCACAGUAGAAGCUCUAUUCUAUGAAUUCGGGAAGGGAAGACGAUGAGAUUUUCCGUAUUAACAGCUAAGACAAAUAACAUCAUGAUGAAUUUCCUUAAAUACAAGAACGCCAUCAAGAAGUUUCUUUGUAGAUAUCAUCUGUAACAAUUGAUAACCAACAUGGCCCAAACGUGCAUGCCAAAGUGUUGCACUUGCAUUAUGGGUUGUCUUUCCAACAUAUGCAUCACUUGCAGACAAAACAUAUAGUGACUCCUUUCGUUUUCCAGUAAAUAAAACAUUAGCUGCAAUAUGCUUCACAUUAAAAAGAAUUUGGGCAUCAUUAGGACCAAAAAGAACAUACCUCUCGGAAUUAGUAAUUUGAGACACUGAAGUAAGAUUUUUCUUCAAGCCAGGAACAUGAUAAACUUCUUUGAGAAAAAUCCCUCUGUAAUUUGAGUUACCUUUUUUGAAAUGGCCUUCUUUCAACACAGGAUGUAACAAAUUGUCAGCUGUUACAAUGAGCCUUUUCCUACAAUACGGACAAACAUCAGAAAGUAGAGUAGCAUUUCCCAUUGUAUGAUGAGAACAGCCAGAAUCAACUAUCCACUCCUUGUUGUAAUCUAUGGCAGCAUUUACAUCUAUAGGUGCAUUGGUCUGAUGCACUACAGAGGUCAUACUAGUUGGUUGAUCAAUAACUUCAAUGGAUAGACAUUGCUCCCAAUUCGAUUGUUCAGAUUCCUUACUCUCAUUUGCAACAUUUGCUCCUGCUUCAUCUAAUUUAACACGACAAUUCGCUUUUAUGUGGCCUGAUUUUCCACACCGAUUACAUACCACUUUCACCCGACAAUCCUGUUUGUUGUGACCCUGCUUCCCACAUCUGUAACAACCUUUUGAUUUUCCUUUGGACUGCCCUUCAGUUCUGAACUGAUCACCUGAUGGCUGCUUGGAGGAGUAAUUCUUCUUCCCUUGGUUUUUGGUGUAGAGUACAUCCUCCACUUGUGAAGUAGAGUUGUUGUUGGUGGCAGCUUGUUUAUGUAUUGCUUCUAGGUUUGACAGCAAAUUCUCUAGCUCAAUGAUUGAAGGGUAGUUAGGCCACCCUUGUACUGAGGAUAUAAAAGGAAUAAACUCUUUCCUCAAACCUCGAAUAAGAUAUCGACGCAAACGGGCAUUACUUACAGGCCCUUUCGAUCCAGCUCUGAAAUUUCAGAACACGAAUUUUUAAUUUUCAGAAAAUAAUCUUCAAUUGAAAGACUACCUUGACUUGUCUCGGCAAGUUCAUUCUCUAAAUAUUGCAGCCGCAUAUUGUUCUUCUUCAUGAACAAUCUUUCAAGUGUCUCCCACACUUGCUUUGGUGACUUUACAUCACGAACAUGCUCAAUAUACUCUCUACUGAUUGAUGUCCACAAAGCAAAUAAAGCUUUGCCGCAUUUGAUAUUUCAUUUUCGACGCAACUCGGCAUUUUGGGGGUUAUCCACUGGAAUUUGAAUUUCAUCACCAGAGAUAAGACUCCACAAAUCCUGGCUUUGUAGGUAGGCUUGCAUGCAAAGCUUCCAAUAAUUGUAAUUGUUACCAACAAGCUUCUCUACACCGGCAUGAGAUAAAGCACUUCCAACAUUCAUCUUCACUGAGUAAUAAGAUCAAACACUUGGUGGACAACCAAGCUCUGAUACCAUGUAAAAAAAGAAUGCAGGAAAUUUAACUAGCAAACACAAAAUGAAUAAACUGAUUUUAUUAAUCAAUGAAGGGUACAGAAGAUAGAAACUGAAGUGCUGCUACUGUCAUCAACUUCCAGUGCACACUUUAAUUUGUAUAGGAAAUUUUCUCAACUAGCAUGAUUAAAAAAGAGCUAACUCUGCUCCUAAAAUUGGUCAACAAGCAAAGACCAUAACUAACUCCUAAAUAAAAUGAAGACUAACAACCUUGUUGACUUGUUCAAGUAAAAUAAACUAAUAGCAGUAAGUGACUUAAAAAUAAAAACAAUAACAGUAAGUUUCUGCACUAACUUAUGACAUCUAUCUCUCUCUCCGUCUCUCGUCUUUUUCUUCUUCUCCAAUGUUACUACUGCUUCCGCUUAUUUUUCUUAUAUAUUAUAUUUUCUAUUGACUAAUUUACUUAGCCCCAUAAUAUUUCUUUAAUCACAAAAACACACAAACUAAUAAAGUUUUAGGUUUGAGCCACCAAAAUGAGAUGGACACAACACUAGAUUUUAUAAAGUUUCAGAUUCCUAAAUUCAAAAUGUGUGUGUAUAUAUAGUCAUUCUCUGUGUGGGUGGCAUUAUUUUUUAAUCACGAGGAUAGCAUGUCUGUAUCAAAAAAAUAAAUGACGGCACGAUACUAUAGAAGAACUCUAUAUAUAAUUUCUUUUGUUUAAUUGGAAAGGAUGUGAAUUUAAAAUCCACGGAAUAACGAAAGAGUGAGAACGGAGGGUUGCUUGAAUGCUGUAAUUAAUUGGUGCUCAUUGCUCAAUGGAAUCUCCAACUGAGCCGAUGGAAAUUAGCGAUGUUGUGGCUAAGUUAUGCCACGAAAGGAAGACUUUCCGUGGUAGGAGGAUUUGAUGUACAAGUAAGGCUAAGCGCCUAAUUAUGCUUAGCUCUUCUCCAUGUGUCAGAGCCUAUUGUUUCUUUGUUAUGUUUCAGUUAUCAUUUAUGGAGUUUGGAGUCAAUUAAUUAUUCACACCUUUUGUUUAUAGAGCACCAUAAAACAGAGGAUCGUGGCUACCGUUGACUAUUAUAAAUCAUGUUAGAAAUUUACUUAAAAGGGGUAUAUGAUACUUGUCUUUAAAUAUAUGAGGUAUUUGCGCAGGUCUUAGAAAUUUAGUCAAAUAUUAAAAUUUCAAUUAGAGUUGGACUGUUGCCACUCCUUGAGAAUUUGUUAAAAUUCCUUUUUUGUUUAUCAUAUUAAAAGAAAAAUCAAAUUCUUAUAAUACCACCACUAAAGGCAAAAGUAACCUUGAAUAGAACUCCACCUCAUGGAACCUCAUCCAUAAAUUUCCUUCUUAUUGCUCAAACCCCACAUGAAAUUAUCAAUGGUUUUUUUUGUUUGUUUGUUUGCUAUAUCUCUAUUAUGAUCUAGAACUGAUUUUAUGUGGUUGUUAAAUAUUUUAAGGUUCAGUAAGUUUUUUCAAUUUUUGAUAACCAUAAAAACCGUGGAACAAAGAAAUUGUUGAUCAAGAAACUUAUUCUGUUUUAAAAGUGGACCGUGGGUUUAGUUAAGUAUAUUGUUUUCAUUUUAUGUAAUUUUAAUGGAAAUUCUAAGUUCCAAGUAGUUUUAAGAGGUUUUUGAAGGAUGCCAAUAAUUCAAUUUUUUUUUUCAGAUAAUUGUUUCACACAGAAUUCUCAAAAUCACUUUGAGGCGGAACGUAAGCGAAAAUGAAAAAAAAUUAGUAUAGGAUAUUAAGAAAAAUAAUAUAAGAGAGGAUAAAAAAAUUCUUUUAAGCAACUUGUGCUUAGCAAAUUACCAAGAUAUAUAUACCCUUUUGUCUAUAAAAAUGUAUAUUACAAAUAUAUUCUUAAAUAAAUUUAUUAUAAACCCUUACUCUCUUCGUCAUCCAUUUUAUAAUUUUUUCUGUGAAAUUUCUAAAUAAUUAAGUUAAGUUUCCACUAAAUGGAAGAAACUUCUGUCACUAUGAAAUAAUUUGUGAAGGUUAUGACUUUUACGUCUUUUGUGAUUAGACAUGGGGAAAAUAAAAUCUCAAUUUGUGUUGAACAAAGAAUAACUCUAUUUUCCAACUUUGGUAUGACAACCUAAUUGAAGUAAAAAAAAUCCGUAACAAAUUUGUGCAAAAGGAGGAAAAAGUAUUGUACCGAAAAAUUAUCAAAUCUAACUGGCAAUUUGAUUGCAGACAGUAAUAGUAAAUUAAUUUUUGCAUAAACUUCAAAAGUCUCUUUGCAUAAUGCAAAAUCAAAAUUAUGAAGCUUCCUCUGUUACAAAAUUUUUAUGAAGAAUAAAUUUCCAUUGAUAUUUUAGUUCUGAAAGUAAUAAUUCUUUAUAGAUCACUUAUUAAAUUUGUGGGUCUUAAAUUGCUUUGGAAAAUAUGCCGGGGAUGAUAGAGAUCUUCGAUAUUCACACAAUUAUUGAGGAAGAAAAUAGACAUGAGACCGUAUGAGAAGGAUAUUUUUGGUACUAAAAUUGUGUUUAAAGUAAAAUUAAAAAUUUUAAGUUUUAUUGAUGGGUACCAUGAAAAAUUAAGUUUGUGUAUUUUGAUAAGUUCAAAUAAUCACAAUGUUAAUUAUAUUCUAAGCUUUUAAUGGUCCCAUGACUGCCAUUUUCUCACCUACUUUUCAGUUUCUAACCCUUAAAUUCCCAAAAAAAUCCGAAAAUUUAAAUCUUUAUUUGUAAUGCUCCUUUUUAGUUCAAUCUUCAAUCCAAAAACUCCCUUCCUACUCAGCUCCUCUUGAAUUCAUUGUUGAUCUACUCCCUGAGUUCCAAAAACUCACUUUUUUUCAACUGCUCUUGAAUUCUUUGCUCUUGUUACAUUUUAUUUGAGAAGGUAAUUAGACAGAAAGAUCAUUAAUACAUGAUUUUUGCUCCUUCAAAGGACGAAAGUUUAGGGUAUUUUUGUUCCUUGAAAGAUGAUCUUUGUUGUUUUAUUUCUUUACUUAACUAAAUGCUUUGACAUAGAAUGUGGAAUAUUGUUGAAAUUAAGAUGAAUUUUUCAUCCAAACGUUUCUGUUUUGGAAUAUUUUGUUUUUCAUAAUGUUAACAAAUAUUUUUUAAAAUAGAAAUUUGUAAUGACACCAAGAUUACUCCAAUGAGCACAACAAUCAAGCUUAACAAAGAUGAAAAGGGUAAAGAGGUUGAUAUUAAAAAAAUAUCGAGGUAUGAUCGACUCUUUACUUUACUUAACCGCAAGUAGACCCGAUAUCAUGUUUAGUGUAUGUUUGUGUGCCAGAUUUCAAUCAUGUUCCAAGGAAUCUCAUUUGCUUGCUGUUAAAAGAAUUUUUCGUUAUUUAAGUGGAACCAUAUAUCUUGGUCUUUGGUAUCCUAGAGGAGCUCAUAUAGAUUUAACUUGUUAUUCGGAUGUCGAUUUUACCGGUUACAAGAUUGAUAGGAAAAGUACUAGUGGAACUUGUCGUUUUCUAGGUCAUUCACUUGUUUCAUGGUUUAGUAAAAACAAAAUUCGGUUGCACUCUCAACCACUGAGGCAGAAUAUAUUGCCGCAAACAGUUGUUGUGCACAAGUACUUUGGAUGAAACAAACACUUAAAGACCAUGACAUUAAUCUUGAACAAAUUCUUAUCAAGUGUGAUAAUAUUAGUGUUAUAAAUCUUUCAAAGAAUCCCAUUCAGCACUCUAGAACCAAGCAUAUAGAGAUUAGACAUCAUUUCUUGAGAGAUCAUAUUCAAAAGAGUGAUAUUGCAUUAUAAUUUAUCUCUACGGAAAAAUAACUUGCCAAUAUUUUUACAAAACCUUUUUGCGAAGAACAAUUUUUAAAAAUUUGGCAUGAACUUAGGUUGAUGAAAUUUUCACAUUAACAUCUUUAAUCAUGUUAUUAAGAGUAUUAAAAUUGAUUGAUUGAUGGUUUUUUGUUUAUGAAGUGUUUAAGCAUGAGAAAUGAGUGAUAAUGUUUGUAAUUUCAACCAUAAAGUGUUAUCAUAUCUCAUAAUUGUGAUGUAUAUGCAUGAUGAAUAUGUUUUAAAUUUGAGUUUUUAUGAUCUUUUGAAUGUUAAUUAUAUUGAUUCAUGCAUUAAAAUGACUUUUGAAAGUGUUCGGGAUCACAAAAUGUUCUUAGAAUCGAUCAAAAAUAGGUAGAGAGAAAAAUUUGUGCAGAUGGGCAGCCAUGAGGCGGCUAGCCGCUUGGGCACUGCCCAAACCCGAGAGCAAGCAGCUAGCCGCUUGGUCACGGGUUUUGAGCUUCAUCUUCUUUGUUUCUCAUUUCUCUUCACAAGUUCUUUCUCUCACCAAAAUCGUGAACAACUCCUCCAUUUUCAUUCAAUUUUUCUUCAUUUCUAACUCAUUUUUAUGCCAAAAUCAAUCAUUCAAACCAAUACCCAUGCAUUUCACUUUCAUUAAACACUUCCUAAUCAUCAUUUCCUCACUUGUUCUUAAUCAUUUCAUCAUCAUCUCUCACGCGUGAAUAAUACUUUUCAAUUUCUCUCUCAAAUCUCUUCAUCUUUCACUCAUUUUCUUGUUAAAAUCAAUCACUCAAAUCAUUAUUCAUCCAUUACUCCUUCAAUUUUCACACUCAAAACAACAUUUCAUCAACUCUCCACAUAAAACCCAAAAUUAAUAACCCAACUCUACCCGUUUCUCUCUCUUCAUUUUCAAGCUUCUUUUAGCCCCUUUUUUUUAUCCAAUCUGCAUCAUAUAUUGGCUUUAUUCAUCUUUAGGAUCGAUUUUCUUGGCUCAAACACAUCCAUUUCACUCAAAUUUUUAAAAAUCCAAAAUUGGUAUUUAAGCUUGUUUUUGUUUCAACAAUGGCGGGUGGUGACAAGUCCAAGGGGAAACAUGUGGCCAAAAAGUGUAAGGAAGAUUAUGGCAAUAAUUCAGAGUUUAUACUAACUCAAUUUCCGUGUCCCUUGCUUCAGAAGCGAUUUCUCGAUAAUUUCAUGUCAAGGUCAGUCAUUCCCCCCUAUUUUGUCAAUCUUAGUAAUUUGGUGAACUUAGAAAAUUGUGACAAAUCUCUUAGUGAUUUUCUUAUUACUAUGGGUUGGAUAAAUGUAUUGGUUGUUAAGAAGCAAUAUUAUGAAAAUUUAGUCAAUCUUUUUUAUUCGAAUAUGGAUAUGGAAAUCUCGGAUAAAAUUGUCACAAGUGUUGGGGGAAUUCAUAUUGAAUUUGAUGUUGCGAAGUUAAAUCGUAUUCUUGGAACUCUAAAUAAGGGAUUGGAACUAUACAGUGCUAGAACCAAAAUAGAUUAUCAUUGGUUUUCAAUUGAGAAUGAUGUUCAGAAAAUUUGUAGAAGACGUGACUUGUCCUCUAAGUUUUGUCGAUCUCCUUUGAAAUCUAAAGUCUUACCUUUUCAAAUUAGAAUCCUUCAUUAUGUUCUUCACCAUGUUAUAACUCUUAGGUUUGGACAUGCAGAUGAGGUUAACGGCUUAGAUGUGGCCAUAUUGGACUGCAUUCUUGAGGGUAGGUUUCUCAAUGUUGGUUAUAUUAUCCUUCAUCGUAUGCUUAGCACUCCAUGUAUAGCCAAAAGAUCCAUUCCUUAUGCUAAUAUUAUUACCCGCAUUCUCAAGUAUUUCUGAGUACCUAUAACCGAGCCAACCUUUUUUAAUCCAAGGGAAUUAGGAGAUGAAGCAAUACUAAAUUUGGGGUUUAUGUGGGUGGAAAAUCAAUGGUAUUAGGACCGGAGAUACAAAUCCAAGGUUGCUGAACUAGCUCCUACAGAUCAUCGUUUCUUUAACGAUGUCCUUCCACGACACAAGAUCUCAGUCCUCCACAACGCUCACAUCCUCCACUUUCUUAGGGCCCUUCCUACUCUACUUCAGCUGUCUCUGAGGAUCCGAUGUAGUAGCUAUUGACUAAAGUGGAUUCUCUUUUCGAGAAGCAGAGCAAACUUCAAUCCCAGCUUGAGGCCUUUCAAAUUCAGUCCAUUUUGGAGCAACAACGACUAUUUGUGCAGCAGCAACAAUUAUUUGAUCAACAACAUCACGUUUUUGCUUAACAGCAGCAGCUUCUUGAUGGCCAGCAACAACGUUUUGCAGCUCUUGGAUUUCCACCACCAUCCUCUUCAUCACAUCCACCAUAACCUUAUAACACUAUUUUAUUUUCAGUCAUUUGUCACUCUGCACUAUAUCUCUACAUGCAUUGUUACCUUGAUUAUGGAUUGAGGAUGCUUGUUAUUUUAUAUUUGGAUAUGUUAUGUUUGGUUGAUGUUUUCUAAAAUCUUGAGAUGUUUUGUUAUAAUAUUUUAGUUAAUGCAUGCUUAAUUUAUAUAUGUUUCUUGAUUGAUCAUUGAGAUGUGCUUUUUGGUAUAAGCAUGGAUUUAUAGUAAUUUUGAUGAUGAAGGGGGAGAAGUCAUGUAUUUUUUUAAUUCAAAGACAGGUAAUAUGUAUUUUGAUCUUGAAAUAUUAACGGAAAGCUUACAAAUUGUUAUAGACCAUAUAUUCAGGAGGAGUUUGUUUUUAAAUUUGAUUUAUAUAUUUAAUUAUGUAUGUCAUGUCUUAAGGGGGAGUAUAAAUGUCAAAAUACAUGAGAUGUUUGUCAUCAUAAAAAAUGGAGAGAUUGUUAACCUAAAGGGCUACACAUAAUGUAAUUUGGAUGAUAACAAAUAUGUGUCUUAAGUAAUUUAAUAAAUAUUUUAUUUCGCAUUUUCACUAAUUUUUGAAAGAUAGUAUUUAUGCAAGUGAAAUCAAGUUCAAGACACUCAAUGGACGACGAUGAAAUCAAGAAUAAAGUUUAGAGUUCAACGGACAAAUUAUUGCGACAAAUUCUUGUAAAGUCGGUAUGAUUUAAUUGAUGCAUGAUUUAGCAUUUGAGAAGCUCAAGAGUUUAUUUAAAUAAUUACUUUUCAUAAAUUAAAAAGUUUUGUAUUUAUAAGAUAAAAUAUUUUGUGGAUUUGAGUAAUUUGGACUAAAAUGAAAGUUUUGCAAUCUUUGAAUUUAAUAAGUAUUAUUUUAAAUUCUGGAGUUGGACUUAUUUGUCAACAUUUGAAACAUUUUGGGCCAUACUAUACUUUAUGAAAGAUUGAGGACUCGAAUGUAAUCUAAACAUUUGAAAUCCAAAAUUGGACAGAGAGUGAGCGGCUAACCGCUUGAGGGCUUGCGGCUAGCCGCCUGAGAAAAAUCUCAUAUUUUCAAAAUUUGGACUAAAGUGAAAGGUUUUGAGAAUUUUGAAAAAUAUGGGUAUUAUGUUAAAUUUUGAAAAGGACCUCUUUGAAAAAUACUAUUAUAUUUGGGGCCAUAUCAUAUUUUUAGAAAAUCUUGGGAAUGACAAGUAUUAUUUAUAAAUUAUGAAAUUGGACCUAUUUGCAAAGUUUAUGACGUUUUGGGUCAUAUUGUAAUUACUGAAAGUUUUAGGAAAAAUAUAAUUUUGUGAACAGUGUUACUGUAGCAAAAUUCAAAUUUAACGGUAACAUCACUGUUCUGGGCAGCUAGCCGGAUAAAUCAAGCGGUUAACCGCUUGGUUGCAUGAAUUUGUCUAUAACGGCUAGUUUUCGGGUUUUAACUAUAAAAACUCAACUCCAACUUCCUUUUAGAGACUCAUCCAUGUAUAAACAACAUUAUAUAAUGCAUAUUGAGAUUUCAUUUCGUAAAUUAUCAUUUAUUGAAUCAUUAUUGUGCUAUUAUUUGCAUAUCCACUCUUAAAGAGAGUUUUUUUGUUGCAAUUUUCAUUUAUUAUCAAAUUGUGAGUGUACAAGUGUGAGAAACGCUUGGGGUGAAGAGAUUGGGGAGAAAUCCCUUGAUUGUAAAGAUUCAUUGAUACCUUGGAAGUCAAUUGUAAGAACUUGAAGCCUUGGGAGGUUUGGAUGAUAAAAUCAUCGAGCUUGGUUGGCUUGGAGGCGUGGACGUAGGUGGGAUUGCCGAACCACGUAAAAAUCCUUAUAUUUGUUUUCUCUUCCCUUAUUAUUUUAUUAUUGUGCUAUAUUGAUUUUUUUUUUUUUUGCAUUUGAUUAAGGCAAUAGAUUAAAUUGUUGUGCAAAUUGUUUAGCAUAAAAUUUAAAAUCUCAAUUCAUCCCAUCUUGGGUUGCAUAACUUGCAUUUCAAAAUUUACCAAACAUUUUUACGAUAAAAAAAUUUUAAAAUGAGCUUUAUGACACAUUCAAUUGCAAUCCCAAAAUAGACCUUCCUGAAUUUUAUAUUCAAAAUCCACAAUGAAAGUGAUUAUUUUAAUAUAUAAUGGAAAACAAUCAAUAAAAAAAUUCUGAUUCGAUGAUUUAAAAUAUGAAUUUCUUUAUGACUCUAUUAAAAAAAUACAGUAUUAAUAAUGGGAUUAUAUGGACUAUUUGAUUUAAAAUGAAAUAUUUCCGCCCUUGAUUUAACUUUAUUAGGCAAUUACUGAGUAUACAAAUUGUAGGCAAUUCCUAAAUUUAAAUUAAGUUCUUAAUUUAAUUUACAUCUAGUAUAUAUCAUACUGUUACCAAUAAUUAUUUUAUAUAAGUAACAGAUAAUUAUUUUUAAUCACUGAUUCAAAAAAAAUAAAAAUAAAUUUGACUUUUUUUUUCAACAGGUGCAUAUAUAUAGUAAGAACUUUGAUGAAUGUUAGACAUAUUAAAUGGUUAAUGACAUAAUAUGAAGUAGAAAAAAGAUAGGAUCAAAAUUAUAAAAUCACCCACAAUGAAAUUACAAAAUUAUGUAAUUUUGAAUAUAUUAAAAAUAUUAUCUAAUCAUCCAUUAAAAAGAUCAACAAUUUUAGAAUCACUACUGAGAAGAAUGAAAUAAUAAUGGAAGCAAAAGAAUUGAUUGUGAUUUUCUUUAUUAAUCAAUACAAAUAUUGAUUGUUAAUCAAUAUAAAGAUUGAUGGACUCAAUCUUUGUUAAUCAAUCAAAAUUUGGAAAUACCAUAUCAAUUGUAUCAUUUUCAUUUUUAUUUAUUUAUUCAUCGUAUAUAUAUAUGUGGCCCAUUUGGGAUUGCUUUUGGGAAGCUUAAAAGUGAUUUUGAAAAUUUAAAAACUAAUUUUAGUGUUUGGUAAAAAAAAAAAAAAUUAAAAUCACUUUUGUUAAAAUCUGCUCUUCUUAUAGUUGAUUUUGAAAAGAAUGGCCCAUUUGGGAUUGUUUUUCGGAAACUUAAAAGUGAUUUUGAAAAUCUAAAAGCUAAUUUUAGUGUUUGGUAAAAAAAAAUUAAAAUCACUUUUGUCAAAAUCAGUUUCUCUUAUAGCUGAUUUUGAAAAGAAGGGAACGAAUAAUUUCUAAAUUCUAAUUUUGAAAUCAAUUUUACCCUUUAAUACAAUUCCAUACAUAUCCUUAAAAUAUUGCCUAAACCCAAAAUUAUCAUUAUUCAAAUUGGAAAUAAAAUUGAUAUUUUAGGAAAUUUUUAUUAUACUUUAUCAAUAUAAAUUUAUUAAUAUCAAUAUAUUAGUUGAAUUAUUAUUAAAUUUGUUUAACUAUAUUAUAAAUUUAAUUAUCAAUUAUUUUAAGAUAAAAAAUAAAAAAUAAAAUUAAUAUAUUAUAAAUUUCAUUUUUAGUAAAAAUUGUUAUAAUACACAAUUAAAAAUAUUAUAUGUACAUGUUUUUAUACGUAUAAGUAAAUUUUAUCUUACAUUAUAUAUAUUUUAGUCAUUUAUUUUCUCUCAUCAGUUUAACAAUAAAAUUUACCAAAUAUCUAUAAUUAUUUUCAAAACUCACAGUACUUCUGAAAACAAAUUACCAAAUACUUAACUACUUCUCUUCACAGAUGAUUAUUUUUACAGAUCAACUAAUAACAAUUAUUUUAAAAGUUAUAGUAUUCCCAAACUAACCCUAAGACCAAUAAGAGUCAACAUUAGUUAGUGUUUUUAAUCGUAUGACACAAAUAUUAUAUAUAAUGAUUAUUCUAUAUAGCUUUUCGCUACGUAUAUUUUUCAAUUAUCAAUAUCAAUAGUAAUGCGUUAAGAAAUUUACAUCAAUCCAGUUAAUUUAAUUAUAAUUCUAUGAUAUAAUGAGAUAGAUAGAUAAAAUUUUUGGUAAGUAAUGAAAUUUAUUUUUCUAAGUGAUUUAUAAGAAAUAAUUUAUAUAAUGUAAUUUUUAUACAGUUUUUAAAUAAAUAGUAAAAUUAUCAGAUUUUGCAUGAAUAAAGCAUUAAAUCAAUUAUAAAAUUGUGUCCUUUAAUUGUUGUCUUUUAAUUAGUUUCUUCUCCUUUCCAAGUUGUUAACAUUUCUUAAUCCUAAUUUUGUUUUUUGGAGGAUAAAAUAUGCAUUCAAAACCAGAGCAGAGAAUAGAUACAAUAGAUCUGAAGGGUAUGAACCCAUCCAUACAACAGUUGCACAUCUCUCUAUAGCUAGUUUAGCUAAAGAAUGAAUGAUAGCAUUAUAAGAUCUAUGAUCACACUGGAUUUAACAUGAUCAAAGCCCUUCACUAGGUUCUAAAUUUCAGAUAUUACCCAAAAGAUCUUGAAUCUGCUGCCCUGCCUGAUGUUUACAAAAUUAACCACCUCUUGAAAUUUUGAUUCAAUAACCAAACAUCUUUUGCCUACAUGUUUAGCAAUCUGCAUGCCCCACUCCAUAGAACUUUGAUGGCUUAAUUGCAGCUGCAAUUACAUUUCCAGAUUCAUCUCUAAUGACAUUUCCCAGUCCUGAGAUGUGCUUUUACCAGUUGUUGGCUGCAUCUACAUUCACCUUAAAAUAGCCUCUCUUAGGGGAACAGUCAACCUCUGCUGGUUUCCUACAGAUGUAAAUGUUGGUACUUGGGUUCUUUUAUAUGCAUCAAUAACAGCCUCUGCCUUAACUAACAACACCUGAGGAUGCAUCCUCUUUCCUUUAAAUAAAAAAUGAUUUCUAGCACUCCAUGUCACCCAAAAAGGAGCCAACAACAGUUCAAUAUCAGCUUUGCUUCUCAAUUUAGUCAUACCGUGCAGCAAGCUCAAAAUCUCUUCAUGCUAUUUAACUGUUAUAAUUUUUACCCAAUUUUAACCGGUAAAAAAGUACCUAAACCACAUACUUGAAUUUGUUUUAUUUAUCUUAUUUAAUUAUUAUAGGCUGUAAAUUCCAUGUAAUGGUCCAUACAAAAUCAUCCUUGUAUUUGAAUUUUUUUAUUUCUUGUAGUUAGCGAAGGUGCGAAAUCAUCGCUUAUUCAUGAAUUGAGCUUUCUAAAUACAUACUAUCAUAUAGGCAUAUCCAAUUUCUUGCCCUGAAUUAGCUUUAAUUUAUUAAUUACGCGAAACCAUGCAUUUAUCAAUUCAAAAUUGUUGGCCAAGCAAAAUGAAGAUUCUUUAUGAAGAUGUAACAAGGUUGCCGGUGAAAUCUUUAAUUCGAUUCAAGUGUAUUUGUAAAUUUUGGUGCACAUUAAUUAAUAGUCCUAGUUUUAUUUCAAGGCAUCUCAAGAACUACAACGAUGAAAAUGCUCGUCUUUUUGUUGAGUACAAUACUUUUGGUUUUGAAGGCCAGAGAUUUGCCUUAUUUUCAGAUGAAACUUUGACGGAUUUAUCAUCAUAUCAGGUAUUUGAACCUCAGAUUUCAAAGAUCAUGAUGGUUGGACUCCUUUUACCUGCGGUCCUUAUAAGGGAUUGUUUUGUAUUUACACACCUUCCUGCAUAGAUUUGUGGAACCCGGCAACUACAGAACUUAGGCCUCUUCCAAAAUGUAACACUGAACCUAUAGAUAUCUUUGAAAUAGGAAUCCAAGAAGUAGUUUGGAAUGUAGGCAUUGGAUUUGAGCUAGAUCCAGUGAGUAAUGAUUACAAGAUGGUUUUGAUAUUUGAACUGUGUAAUAAUGCAAGUACAGACACUCGUCCAUAUUUACAUUCACACAUUGCGUUGUACACAUUAAGCACUGAUUCUUGGAGAUACUAAAAAAUAGAUGAUUUGAUCUCUCGGUAUUGUAGACUUGAUGUCACCAUGGGAGUCGACACAUAUAUUAAUGUAGUUUGUUAUUGGUUGGCUCACCCGUGCAAUGAUCAACAAGAAGUGAUUCUUUCAUUUCAUAUGCAUGAUGAGGUGUUCGAAGAGAUGAAAGUCCCGUACCCUCAUAACAAUAAAAAUUAUCAUCCUCAUAUUGCCGGAGUAUACAAGGAGUCUCUUCAUUUGAUAACUCAAAAUAGGUUCAGUGGUUGUUAUCACAUAUGGUUGAUGAAGCAACAGAGUUGUUAGACAAAACUAGCGAUCGUUGGACCCUUUCUAAAUGUUUACCGUACACUUCAAUUGUGGAAGAAUCGUUCAGUCUUCAUGGAAACUCGGCGGUCUCAUGAUGUCAUGCUGUGUGAUCUUAAUACCCAAGAGUUGAGGUAUAUUGGGUUUGACGAAAGGUUUAGAUCUUGGAAAUGGCUGUAUUGCUAUGAAGAGAGUUUGCUUUCCAUCAAGUGGCAAGGUAGCCUGCUCUAUUGAGGAAGACAGAUAGGACAAGCAAUUUUCUUAUAAGAUGGCGUAAUAUUGCAAUGUGUUAGCCAAUUAUGUUAGCCAAGUAUCUUAAGUUAGUGGCAGGUAAAUUGUGUGGUAGAAAUAGGUCAUUCAAAUGUGUGAUCCAAGUAUGGUUAUGAAAGUUGGUUGAACGACUAUAAGUACAUGGCCAUGUCUCUAAUUGUAAGAAUGAAGCUAAAAGCAUAAUAAAAAUGCCCAAAUUUGCUCUCUCUUGUAAAAUCUCUCUUAUUUACCCUAACCUUUAGCCAAAUUUUUUUUACUACAAAUACUUUCCACUAGCACACUAACUUCCUCUAUUCCAACAGUUUUUACAUCAUGGAUUCCUAGGAUUCUUUGAUGAAUUGCAAAAUUAAUGACAUGUGUUGAUGUAAAUUUAUGGUCAAUGCACAAUGAUCAAUUUGUGUUAUGGACUUUCUUUUAAAUCAGGUUUUGUGGAUUAUUUUCUCCUUGGGGAGAAUAUUUUGAUACAACUUAAAAGCGAUUUCUAAUUCCCAAGUAUAAAAGUGUUUUAUUAUAUUAUAGGUUAGUGAGUCCGAAAUCGAUUCACAAAGAAAAGAUUUAAUUUGUUUAUUUUAUUUUAUCUAGAAAUGAAAGUAAAACUUGAAUAUAUGCAAUUUAAUUUAAGUAAAACUAGAAAUUGAAUUAAUUAGGGUUAUAGAUCCACUUUUAGUUGUAAAUAAAAUUUAAUAAACUCUUUUUACCAUUUUUUAUUUAGAUUUAUUGUCCAAAAAAUUAAUUGUAUAAAUUAUUAUUAUUUUCUCAUUAAUUUUAUUGUGGAUUAAGUAUUUAUUAUGCCAAAAUUUAAUUUGUCUACAACAAGUCAAAAUACCAUUUUACCAUACCUUAUAUUAAGAUAUUAAUAAUUUAUUGUGCCAAACUCCCUUAUUUGUUUACAAUAAAUCAAAAUUUCAAAAUAUAAAAUAUGAAUAAAAUUUAAAUUAAAUAAUUUAAUUUAUAUAAUUAAAAAUAGAAUUUGACUAAAUCAUAUUUAUUUCCUAAGAGUUUCACCUUGCCCUACCUAUUAUUAUUUAGCUAAGAAUAAUUGAAAUAAAAAUAAUUAUUAAAAUUAAAUUACUAAUAAUUAAAAGGAAUGAAAACAACUAAAAUUAAAUUAAAUUUAUUCAAAAAUAAUUAUGUAAAAUAUUAAAACACAACUGAAAAAUAAGAUUACAAGGAAAUUGAGAGAAAUUGAGAGGAAGAGUAGGGUUGGCAAAAAUACCCGCCCGGUCCGGACCCGGACGUUAAUACCUGGCCCGGGUAUGAAGUUGGGCCAGUCUUGGGCAUCACUUGAUAAACUCAGAACCUAGAUUUUAUUAAAACAAUAUUAUAAAAUAUAUAUUAUUUUAAAUAUUUAUAUUUAUUUGACUCAUUUAUUACACAUAUAUAAAGUUUAAACACUUAAAGUUCAUAUUUUCAUGUCAAAUUUUAUUAAAAUAAAUUUAAAACUUAUAAAAUUACCAAAAAAUAAUAUAUAUAUAUAUAUAUAUAUAUAUAUACAUAUAAUAUUGAAAAAAUAUAAAAUCCGGGUACCCAGAUUAAAGCCCGGCACAACUCAACCCGGGCAUCGAUCUAUGCAUCUGGGUCGGGUCCGGUCAUUGCGAUACCCGGACCCGACCUAGGGUUUUGCCAACCCUAGGGAAGAGAGAUGUCGCAAAACAUAAAAAUGAAGCUCUAUUUAUAUAAAAAUACAUUCAUAAUCCAAUGUUUUGCGGUUCAUCAUAAGUUUUAUGCUCCUCAUAGCCAUUAAAUCAAGAUCCAACGACUAGUCAAACUUUAAAAGUCAACAGUACAUGUGGCAUCAUAUGAAGCGUCCAAUUCAGUAAAAGAACGAUUGAGAUUGGGCGGGUUAAUGGGUGGAUCGUGUCAACCCAAAUACAACAGUUCAGAUCCCACAGCUUGCGUCACUACCAUUGCUACGUGGCACGAUCGUGGUAAUUGAAUUAUGAAUGGUUGAGAUUUAAUCAAAAUUGAAAGCUAUCCAAUGCACUCAUAUCUAUUGUAAGCUCAUUUUAUCAUCCAAUCAGUGCUUAUCAACACAAAAAGUCAACUUUUUGCACAAGCUCAAUUUUAAGCCAAUCUUAACUCAUCCUAAGGUUUUCGGACCUUCGGAAUCCAAAUUUGACAUCCAUUUAUUUGUUUGAGGCCUUGAAUUAUGUGAAAUUAAUAUUUUACCUAAUAAACACACAAAAAUACACAAAAUUAAAUAUAGUUAAGACAUAAUUCAUAAUUAAUAAUAUAUUGUAUAAACACAAACAUAAAUUAUAAUAUAAGCACAAAAUAAUAUUUUUAUCGCUUGAUAAUCAAACAAUUUUUAAUACUAAUCAUAUUUCAGAUCACAUGUUUCCUUGCGGAUAAUUAUUAUGCAAAAAGACACAAUUGUCAAAGGGAGUCAGCGUGCCCGUGAUAACUUGCUGACACUCUAGUUAGUACUAAGAGAAGAUCUGGAGCAGAUGGGUAAAGUUUCUAUACUCAAUUUAGGCCCUCUUUUCUCGUACCUUCAAACAGAGGUCUUGGCCUUUAUACAUGUAUCUUAAGUCAACUGGACAAAUUAUAUGGCAUUUUUCAUGUGACAAGUAUUAGUGAAAGUCCUUGCAUGAAAACAAAUAGUCAUAUGUUUUAAUAUUUUUUCAUGACAAUUAUUGUUUGGAUACUUAUCAUGUUUUUGUGCCCUUAACCUUCAAUGGGCUUGAACUUCAAUUAAUCAUUUAUAUUAGUUUCUUAUAAAGAAGAUUAAUUUACAACAUUUUGCCCAUGUGCGCAUUCUGAAGAGUAUUUGUUAGCUGUAGACUCAUUUGUAGAAUGCCUUUUUGAUCGUAGACGUAUUCAGUAAAAUGUUUAUUAGCUACUACAACAGAAUAGGCUUUUCAUGGCAUGGGAAAUAUGCUGUCAAUGGGAUAUGACGGCAAAAACAUGCAUGCCGUUGAUCCAUGAGCCGUGGAAAGCUAUGGGUUUUAACGGCCAACAUUUAACGCUAUUAACUAUGCUAUAGAAUGUAUUACACGGUGAAGGGUAUCCACCGCUGAUAAUUUCAUCAAUAGCCAUCAUUACUCCCCGUUAUAUCUUUGGUGCCAAUCUUGUUUUAACCAUCCACAGCAAUAAUAACUAGCCGUGGAUUGUUUCAUCAACGGCCAAUACUACUCCCCGUCUUUUUUUUUUGGCACUAAACAUAGUUCAACAUUUAACGAGAAAAAGAAUAUGUUGUGAUAAAAUGUGACAGCAUGGUUAGUACAUGCCGUUGUAACAAGUUUUAACAGUGAUAAUAAAAUUUUGAUGUGGAAUAUUUAUAUAACAGUCAUUAUUUUUGAAAAAAUCAAUUUUCCCAUAUAAUUAACCUGUUGCAAUGUAAAUUAACUUACUAUUUAAUUCCUCGAUAGAUUCCUGAUUUCAUUUAUAUAAAUAAUACAUUUGAAUUUUCUAAAUAAAUAAAGUAAACAUACACACGAUUGUCCAAACAAAAUUGUAUUCAAAUUUGUGUACACAUGGUGUCCAAACAAAAUUGUAUUAAAAAAAGAAAAAAAAAUCUGUAAUGAACAAUCUGAUAUAAAGAACUCAUUGUCAAGAAAAGAUGGAAAAUAUAGCCAUUGUUUGAAAAGAAACUACUGAGUACCAAACAUAGUAUCCUUAACAUGAACUUAAAUUAAGCAACUUGAUCAAGUCCUCUAUGAUGAAAACAUUCAUUAUUGCGAAAUAAUCUUUACCCAAGAACUUCAAAUUCCUGCAACAAUGAGAAUUAAAAUAUUAUGUUCUAGUUUAUAAACUCCCAACUUUUAUUUUUUACGUAUAUAGACAUAUGACAUUCUAUAGGUAAAAUAUAAUUUAAAUUAUAGCAUUACCUUUACUUGAGUUAAUCCAAGGUGAUGUACUUUAUAGGCCAUGCAAUUGUGCUCCCUUUUGCAUCACCUAAGUUAAAGAACUCUUGACUUGGUCAAACCAGAGAUAAUGAUGGCUUAUUCACUUCAUCAACCCAUACUUUGUAGUAAUCUGGUCCAAGUUGAACAUGGUGGACCAAUGCCUCAGGAUUUGUUACAGCUAUCAUUCUUUUUGCAACCACUUCCCCAGUACCCAACCAAUUUAAGAGUUUACAAGUAUCACCAUUAGUUGGAGUAUUUGGAAUAGCUGUGCUAUCUUCAAAGGACUGUUAGAAAACAAAAAAUUAUAUAUCAAAACAAAGUAAAAAUUUGUUUUUGGAAAAUCAUAAAUUUAUAUAUAAAACAUAUGAAACCAAUAAAACUUGGGGAGUUGGUGCAAGAUUAUUGUCCAAGUUGUCAUCAAUGUUAACAUGGUCCUGUUAAAAUAUAAAAAUCAAAAUAAUAUUAUAUGAAAAAAGUAAAUAUGAUGUUACAAUUAAUUAUUAAUUUAAAUAACUUACCUUACUAAAUCUUCUCCUAGACAUGAAAAAAUUUUGAAAUUCAGUAAAUUGAUCACUUAGUUCUUUUAAAUCAUUCUCAAGCUUCUUUACUUUGCGGUUGCCUUGGACCUAUGUAGCUACUUUUGAAGGUGUUACACCAAAUCCCAUACCUUUGACACAGCCAGGACGCUCAUCACCUUUUAGUUUUGCAAUUCCAUCAUUCUUUAAGGAGGUUUGAUCCUCUUCAAUUGACAUUGCAGAAAUUUCUUCAAGCUUUUUCUAAAUGAAUAUUUAUUACAAGAUACUAAGACUAUAUUAAUGGAAUUUCAUAUCAUAUUAUUGUUAUAUAAACCAAGCAAUUGUAUUUAUUAGUACCAUUGAUUCAGCAACAGCUGCAUUAAUUGGUUGUCCAUUCUUUCGUGUACGUGAUUUAAGCCAAACGUUUACUCUAGUACCUGAAGAUGGAUCAUUUUUUAUCUACCAAUAAAACAGAAGAUAAUAAGAAAAAAAAACCUCAUCUAGAUAGCACAUAUUCCACAAUCAAGUUUGAAGUAGAUAAAACCAUUUCAUCCCGUGUCCAUGCCAUGCCUUUUCGACUCGUUGUGUGAGGCUCUGUUUGUGUUGCUCUCAAUUGUUGGAAUUUUUCACUUCUCUCCUAUAAGACAUAGGAUUUAUUGAAUGUAGUAACAUGAAAUAUAAAUAAUAUAUUGACAUACAUACUUUCCAAUCUUUGCUUAAUCGGUGGGCAACAAAUUUCUUUCAUUCUUCAUCAGUCACAUCUUCAGGUUUUAGCAACUUCAGUUUCCUAGUUGCAUCAGGCAUUUGAAAUGCUUCCCUUAUACUAAUUGACAAUCUGGAUUUGUAAUCUGUCCAUAACUUUCUCAUUCGAGCAAGUAUGUUUUCUUUUUGAUGGUCAUCAAUAAUAAACUUUUGCUGCAAUGAUAUUAAAAUAAACAACAUUGUUAGUUGCUUUAAAGUAUUAUUAUUUAUAAAUGAAAUUAAUAAAAAGGCUAUCAUACCUUAACAGCUGUCCAAAGCACUUCUUUAGUUUCUAAAUCAACAGUGAUCCAACAAUCUGGAAGUAUUGAUACCGUCUCUUGAACAAAUACUCCCAUGGCCGAACUCAACACUACGGAGGCUGGUCCGAUUGGUUGGUAAUAUUCAUUGAACUCUUACCACUAGGCACUCAUUUUUUUUAGUUGCCACCACAUUCAUCCUUGAUGGGCCUCUUUUCUUCUUCUCUGUUAACGUGUUAAAAUUUUCAAACUUCCAACAUUACUAUUUAUUACAAAAUAGCCAAAUUAAAAAAUAUACAAUAAAUAAAAUAUUAUUAUGUCAAAGAAACGAAAAGAGAAUCAUGAGAAAAACAUAUAAUUAAAUAAAUAUUUCAUGACUAAAUAAAAUAAAGACCUGAUUUUGUUGGCUCAGAUGGUUCACUGAAACUUUGUGGGUUGGACUGACUAUCUAAUCUUCGCCUUAUCUCAUGCUCCUCUCUUGCAACAGUAUUUGAUGCUAGGAAUGGUCUUUUUCCUUUGCUCUUAUCCUUUAGGAAGUUGGAAACAUUUAUAAGUUCAACAAAAAGUAUUUCUUAAUGUUCUAAUCAAUGAAUUAUAUCAAAACACUUCUAAAACUUACCUUUCCACCGUUGCCCAUAGUCAUUUUCUCUAAUUAAGUGUUCACGAUAAAAAUGAAUCUUUAUGCUAGCUACAACAUGUUAAGAGUAAGUGAACAUGAUAUAUCAUUAGGAAAAGAAAAGGAUAAAAUACAGCUGUUGCUACAAAUAUAACAACAUUAUUAGCAUAUGUUCAUUGUUCAUACUACAGUAAAUCAAAUAUGCAUUCACACUAUAAAAAAUAAUAAACAAUGAAUUCCAAAUUCAAAAUGAAUAAUAAUAGUUUAAAUUUCAAUUUCAAUUUCCUCAGAAUCCUUCCUUACAUGAGGAUUAUUACCAUCCACAUUAUUAGGCUCCAGCCUAGAAGCAUCGAUAGGCAUAUUAGUUGAAUUUACAUUCUCAUCAUACAUAUUAAGGUCGUGAUAGCCCCUUAGUGUUGCUUUAAGUACAACAUACCAAUUCGAUGUAUCACUUUCUCGAGAGUAAAAAACUUUUUUCGCUUGUGACGCCAAUAUGAAAGGAUCUAUUUGCCAUUGAUUUUGUCCUUGAUGGAGAUUCACCAAUGUGAAACCAUCAUCUUGCUUGACUCCAUUUAUAGUGUUAGCCCAAUCAUAAUGAAAUAUGGGCAUUUGAAAUGUACGAUAGUCAAGCAAAAUGAUAUUCUUUUUAUAACCCCAUAGUAGGAUACAUUUCCAACAACUGCAGCAUUAUCCUUUGCACUAGAUCUACAUACAGUUUCUGCUUCAAUAAAGACACCACUAUCUUGAGUUGACCUUUCUACUUCCCUUGUAUGAAAUCUUUGACCAUUAACAAUGAAACCAACAAAAGACAUUGCAUGCAUCCUAGGCCCUUUUGCUAGUGACUUUAAUGUGUCAGAUACAUUAGCCAUACUUUCUUGGAUCUUUAUCUAUUCACUAAUAAACCAAACAAUAGGCCAGUAUAUGCAUUGAAAAGUUUAUUUCAUUUGAUUUUUUUUAAUGUCAACUUAGAUGGACUAAAUGAUUAGCUUACCUUUUCUGCUAACCAUUGGGAAAAAGUUUCAGUGUGCAUUUUGUGUAGCUCUUGAAUAUCAGACCUACGUCUCCUAAAUGAUCUCUGCAAUUCCUCCAUAUGCAUUCUAAGAUGAAACUAAGUUAAUUACAAGACUAAAUACAUAAAUUAAAUAAUAUACAUGAUCGAUAAAUACUCACUCUCGAAAUGGCUCCGCUUCUAUUGUAUUUAAUAAUACAUAACGAUGUGCGAUUUUUAUCAUAGCUUCAGACAUUUUCAAUGGUCGUCCUUUUAAGAUUAGCCGCCCUCCUAUAAUUAUCUCGUCACUACUUUCCUUGUUACGCAUAGGAAGUGCACCUAUAUUUUUUGCUUUUUACAUAUAUCCGCUACAAAACCUUACACACUCCUCAGCUAGACAACACUCUGCUAUACACCCUUCAAGCCUUGCAUGAUUUCUAAUGUAUCCCUUAAGUGUUUUCAUACAUCUAUAUAAAAGUAAAAGAAAUAUUAACUAUUUAAAAAGUGAAUUUAAAAAGAAAAAAGAUAAGAAAAAGAGAUAAUUAUUACCUUUCAAAUGGGAACAUCCAACGAUAGUAAACUGGCCCACAUAAUCGAGCCUCUCGCCCUAAAUGAAUUGUCAAGUGAAUCAUAAUAUCGAAAAAUGCUGGUAGGUAGUACAUCUCCAACAUACAGAUAGUCUCAUACAUAUCUGACUCUAAUUUUUCCAAUGCAUUUCUAUCUAUUACUCUUUGAUAUAAUUGAUUGAAAAAUGCACAUAUUCGAAAUAUUGUUGUCCUAGGUCCACUAGGUAAAAGAUUUCUCAAUACUACUGGUAGUAAUUGCUGCAUUAACACAUGACAAUCAUGUGACUUUAGACUUGUUCUCUUACACUCUUCUACUGAAACACAAUUAGCAAUAUUAGAGUUAUAACCAUCAGGUACCUUUAGCUCAGAAAGACGCUUACAAAAUAUUAUUUUCUCCUCCUUUGACAAUGUGAAUGAUGCUGCUGGCAAUGUAAGUUUAUUUUCUUUUAAAUUAGGCUGCAAGUCUUGUCUAAUGCCCAUUGUCACUAAAUCUCUACGAGAUUCAAUUCCGUCUUUUGUUUUCCCUUUAUGUUCAGUAAUGUUCCAAUUAGACUAUCACAAACAUUCUUCUCAAUAUACAUCACAUCCAAGUUGUGACGCAAGUCUAACUCCUGCACACAAUAAAGUUUUUUAAUUCAUAAUUUAACUCAAGAAAAAAUUAAAAGAAACUAAAAUACUAUUUAGUAUCUAUUUUUCAAUUAUCUUUAAAAUUUUCUAUCAUUAGAAAAUUGCUUCAAAUACUUAUAAACAAAAAACCAAUUUAAAAAUGACUAAAAACAAAUCUUAGACAAAUAAAAGAAAUGAAGUAUUAAACAAUGAUAAGAGAUUACCUUCCAAUAAGGUAAGUUAAAAAAAAUUGACUUCUUCUUCCACAUACUUUUUGGCUCAUUUUGCCUCCUGCUUCUCUUUUUCUUAUAUUUACCCCAAUUGUUUUGAAUAUUAUUUAAGGCAAGUACAAUGUCUUCACCCGUCAAAGGUUUAGGAGGCCAUCUUGUUUCUUCCUUUCCAUCAAACCAAUUUUUUUUCUCAAUACACCAUUCAUGUCUCGGAUGUAAAAAUCAUCUAUGACCUCUAUAUACCAUCUUUUUACUAUUUACUAACCAUUUAGAACAUAGGUUCGGACCACAUAUAGGACAUGCUAACUCUCCUUUUGUAGUACAUCUAGCUAAAUUAUCAUAAGCUGGAAAAUCAUUAAUUGUUCACAUCAAAAUAGCUUUUAGUUUAAAAGUAGACUUAUUCAAAGAAUCAUAAGCUGGAACACCAUUGUUCCACAAUUCAAUCAAAUCAUCUAUUAAUGGCUCCAAGAAUACAUCGAUGUCAUUUCCUGGUUGUUUUGGCCCUGGUAUUAACAAUGUCAACAUUAUGUUCUCCUCAGACAUACAUACCCAUGGAGGGAGGUUAUAUAUUACUAGGAAAAUAGGCCAACGACUGUAUACAGAGCUAAGAUUACUAAAAGGGUUAAACCCAUCAGCAGUAAGCCCAAACCUAAUAUUUCUUGGAUCAGAUGCAAAAUCAGACCAUUUUUUAUUGAUGUUAUCCCAUGCCACUGAAUCAACAGGGUGUCUCAUUUUUCCAUCUGAACUUUUGUUAAUUGCGUGCCACUUCAAUUGUUCUACUUUUUCACAUGACAUAAACAUCUUUCUAAGUCUAGGUAUUAUAGGGAAAUAACGCAGCACUUUUGCUGGUACUCCUGUCCUAAUCUUCUUAGUUAGAGAAUUUACUUGCCAUCUAGAGGUGUUACACUUAGGACAUGUAUCUAAAUUUUCUUUCUCCUUGGUGAAGAGACAACAAUCAUUAACACAAGCAUGGAUUUUUUUGUAACCGCUAUCAAAAUCCUUAAGCAAUUUCUUCACUAAGUGUAGAGAACCAGGUAAAACAUUAUCUUCAGGUAACAUAUCACAAAUAAUCUGAAGAAGUUAAUUAAAACCAUUAUCAGAUAAUCCAUGUGCAAUCUUGUGUUUAUAUAAGGCAACAGUUGCUGACAUUUUUGUAUAUUUUGAACAUCCUAGGUAUAAAGAAGUCUCAGCAGCUUUCACCUUUUCAGUAAACUCAUUUUCUUCUAAUCUAGGUGUGGUAUCAUCAAUGUAGUCAUUUGGGCUAUCCAUGACACCAUAAUUUUGAAGAUAAGCAUCAUUAUACAUUUCGUAUGUGUCUGUCAUCUUCACAUCUUUAUCUUGCCUAGAAGUGUUAGCUAUAUGGCUAUAAAUAUUGAUUUUGAUGAUAAAAGGCCACAUGUAUUUAUUAAGCAAAGAUUUAUGAAUUGUGCUUUUAUAAUAAGAAAAUGAUGUUAUGGAAUUAAAUUAUUUUGGACUAAAAUGAUAGUGUUUUUAAAUUUCGGAUUUGGACCUAUUUGAAACUGUUUAAAUAUUUUUGGGCCAUUCUAUAAUUUCACAAAGUUUGGGCGAAGUCAUAAUUUCAAAAAGUUGUGGGAUUGACAAAGCAUUAUUCUAAAAUUCAGAAAUUGGACCUUUUUGCAAACUUUCAUAACGUUUUGGGCCACGCUACAGUUUUAUAAAGUUUUGGGAUCAAAUUAUAAAUUUGGAAAAAUUUUCACUAUAGCAGUUACUGUAGCAAGCGGCUAUCCGGAUUCUGACAAACGAAAGUCCGGACUUUAGGCAGAAUCUAUCCGAAUUGAAAGCAGCUAACCGGAUCCUGACAAACAGAAAUCCGGUUGUUGGGCAGUAAGCUACUGAGCAUAAGCGGAAAUUCGGAUUUGACAAAGCGGCAAUCCGGAUGUUCAAAAAUUCAAAAUUGUGGCUGUAACGGUAACAUUAAGCGGAAUUCCAGAUAUCCAUAACCGGCAAUCCGGUUACAACCAAAAUGUGCAUAACGACUAGUUUUUGAGCUCAAACUAUAUAAACUCAAAUCCAACUCAUUUUCUAGCUCUCCAACAAGCAAAAACAAAAAGCACACGUGAUAUCUUGAGCCUUCAAACUUGCGAAAUACAAACAUUGAAUCUUUUCUUGUUCUUCAUUUUUGAAUAUCUACUCAUUGAGUGAGUUUCAUUGUAACCUUCAUUUAUUCAUCUCAAUUGUAAGAGUUUGAGUGUGUGAGACACUUGAGUGAAGAGAUUGGGAGAUAAUCUCUUUGUUGUAAAGGUUUAUUGACACCUCGAAGUUAAUUGUAAUCGUUGAAGCCUUGGAAAGGCUUGGAUAAUGGAAUCCUCAAGCUUGGAUCGCUUGGAGGCGUGGACGUAGGCGGGGAUUGCCGAACCACGUAAAAAUUUGUGUGUUUGUUUCUCUUCUCCCUUACUCUUUAAUUAUUGUGCUUUUCUUGAACUUAUUGCUUUUAAUUUUUUUUAAGAAAUUAGAUUGCUUAUUGUGUGAAUUUGCUAGGAUAAUUUUUAAAUUUCCAAUUCACCCCCUCCCUCUUGGGUUGCACACUUAUAUUUCAUUUGGUAUCAGAGCAAGGUGCUCUUAUUUAGACUUAACCGUCUAGAGCUAAAGAUCAAUGGCAACUCAAAAUGAUUCCACAUUUAGGGAAGGAUAGUCCACCACUAAACCACCUUACUUUGAUGGAAACGAUUACCCAUAUUGGAAAACUAGGAUGAGAAUUUACUUGCAAGCCUUAGAUUAUGAAAUUUGGGAAAUCGUUAAUGAUGGUCCUUUCAUGUCUUUGACUAAAAAUGAAGUCGGAGAAGAUAUUCCAAAACCUUCACGGGAUUGGAAUGAAUUUGAAAAGAGAAAAGCUUCUCUAAAUUCCAAGGCCAUGAAUGCCUUGUUUUGUGCACUAGAUAAGAAAGAGUUUCAUAGAGUGUCUAGUUGCGAAAGUGCUAAUGAGAUUUGGCACAAACUUGAAGUUGUCUAUGAAGGCACGAACCAAGUGAAAGAAUCUAAAAUAAGUAGGUACACUCGACAAUACAAAUUGUUCCAAAUGGAACAAAAUAAAAAUGCGUACUCUAUGUAUACUAGAUUUACGGACAUAGUGAACACUCUAGGAGCCCUAGGGAAAACUUUUUCAAAUAGCGAGAAAGUCAAGAAAAUCAUUAGGUCACUACCUAAAGAAUGGAGACCGAAAAGGACUGUCAUUGAGGAAGCUAAGGAUUUAAAUGUAUUACUUAUUGACGAUUUAAUUGGCUCUCUUAUUUCAUAUGAAGAAGAUUUGGCAGCUGAAAAAGGGCAUGAGGAAAAGAAGAAAAACAUUGCUCUCAAGGCCUCAAAACGUGAGAGUGAUGAGGAAAGCGAAAUGGAUGAUGAGGAGUUGGCUAUGUUGGCUAGAAGAUUCAGAAAAUUUUACAAAAAGAAUAAUGAGUGGAGAAAGUUCAGAGGCUACAAGAACAAGAAGGAGAAGAAGGAGCAAAUCACUUGUUAUGAAUGCAAGAAGCUCGGACACAUACGACCGGAAUGUCCUCUUCUCAACAAACUCAAGAAGAAAGCUAUGGUGGCCACAUGGGAUGAUAGCGAUGAGGAAACAAGUGACGAUGAUGAGCAACAAGAAGUGACAAAUUUAGCUCUUAUGGGCGUUGGGAAAGAAUCAUGUGACGAACUUGAUGAGGUAAGUGUUCUUCCUACAUAUGAUGAAUUACAUGAUGCCUUUAAGGAUUUGCAUGAUGAGCUGAUGAAGAUUGGCAAAAAGAAUAUAUGUCUUAAAAAGAAGAUGAUAGAGCUUAAAAAUGAAAAUGAAUCAUUUAAUGCAAAGAUUACAUGCCUAGAAUUAGAAAAUAAUAGCAUUGCAUUAUUUGAGAAUUCUAGCACUUCACAUGAGCACUUAGAGUCACACAUGAAUGAAUUGAAAAAUGAAAAUGAAAUGCUUAGAAAGAAAAGCAAUGAGCUAAAUGAAAUUGUGCUAAAAUUCACAAAUGGACAAAAGAUGUUAGACAAUUUGCUAAACUCACAAAAAUGUGUAUUUGACAAAAGUGGCAUUGGUUAUAAACCAAUUUUGAAACAAAAAUUUUACAAGAGCUAUUUUGUGAAGAAUACAUCUAUUAACAAUAAAAUUAUAUGUCAUUAUUGUAAUCAAGAUGGUCAUAUGAAAAAUAGAUGUGCAGUGAAGAGAAAUGCAUAUUAUGGUGUGAAAUGUGUUUGGGUUCCGAAAGGAAGCAUUGCUAACUCACAAGGACCCAAAAAGGUUUGGGUACCUAAAACUUGAGAUUUUCCCUACAGAGCUUAAAGAAGAAGAAGAAGAAGUGGUACUUGGACAACGGUUGUUCAAGACACAUGACAGGGAAUUAUUCUUGGUUUUCAAGUUUCACUAAGUGUUGUGCAAAUUUUAAUGUACUCGCAAGCGCACGAAUCUAUUGUAGAAUAUAUCAAUGGUGACGAGUGUCGAUCCCACGAGGAGGUAGAUUUUAAUUGUGUGUAGAAUUAAUUUUGUAAAUGGGUGAUUGGAUUUGUGAUGGAAAUGAUUUGGAAUAUGCUAAAACUUAAAUUAAAAUGGCGAGAAUAAAUUCUAAAAUUGGAAUUGAAAUGGUGAGAAUAAAUUGAAGAGAAUUCUAUUGAAAUAACGCACUUGGGUAUCUGAAUCCGUAUCAACAUGCAUCAUGGGCUAAAUAAUCCUUAUUAAUGCCAAUUAAAUCAUGAGGGGGGAAUCCACACCUCAUGAACCACGCUCUAAUCAAUAUGGUGCUAAGGGCUUACCGUGCCAAAUAAUAAUAACCUUGUAUUAGGGAGCCGGUGAAACCAAGGCAGUACUAAACAAGAUUAUUAUUAUUUGUCGACUAGAAGUUAAAACAUCCACAAAAAUUAGAGGGGAAGAGAAAAUAAAUUUACCAAAUAAAGCCCAUGACACAUGUUGAGACUUCACCUUCAACCCAAGCUUGAAAGAAAAUUAGCUACUCAUAAUUGAACUAGGGGCAAAAUAGAAAUUUAUUAAAAUAUGUAAAAAAAUACAAGAUGGAGAGAGAAUUAAAGAAAAUGGAGUCCAAAAAUGGAUUCAGAGCUAUCAAAUUAGGGGGGAGAGGCCCCCUUUUUAUAGAUACAUGGAGUAAAUCAUGGCCAUCGGAUUAAAAACUGUUUGGACGCUCAGGAUUGCGCCACAUCAUCAGUCAACAGUACGUGGUUUGACCACGCGGUUUGAACAGUAACGCGGUUUGGUUGAAAAUAAUCAUGUGUAAUGCAAGUACCGUACGCGCAAGUUUUGGUCUACUAAUAUUCUGCCACGUCACCAUCAACAGUUCAUAAGAAUUUUAGACCAACAGGAUCAUGACACCUCAUCAGUCAAUGCCAUAUCAUCGGUCAAUGCCACGUUAUCGAUCCGUUUAUGUGAACAGUGUCGUGAACUGUACCGUACAUGUGAACAAUGCCAUUUUUCCUUUUAUGCUCCUUCUAAGGUUUUCGACCGUCUUGAGUUCAAAAGUGAUGUCCGUUUUGCCGUUCGAUCUCUCGUUUAUUGUGAAAUGACUAUGACGCCCCUAAAAUACACAAAAUACUUAAUUAAAAUAAAACACACAUAAUUAAAUUACAAGAACCUUAAAUACAUAAAAGUAAGGGUUGCUAGUAAGACUUGAAAUGUAAAAUAACGAUUUUCUCCUUUAUAAAUAUACAUUUUCUAACACUCAACACACCGCCCAACCAGCUUAUUGCUAGUCCCUAGCAAAUAAAGCGAAAAUAAAAUUCAAACACAAUUUUUUUUUUUAACAAUCUUGUUUAUUCAAUCAGACUAAUGAUAGCAAUCAAAUAAAAAUAUAAGCAUUAUCUCCAGUCUAAAGCAACAUCACACCCACAUCAACCAUUCACAUGAAUCAGUCCAGUAGACUUUGUUAUAGCUACUUUCAAGAAUGACAUGUCAAACCCUAAAAUCUCACUGGAAGUAGUGACACUCUCACAAAGAAAUUAAAACCAAUAAAAAUAAUCACUCCAAUGAAUGGUAAUUGAGAGAGAAAAUAAUAAAGAAGUAAUAUCACAUGCUCUCACCAAGAUGAAAUAAAUAUCCCCUCAGCUUAAAAAUAAUACGAUCUCAAGUCAAACAAAAAUGCUAGUCAACCCAAUUUAUUUAUUUAUUUUUAUUUUUAUUUUAUUUUUUUUAUUAUGCACCACUACAUCUUUUUAGCCCACAUAACUAGCUUCUACUUCAGAUUAUAGUUCCCUAAAAUCAAGAAGGACUUUUAUUAGGAUGUAACGUAGGCUAGGAACAUGGUUAACAAAGAAGGGAAAUAAGGAAAACAAAGUGUAUGUUUGAGAAAAAUACAGAGGAUUUUUUUUUUUUGGAAGUUGCAAGGUGGAUUUCACCUAUUAUUGUUAUUAUUAUUUUUUCUUUUUUUUUAUUUGAAACAAUUUUUUUUUUUUUUGCUUUUGCUUGGCAUAACAUCACUGAACAAAAUAAUUAUUUACAUUUUUCUCAAACAUAAAUAGGUGAUGGAACUUAUAAGACAUCGAGUAAUACUCCAAAUCGGAGUGGGUCAAGAUGAUAAUUUUAACAAAUAAAAGGUUUUUUAUUUUAAGGCUCAAAAUGGUUAACUAUUGAUAUUUCACAAAAGGGAUGGCUAGAAAGGCUCAAACGGAUCAAAAAUGGCAUUUCCAUAGUCUUUUAGGGCUCUAAAUAACCUUCCAUAUCUACUAGUUAGAUGGGCCUCCCAAUGUAGCAACACACAUUUUUUUUUUCUUUUUUUUUUUUUUUAAAUUUUACAAUUUUUUUUUUUAGGGUUAACUCAAAAGAAAUCUAGAGAUUGUGUAUAAAAUAAUAAACUACUAAGCUGUAUAGAGAAUGAGCAAAAGGGUUACUCUCCAAGAAAAUGGUAGGCUCAACAACUCACUUGACACUUAUUUAUGACAUGUUCAUUCCUUCAAGCAACUCAUAUUUGUCUCCGACAUCAACAUGUAAAGGAGCAAACAUAGCGUAACAUCACUUAAAAUCAAAGAUAAUACAAAUGUUAAAAUUUGAAAUUAAUCGUGUCAUCCAAUGUUAAAACAAAUCACACAAUUUUUUUUUUAAACAACAUUCUACCCCCCAACUUAUUCUAAGCAUGAAAGAAAAAUAUGCAUGCAGAAAUGUGAAUAUGAUGCAGAAAAAUUAUUAAAGACAAUAAUGCACACAAUAAAACAAUAGUGAAAUAAAAUAACAGUAAAGUGAAAGGAUAUUUAUAGGUAGUUGCGACUGUGGCUCACAUCUUCCUCUGGUUUUACGGCAAAAAACGGCUUGAACGCCCUCUAUGGGUCGAGGAUAGGCUUCCUAUCUAGUUUUCUUAUAAACUGGCAAACAUGGUCGUUUAUAGUCAGAUUCCCGAGACUAUAUAGUGCAUGCUCUUUCUGAAAUAAUAGCCAUAACUGGAGAAUCGCUCCUUGCACAUAUCCACUGGGAUGCGUUUCAAGAAACAAAAGGAUAUCAUCCAAUGACUCCUUAUUCAAGCCAUCCCUAACGAAUUGAAUCUUAUCUUCACUGUUAUCAGACACCACUCCUAAAGAACAUGGGUUUUUAUUGCAACUCAUUCUGGCACACUUAUAACAAGCAACAGAAAUUCUUCGAGCUCGUCGUUUUCUUGCAUAAUUUCCUUUACCACAACCAGGCAGGUAUGCAAUAAAUUUUGGAGGUAACUCACCUGCCGAUCGUACUUUAGCCUCGAUUAACCAACGGAUGUCAGCAGGUAUGUUAUUCCUCAUGAGUAAUCGCAUGCGUUCGGACCGAGCUUUAUAGAUCGUAAGGAGGGCAUUCUGAGGAAGUGAAGGGAAUCGCUUGUGAAGCUUUGCUAGAGUCUCGUUUCUGUCCAUACCUUCGCUUCAGAAUAUCAAUUAUUAUGGGAAACUGAAGUAACCGACUUGAUUGUCACAGAGUACCGUUAUCCGCCACUUCACCGGGGUAACAAACUAAAUCACACAAACAGAAAAACAAAUUAAAACACACAAAGAAAAUUAAAACCGUCCUCUUAUUGAAUUUACCUCAAGCUCCAACUGGAUGUUGUAAACACUUCUCUCAAUGUCUCUGAGUUGGCUUUCUAAACCCUCAACAUAGGCUACUAACUCUGGUGGUUGUAGAGCCCAAAUACGAUGUGUUUUACAAAAUUGAAUCUGCCUUAUGAGAUGAGUUUUAACACGUUGAAGUGGUUUAAGAAUGUUCAGGAGGAACGGUCUAAGUAUGGUACUCAUGAUUAACAAUGAUAAGAAAAAAAAACUUAAUGGUAAAACAAACACACUUAUGCAAAAAUAAUUUCAAUUAGCAAAAGAAUAAUAAAAAGAAAGAAAGAAAAAUCAAACCACCGAAAAGAAAAAAAAAUCAAUUCAAAUCUGGUGGGUCACUCAAAUUUAUUUCGGUGUCUUCUCCAUGUGGUUGGUACUCUAGAUAUGGUUUUAAUCUUUGACCAUUAACUUUAAAUGUGACACUGUUCUUUGAGUCCUUAAUUUCAAUUGCCCCAUGUGGAAAAAAAGUAUGAACAAUAAAGGGACCAGACCAUCGAGAGCGUAACUUACUUGGGAAUAGGUGCAAGCGAGAAUUGAACAAAAGCACUUUCUGACCAGUGAAAGAUUUUCUCAUAAUUUGCUUGUCAUGGAAGACUUUCAUUCGUUGCUUGUAAAUCUUGGCAUUUUCGUAUGCAUCAUUGCGAAUUUCUUCAAGUUCUGCCAGUUGUAAUCUUUUUUCUGAGCUGGCUUGCUGCAUGUCAAAAUUGAAUUUCUUGAUGGCCCAAUAUGCACGAUGCUCGAGUUCCACAGGUAGGUGGCAAGCUUUUCCAUACACUAGCUUGUAGGGUGACAUCCCAAUCGGGGUCUUAAAAGCCGUUCUAUAUGCCCAUAAUGCAUCAUCAAGUCUUAAUGACCAAUCUUUUCUGUCUGGCCUUACCGUUUUUUCUAAUAUAUGCUUUAUUUCUCGAUUGGAGAUCUCAACUUGGCCACCGGUUUGCGGAUGAUAUGGGGUCGCCACUUUGUGAGUGAUUGAAUACUUUGUCAAAAGAGCUUUGAAUGCUUUGUUACAAAAGUGGGCACCACCAUUACUGAUUAUUGCUCGAGGGAAUCCAAAGCAUGAGACAAUGUUGCUUUUCAAAAAUGCUAUCACCACCUUGUGAUCAUUGGUCCUACAUGAAAUUGCUUCUACCCAUUUCGAUACGUAGUCAACAACAACCAAUAUGUAUUGAUGGCCAAAAGAAGGGGGAAAGAGUCCCAUGAAGUCGAUACCCCAUACAUAAAAAAUCUCAACCACUAAAAUUGGAUUUAGUGGCAUCAUGUUCCUUUGUGUAAUCCUCCCCAUUCGUUGACACCUAUCACAUGAAGAACAAAAAGUGUAAGCAUCUCGAAAUAUAGUUGGCCAAUAAAAACCACAUUGUAAAACUUUAGUUGCUGUUUUCUUAGCACUGAAAUGACCUCCACAAGCUUGUUCAUGGCAGAAUGAAAGAAUAUUAUGAAUUUCAUUUUCUGGGACACAUCGUCUAAUAAUUUGGUCUGCACAAUACUUGAACAAAUACGGGUCAUCCCAAAAGAAAUUCUUUAUCUCUGCAAAGAAUUUAGCCUUAUCUUGCUUGGUCCAAUGCUCUGGAAGUUUACCUGUAACAAGAUAAUUAACGAUAUCAGCAUACCAAGGUAAUACUUCCACACUCAUUAAUUGUUCAUCUGGAAAUGACUCAUUCAAUAUUAAUGGCUCUGUAAUUGCGUCAAAAUGGAGACGGGAGAGGUGGUCUGCCACAGCAUUUUCUGUCCCUUUCUUAUCUUUGAAUUCCAAGUCAAAUUCCUACAAAAGUAACACCCAACGAAUUAGUCUAGCUUUUGCAUCUUUCUUUGUGAGAAGAUAUUUAAGAGCAGCAUGAUCUGUGAACACGAUUAUUUUACAACCAAUGAGAUAAGAUCGAAAUUUCUCUAAUGCAAACACUACUGCUAGCAUUUCUUUUUCAGUAGUUGAAUAGUUCAAUUGUGCAUCAUUCAAUGUCAUACUAGCAUAGUAAAUAACGUGGGGAAUUCGAUCAACUCUUUGUCCUAAUACUGCUCCUACUGCAUAAUCAGAUGCAUCACACACCUCAUCAACAACUGCUUUAACUUUUCAAAUGCUACAAGACAUGAAUCAUCAAAGACAAAAGGUACAUCCUUAGCAAGUAAAUUGCAUAAGGGUCUAGAAACUUUGCUAAAAUCUUUAAUGAAACAUCUAUAGAAACCAGCAUGCCCAAGGAAAGAUCUUACUUCUCUGACUGUUUUGGGUGGAGGAAGAUUAGAAAUGAGAUCCACCUUGGCUUUGUCAACCUCAACACCUUUGCUCGAAAUGAUAUGACCGAGAACAAUAUCUUGUUUUACCAUAAAAUGACAUUUCUCCCAAUUUAAGACCAAGUUCUUCUAGAUACAUCUCUGCAGAACUAGUGUUAGAUGAUGUAAACAUUGAUCAAACGAAUCAUCAAAGACAGAAAAGUCAUCCAUAAAGACUUCAAGGAAUCGUUCAACCAUAUCAGAAAAAAUGCUUAACAUGCUGUUGAGUGUUAGAAAAUGCAUAUUUAUAAAGGAGAAAACCGUCAUUUUACAUUUCAAGUCUUACUAACAACCCUUACUUUUAUGUAUUUAACCUUCUUGUGAUUUAAUUACAUGUGUUUUAUUUUAAUUAAGUAUUUUAUGUAUUUUAGGGGCAUUAUAGUCAUUUCACAAUAAAGGAGAGAUCAGACGGCAAAACGGACAUCAGUUUUGAACUCAGGACGGUCGAAAACCUUAGGAGGAGCACAAAAGGAAAAAUGGCACUAUUCAUAUGUACGGUACUAUUCACGUGUACGGUACUAUCUAUGUUACUGUUCACAACACUGUUCACAUAGACGGAUCGAUGAUGUGGCAUUGACCGAUGAUGUGGCAUUGACUGAUGAGGUGUCACGAUCCUGUUGGGCUAAAAUUCUUAUGUACUGUUGAUGGUGACGUGGCAGCAUAUCUGUGGAUGAAAAAUCUCGCGUACGGUACAUGCAUCACACAGGAUUAUUUUCAACCAAACCGCGUUACUAUUCAUCCGAGUCAAACCGCGUUACUGUUCAUCCGCGUGGUCAAACCGUGGCUGUUGACUGAUGACGUGGCACAAUCCUGAGCGUCCAAACUGUUUUUAAUCUUAUGGCCAUGAUUUACUCCAUGUAUCUAUAAAAAGGGGGCCUCCCCCCUCUAAUUUGAUAUCUCUGAAUCCAUUUUUGGACUCUAUUUUCUGUAAUUCCUUCUCCAUCUUGUAUUUUCUUUGUAUUUUAAUAAAUUCUCAUUUUGCCCCUAGUUCAAUUAUGAGUGGCUAAUUUUCUUUCAAGCUUGGGUUGAAGGUGAAGUUUCAACAUGUGUCAUGGGCUUAAUUUGGUAAAUUUAUUUUCUCUUCCCCUCUAGAUUUUGUGGAUCUUUUGACUUCUCGUCGACAAAUAAUAAUAUUCUUGUCUAGUACCGCCUUGGUUUCACCGGCCCUCUAGUACAAGGUUAUUAUUAUUUGGCACAAUAAGCCCUUAGCACCAUAUUGAUUAGAACGUGGUUCAUGAGGUGUGGAUUCCCCCCUCAUGAUUUAAUUGGCAUUAAUACGGAUUAUUUAGCCCAUGAUGCAUGUUGAUACGGACCCAGAUACCCAAGUACGUCAUUUCAAUAGAUUUCGCUUCAAUUUAUUCUCGCCAUUGCAAUUCUAAUUUUAGAAUUUAUUAUCGCCAUUUCAAUUCCAAUUUUAGGAUAAUUUAAAUCACUUCCACCACAAUUCCAACCACCCAUUUAUAAAAUUAAUUCUAUAUAUAAUUAAAAUCCACCUCCUCGUGGGAUCGACACUCAACACCAUUGAUCUAUACUACAAUAGAUUCGUGCGCUUGCGAGUACAUUAAAAUUUGCACAACAAGUUUUUGGCGCCGUUGCCGGGGAGGUAAGUAAUUUUAAUUCAUAGAAUUAAUUUUUGUGAAUAUUUCCAUUUAAUUGUUUUCUUGUAUUUUUUUUAUUUAAAAAAAAAGAAAAAAAAGUGAAUUUAUAUUUAAAGGUUAGUAUUUCUUUUCUUUUUCUCUUCUUUAAAAUUCUGUAAUUUAAUUUUCAAUUUAUUUUUCUUUGUAAUUUUUUUUUGUUUAUCUUAUUAAUUUUUUUUUAGUUAAUUUAUUUCACGUAUUUGCUUUUGUGUAUUUUUAUAGAAAGGUUUUAAUAGCGCAAUAAGGUUAGUAUCGUAAUUUCUCCCUCUUCUUUAUUUUUAUUUAUUUUGUUCCCAUCUUUAUUUUUAUUUUAUUUGUUUUGCAUGCAUGGUCGUAGGUCAUUAUUUCCUAAUCUUGAACCUAUAGACCUUGAACUAGAAAAAACACUUCACACACAAAAGCACAUUAAAAAUAAAUUUGGAAUGGAUUUACAAGCACCACAAGAGAGGCCAUUUAAGGAUUAUUUCAGUCCUUUAGCUAAUUUGAGCACAUCAUGCAUAAGAUACCCAAAUGUAGCUGCUAGGAGUUUUGAAUUAAACCCUAGUGUGCUAAAUUGUCUCCCAACAUUCUAUGGCCUAGAAAAUGAGGAUCCAUAUAAUCAUCUGAAUGAUUUUCAUACUAUUUGUCAAACUUUUAAAUACGAGAAUUUUUCAGACGAUGAUGUUAAACUUAGACUAUUCCCAUUCUCUUUAAAGGAUAGAGCUCGCUCAUGGCUUAAUACAUUACCUGCUAAUAGCAUUUCAUCAUGGGAACAAAUGGUAACUAAAUUUUUGAAUAAAUAUUUCCCAGUGCAUAAGACCAAUGCUAUUCGCAGGGAAAUCUCGGAGUUUACCCAGAGAGGGGACGAACAAUUUUUCGAAACAUGGGAGCGAUUCAAUGGGCUACUCUUGAAGUGUCCACAUCAUGGGUACGAGAAAUGGCACCAAUGCCAAUACUUUUUGGAGGGAUUAUUGCCGAAUGUGCAAGAAUGGCUAAUGGCAACAAGUGGAGGAGAGCUAAUGUCAAAAAGUGCAUCAGAGAUUUGGGAAUUCUUUCAGCGACAAGCGGAUAAUUCCCAACAACGGAGUCGAUCACUUAGGAAUACUAGAAGAAUUAAGGGAGUAAAUGAGGUUCAAAUUGGCGAGUCAACUUCGGGAAUCAAAGAAGUCAAGGAGAUGGUUGAAGGUCUUGCUCGACAAAUAGCAUCGUUAUCGACUGCUAAAUCAACAGAACCACAUGACCAUGACUCAUACUCCGAUCAAGUCAAUGCCAUAGGUGUAAUGAGAAAACCAUCGAAUUAUAACCCAUACUCCAACACAUAUAACCCUGGAUGGAGAGACCACCCCAAUUUUUCAUGGUCUCAAGGAUUCCAACAGAAUGGACCAACAGCUCCAGCUCCACCAAUGCAACAAAUUUUUCAAAAUCCUCAAGCCUCUCAGCCCCCAUUUAGACCAUACAAUCAGAACCAGAACUACUCUCAACCCAGACCAUGGGAGGAUUCAUUCCAGAAUCUCAAGAAUCUUACUCACUCCACGAUUGAGCAACAGAACCGCACCAUUGAUGGACUACGAAAUGAGUUAAGAGCAGGCUUCAACUCACAAGCUCAAUCAGUUACAAGCCUCGAGAAGAUGGUGGGACAACUUGCUUCUUCAGUUCAGACCUUGGCAAUGACUGUUGAGAAAUGCAAAUUUCCAAGUCAACCAGUGCCUAACCCUAAAGGAGUACAUGAAGCAAGUACCAGUUCACCACAGCAGCAUGGAGAGGUCAAAGCAGUCAUGACCUUGUGAAAAGGAAAAGAAGUCGACAACAAAGUGGAGAUGCCGGUGACAAAAGAAAAUCAAAUUGUACCUGUGAGUGUUGAGGACUCAUCACCGGAGGAGAAAGAAAAAACCAACCCACGAGAAUAUGUUCCGAAAGCUCCAUUUCCUCAGAGGUUAGCUAAAGGAAAAAAAGGAAAAUCCACAGGUGAGAUUCUUGAAAUCUUCAAACAGGUAAGUGUUAACAUCCCUUUACUUGAUGCUAUUAAACAAGUUCCAUCUUAUGCCAAGUUUUUUAAGGACCUUUGUACUAAAAAGAGAAAUAUGCAUGUUCAAAAGAAGGCAUUUUUAACAGAAAAUGUUAGUUCUAUACUCCAACAUAAAAUUCCUUUAAAAUGCAAAGACCCAGGCUCCCCCACUAUCUCAUGUAGUAUAGGGAACCACACAAUUGAGAAUGCUUUGUUGGAUUUAGGAGCUAGUGUAAAUCUUUUGCCUUACUCUGUAUUCGUGAAACUUGGACUGGGAGAAUUACACCCAACUCCAGUGGUGUUACAGCUUACAGAUCGGUCCACGAAAAUACCUCGUGGUAUUGUGGAGGACGUGCUUAUCCAGGUAGACAAGUUUUAUUUUCCUGUUGAUUUCAUUGUAAUUGACACUCAACCAAUACAGGAUUCGAGGAAGCACAUCCCCAUUAUUCUAGGCCGACCUUUCUUGGCAACUGCGGAUGCUUACAUUCAAUGCAGGACUAGAAAUAUGCAGUUGUCCUUCAGCAACAUGACUAUGGAGCUGAACAUCUUCAACAUUGCCAAACAACCUCACAAUGCAGAUGAUGGAAUUGUUGAUGUGGAUUUAAUAAAAGCAUUAGUUGAUAAUACUUUUGUUUCAAACCUUAGUGAUGAUCCUUUACAAACAUGUUUAACUCACUUUGGUUUGAAUUUUGAUAUUGACAGAUCGGUCGAUGAGGUCAACGCCCUGCUUGACUCAGCACCAUCUAUGGACACUGAUAAAUGGAAGUCAAGAGUUGAGCAACUAGCACCAUCAGAAAGGAAACUCAUCCCAUCAUCAGAAUCACCACCGAAACUCGAGCUCAAACCAUUACCCAACACUCUGGAAUAUGCAUUUUUGGGAGAAGAAAGUACUCUGCCGGUAAUCAUCUCAUCAUCCCUAAAUGACGAACAAAAAGGUAAGUUGUUAGAUAUUUUGAAAGAGCACAAAGGGGCAUUAGGAUGGACCAUAGCAGACAUUAAAGGUAUAAACCCAGUAGACUGCAUGCAUUACAUUCACCUUGAUGAAAAUGCUAAAUCUACUAGGGAAAUGCAACGUCGGUUAAAUCCUAAUAUGAAAGAAGUUGUUAGAACAGAAGUCCUUAAGCUAUUAGACGCAGGUAUCAUUUACCCAAUUUCUGAUAGUUCAUGGGUCAGUCCUGUACAAGUUGUCCCAAAAAAGUCAGGAGUCACAGUAGUUAUAAAUGCUGAUAAUGAAUUGAUACCCACUAGAGUGACUACAGGAUGGCGUGUAUGCAUUGAUUAUAGAAAGUUGAAUUCUGUCACACGUAAAGACCAUUUUCCUUUACCAUUUAUCGAUCAAAUGCUUGAUAGAUUGGCAGGCCAUGAAUUUUAUUGCUUUCUAGAUGGCUACUCAGGAUAUAAUCAGAUUCCCAUAGCACCAAAAGAUCAAGAGAAAACUACUUUCACUUGCCCUUUUGGCACAUUUGCAUAUAGGAGAAUGCCAUUUGGAUUAUGUAAUGCACCUGCUACAUUUCAACAAUGCAUGUUAAGCAUUUUUUCUGAUAUGGUUGAACGAUUCCUUGAAGUCUUUAUGGAUGACUUUUCUGUCUUUGGUGAUUCAUUUGAUCAAUGCUUACAUCAUCUAACACUAGUUCUGCAGAGAUGUACCGAGAAGAACUUAGUCUUGAAUUGGGAGAAAUGUCAUUUUAUGGUAAAACAAGGUAUUGUUCUCGGUCACAUCAUUUCGAGCAAAGGUAUUGAGGUUGACAAAGCCAAGGUGGAUCUCAUUUCUAAUCUUCCUCUACCCAAAACAGUUAGAGAAGUAAGAUCUUUCCUCGGGCAUGCUGGUUUCUAUAGACGUUUUAUUAAAGAUUUUAACAAAGUUUCUAGACCCUUAUGCAAUCUACUUGCUAAGGAUGUACCUUUUGUCUUUGAUGAUUCAUGUCUUGCUGCGUUUGAAAAAUUAAAGCAUUUGUUGACAUCAUCACCCAUCAUUCAGGCCCCAAACUGGAGCUUACCAUUUGAGCUAAUGUGUGAUGCAUCUGAUUAUGCAGUAGGAGCAGUAUUAGGACAAAGAGUUGAUCGAAUUCCCCACGUUAUUUACUAUGCUAGUAUGACAUUAAAUGAUGCACAGUUGAACUAUUCAACUACUGAAAAAAAAAUGCUAGCAGUAGUGUUUGCAUUGGAAAAAUUUCGAUCAUAUCUCAUUGGUUGUAAAAUAAUUAUAUUCACGGAUCAUGCUGCUCUUAAAUAUCUUCUCACAAAGAAAUAUGCAAAAGCCAGACUAAUUCGUUGGGUGUUACUUUUGCAGGAGUUUGACUUGGAAUUCAAAGAUAAGAAAGGCAUAGAGAAUGUUGUGGCAGAUCACCUCUCUCAUCUCCAUUUUGACACAAUUACAGAAUCAUUACCAUUGAAUGAGUCAUUUCCAGAUGAACAAUUAAUGAAUGUGGAAGUAUUACCUUGGUAUGCUGAUAUAGUUAAUUAUCUUGUUACAGGUAAACUUCCAGAGCAUUGGACCAAGCAAGAUAAGGCUAAAUUCUUUGCAGAGAUAAAGAAUUUCUUUUGGGAUGACCCUUAUUUGUUCAAGUAUUGUGCAGACCAAAUUGUUAGACGAUGUGUCCCAGAAAGUGAAAUUCAGAAUAUCCUUUCAUUCUGCCAUGAACAAGCUUGUGGAGGCCAUUUCAGUGCUAAGAAAACAGCAACUAAAGUUUUACAAUGUGGUUUCUAUUGGCCAACUAUAUUUCGAGACGCUUACACUUUCUGUUCUUCAUGUGAUAGGUGUCAACGAAUGGGGAGCAUUACACGAAGGAAUAUGAUGCCACUAAAUCCAAUUUUAGUGGUUGAGAUUUUUGAUGUAUGGGGUAUCGACUUCAUGGGACCAUUUCCCCCUUCUUUUGGCCAUCAAUACAUAUUGGUUGUUGUUGACUACGUAUCGAAAUGGGUAGAAGCAAUUCCAUGUAGGACCAAUGAUCACAAGGUGGUGAUAGCAUUUUUGAAAAGCAACAUUGUCUCACGCUUUGGAUUCCCUCGAGCAAUAAUCAGUGAUGGUGGUGCCCACUUUUGUAACAAAGCAUUCAAAGCUCUUUUGACAAAGUAUUCAAUCACACACAAAGUGGCGACCCCGUAUCAUCCGCAAACCAGUGGCCAAGUUGAGAUCUCCAAUCGAGAAAUAAAGCACAUAUUAGAAAAGACGGUGAGGCCGGACAGAAAAGAUUGGUCAUUAAGACUUGAUGAUGCCUUAUGGGCAUAUAGAACGGCUUUCAAGACCCCGAUUGGGAUGUCACCCUACAGGCUAGUGUAUGGAAAAGCUUGCCACCUACCUGUGGAACUCGAGCAUCGUGCAUAUUGGGCCAUCAAGAAAUUCAAUUUUGACAUGCAGCAAGCCAGCUCAGAAAGAAGAUUACAGCUGGCAGAACUUGAAGAAAUUCGCAAUGAUGCAUACGAAAAUGCCAAGAUUUACAAGCAACGAAUGAAAGUCUUCCAUAAUAAGCAAAUUAUGAGAAAAUCAUUCACUCCAGGUCAGAAAGUGCUUUUAUUCAAUUCUCGCUUGCACCUAUUCUCAGGUAAGUUACGCUCUCGUUGGUCUGGCCCAUUUAUUGUUCAUACUGUUUUUCCACAUGGGGCAAUUGAAAUUAAGGACCCAAAGAAUGGUGUCACGUUUAAAGUUAAUGGUCAAAUAUUAAAGCCAUAUCUAGAAUACCAACCACAUGGAGAAGACACCGAAAUAAAUUUGAGUGACCCACUAGAUUUGAAUUGAUUUUUUUUUCUUUUCGUUGAUUUGAUUUUUUUUUCUUUCUUUAUAUUAUUCUUCUGCUAAUUGAAAUUAUUUUUGCAUAAGUGUGUUUAUUUAACUAUUAAGUUUUCUUUUAUCGUUUUUAAUCAUGAGUACCUUACUUAAACCGUUCCUCCUGAACAUUCUUAAACCACUUCAACGUAUCAAAACUUAUCUCAAAAGGCAGAUUCAAUUUUGUAAAACACAUCGCAUUUGGGCUCUACAACCACCAGAGUUAGUAGCCUAUGUUGAGGGUCUAGAAAGCCAACUCAGAGAUAUUGAGAGAAGUGUUUACGACAUCCAGUUGGAGCUUGAGGUAAAUUCAAUAAGAGGACGAUUUUAAUUUUCUUUGUGUGUUUUAAUUUGUUUUUCUGUUUGUGUACUUUAGUUUGUUACCCCGAUGAAGUGGCGGAUAACAGUACUCCGUGACAAUCAAGUCGGUUACUUCAGUUUCCCAUAAUAACUGAUAUUCUGAGGUGAAGGUAUGGAUAGAAACGAGAUUCUAGUGAAGCUUCACAAGUGAUUCCCUUCACUUCCUCAGAAUGCCCUCCUUACGAUCUAUAAAGCUCGGUCCGAACGCAUGUGAUUGCUCAUGAGGAAUAACAUACCUGUUGAUAUCCGUUGGUUAAUUGAGGCGAAAGUACGAUCGGCAGGUGAGUUACCUCCAAAAUUUAUUGCAUACAUGCCUGGUUGUGGUAAAGGAAAUUAUGCAAGAAAACGACGAGCUCGAAGAAUUUCUGUUGCUUGUCAUAAGUGUUCCAGAAUGAGUUGCAAUAAAAACCCAUGUUCUUUAGGAAUGAUGUCUGAUAACAGGGAAGAUAAGAUUCAAUUCAUUAGGGAUGGCUUGAAUAAGGAGUCAUUGGAUGAUAUCCUUUUGUCUCUUGAAACGCAUCCCAGUGGAUAUGUGCAAAGAGCGAUUCUCCAGUUAUGGCCAUUAUUCUAGAAAGAGCAGGCACGAUAUAGUCUCGGGAAUCUGACUAUAAACGACCCUGUUUGCCAGUUUAUAAGAAAACUGGAUAGGAAGCCUAUCCUCGACCCAUAGAGGGCGUUCAAGCCGUUUCUGGACGUAAAACCAGAGGAAGAUGUGAGCCACAGUCGCAACUACCUGUAAAUAUCCUUUUACUUUAUUGUUAUUUUAUUUCACUAUUGUCUUAUUGUUUGCAUUAUUGUCUUUAAUAAUUUUAUUACUGUUUGCUUUUUCCUUUUUAUUUUUUUCUUUUUGACUUGCGAGCCACGUGCUUUACGCGUUAUUUGACACUGACAUAUUAUCUCAUACACAACCAUGACCCACUAUCACCAAGACUCUUAAAUGUGAUAUCUUUUGUCAAGCACUCACAAAUUGUUUUUGAGAAGUAUCGCAAUGGCAGCUACUCCCAAUAGACAAUUCAAGAACAUUUGUGUGCUUUCUGGAUUUACCUAUGGCAAACAUAAAGAGUUCGUUGAGGCAGCCAUAGAUCUUGGUCGAAGCAUAGCAGCGAGAAAAUUACACUUGGUGUAUGGAGGAGGUAACCGAGGGUUAUCAAAAAUGGUCUCAGAAGCAGCUUUUAUCAGAGGAAGUCAAGUGUUAGGCAUCAUCCCAAGAGUCCUAAAACCAUUGGGUAGUUCGUCUGACUCAUCAACUGGAGAAGAGUUAGUCGUCUCAGGUAUGCAAGAAAGAAUCACUGAAAUGCUUAAUCAUGCUGAUGCUUUUAUUUUCCUUCCAGGAGAUCUUGCAACACUAGAGGCACUUAUCACACUAGCAUCUUGGGCCCAUCUGCACAUUCACCAGAAACCCAUUGGUUUGUUAAAUGUCAAUAACUUUUAUGAUGGCUUUAUCGCAUUUCUUAACCAUGCAAUAAAAAACUAUUUCAUUCCUUCUAAUGUGAAAAAACUUUUUAUUUGUGCUCACACUGCUAAUGAGCUACUUGAUAUGUUACAACCUUAUCGAUCGGAGCCAGACCCCUGGACCUUUGUGUUGGAGCGUCCAAAUAAUGAUGGUAACAGUAGCCACAGUAAGAAGUACAAAUUAGAUUUAACUCUCCGCCUGUAAAUAUUUUCUUCUGUGUUGCACCACCUAAGUGAUGUCUUCUAAACUCUACUUCUUUCAUUUCAAACAUUGAGGACAAUGUUUCGUUCUGGUUGGGGGGAGGGAACAGUCGACAAUUGUGGAAUUUUGGUUAAGUUUUUAAUAAUUUUUUGUUGUAGAAACUAACUGUUGCUAACUUUUUAUGUUGAAGAUGGCUGAAUAUGGAGUGUAGUGACUUUAGAAACGCAUCUUCAUCGUUUAAAAAAAAAUUAAAAAAAACUAAAAAAAAAAUUCAGACAUUUUCUUUUUCUUUAUUAUGUGUUUAUGUUUAUUUUUCUUCUUUUUAAUUUCUCCUCUAUAAAUAUACAUUUUCCAACUUUUGAGUUGAAGAUGGCUGAAUAUGGAGUGUAGUUCCUCUAGAAACGCAUCUUCUUUAAAAAAAAAAAUCAUUUUCGUUUUCUAUCAUUUUACGUGUAACUUUUUUAAUUAGUUUUUAUGCAUCAUUUUCACAUUUCUGCAUGCAUAUUUUCCUUUCAUGCUUAGAAUAGGUUGGGGGGUAGAAUGUUGUUUGAAAAAAAAAAUUGUGUGAUUUGUUUUAACAUUGGAUGACAUGAUUAAUUUCAAAUUUUAGUAUUUGUAUUAUCUUUGGUCUUAAGUGAUGUUACGUUAUGUUUGCUACUCUACAUGUUGAUGUCGGAGACAAAUGUGAGUUGCUUGAAGGAAUGAAUAUGUCAUAAUAAGUACCAAGUGAGUUUUUGAGCCUAUUAUUUUUCUUGGAGAAUAACCCUUUUGCCCACUCUUUAUACAGCUUAGCAGUUUAUUAUUUUACACACGAUCUCUAAAUUGCUUUUGAGUUAACCCUUAAAAAAAAUUGUAAAAAAAAAAAGAAAAAAAAGAGAAAAAAAUGUGUGUUGUUACAUUGGGAGGCCCAUCUAACUAGUAGAUAUGGAUGAUUAUUUAGAGCCCUAAAAGACGAUGGAAAUGCCAUCUUUGAUCCGUUUGAGCCUUUCUAGCCAUCUCUUUUAUUAAAUAUCCAUAGUUAACCCUUUUGAGCCUUUAAAAAAAAAAAACCUUUUUCUUUGUCAACUUAUCAUCCUGACCCACUCCAAUUUGGAAUAUUACCUAAUGUCUUAUAAGUUCCAUCACCUAUUUAUGUUUGAGAAAAUGUAAUAAUUAUGUUGUUUAGUAAAGUUAUACCAAAAAAAAAAAAAAAGUUGUUGUUUCAAAAGAAAAAAAAAAUAAAAAUAAUAGAUGAAAUCCACCUUGCAACUUCUAAAAAAACAAAAAUUCUCUGCAUUUUUCUCAAACAUACACUUUGUUUUCCUUAUUUCCCUUCUUUGUUAGCCAUGUCCCUAGCCUAUGUUACGUCCUAAUAAAAGUCCUUCUUGAUUUUAGGGAACUAUAGUUUGAAGUAGAAGCUAGUUAUAUGAGCUAAAAAGAUGUAGUGAUGCAUAAUAAAAAAAAAGGAUAAAUAAAGUGGGUUGACUAGCAUUUUUGUUUGACUUGAGAUCGUAUUAUUUCUAAGCUGAGGGCAUAUUUAUUUCAUCUUGGUGAGAGCAUGUGAUAUCACUUCUUUAUUAUUUUCUCUCUCAAUUACCAUUCAUUGGAGUGACUAUUUUUAGUGGGUUUAUUUAAUUGUGAGAGUGUCACCACUUCCAGUGAGAUUUUGGGGUUUGACAUGUCAUUCUUGAAAGCAGAUAUAACAAAGUCUACUGGGUUGAUUCAUGUGGAUGGUUGAUGUGGGUGUGAUGUUGCUUUAGACUGGAGAUAAUGCUUAUACUUUUAUUUGAUUGCUAUCAUUAAUCUGAUGAAAUAAAUAUGAGUAUUUUUAUUAACAAAAAAUUAUUUUGAAUUUGAAUUUUGUUUUCGCUUUAUUUGCUAGGGACCAGCAAUAAGCUAGUUGGGGGGUGUGUUGAGUGUUAGAAAAUGCAUAUUUAUAAAGGAGAAAACCGUCAUUUUACAUUUCAAGUCUUACUAACAACCCUUACUUUUAUGUAUUUAACCUUCUUGUGAUUUAAUUACAUGUGUUUUAUUUUAAUUAAGUAUUUUAUGUAUUUUAGGGGCAUUAUAGUCAUUUCACAAUAAAGGAGAGAUCAGACGGCAAAACGGACAUCACUUUUGAACUCAGGACGGUCGAAAACCUUAGGAGGAGCAUAAAAGGAAAAAUGGCACUAUUCAUAUGUACGGUACUAUUCACGUGUACGGUACUAUCUACGUUACUGUUCACAACACUGUUCACAUAGACGGAUCGAUGACGUGGCAUUGACCGAUGAUGUGGCAUUGACUGAUGAGGUGUCACGAUCCUGUUGGGCUAAAAUUCUUAUGUACUGUUGAUGGUGACGUGGCAGCAUAUCAGUGGAUGAAAAAUCUCGCGUACGGUACAUGCAUCACACAGGAUUAUUUUCAACCAAACCGCGUUACUGUUCAUCCGAGUCAAACCGCGUUACUGUUCAUCCGCGUGGUCAAACCGUGGACUGUUGACUGAUGACGUGGCGCAAUCCUGAGCGUCCAAACUGUUUUUAAUCCGAUGACCAUAAUUUACUCCAUGUAUCUAUAAAAAGGGGGCCUCCCCCCCUAAUUUGAUAUCUCUGAAUCCAUUUUUGGACUCUAUUUUCUGUAAUUCCUUCUCCAUCUUGUAUUUUCUUUGUAUUUUAAUAAAUUCUCAUUUUGCCCCUAGUUCAAUUAUGAGUGGCUUAUUUUCUUUCAAGCUUGGGUUGAAGGUGAAGUCUCAACAUGUGUCAUGGGCUUAAUUUGGUAAAUUUAUUUUCUCUUCUCCUCUAGUUUUUGUGGAUGUUUUGACUUCUCGUCGACAAAUAAUAAUAUUCUUGUCUAGUACCGCCUUGGUUUCACCGGCCCUCUAGUACAAGGUUAUUAUUAUUUGGCACGAUAAGCCCUUAGCACCAUAUUGAUUAGAGCGUGGUUCAUGAGGUGUGGAUUCCCCCCUCAUGAUUUAAUUGGCAUUAAUACGGAUUAUUUAGUCCAUGAUGCAUGUUGAUACGAACCCAGAUACCCAAGUACGUUUUUUCAAUAGAUUUCGCUUCAAUUUAUUCUCGCCAUUGCAAUUCCAAUUUCAGAAUUUAUUAUCGCCUUUUCAAUUCCAAUUUUAGGAUAAUUUAAAUCACUUCCACCACAAUUCCAACCACCCAUUUACAAAAUUAAUUCUAUAUAUAAUUAAAAUCCACCUCCUCGUAGGAUCGACACUCAACACCAUUGAUCUAUACUACAAUAGAUUCGUGCGCUUGCGAGUACAUUAAAAUUUGCACAACACAUGCAUCGUUGAAAUGUAACAAGUGCAUUACAUAAUCCAAAUGGCAUUCUCCUAUAUGUAAAUGUACCAAAAGGGCAAGUGAAAGUGGUAUUCUCUUGAUCUUUUGGUGCUAUGGGGAUCUGAUUGUAUCCUGAGUAGCCAUCUAGAAAACAAUAAAAUUCAUGGCCUGCUAAUCUAUCAAGCAUUUGAUCAAUAAAUGGUAAAGGAAAAUGGUCUUUACGUGUGACAGAAUUCAACUUUCUAUAAUCAAUGCAUACACGCCAUCUUAUAGUUACUCUAGUGGGUAUCAAUUCAUUAUUAGCAUUGGUAACUACUGUGACUCCUGAUAUUUUAGGGACGACUUGCACAGGAUUGACCCAUGAACUAUCAGAAAUUGGGUAAAUGAUACUUGCAUCUAAUAGCUUAAGGACUUCAGUUCUAACAACUUCUUUCAUAUUAGGAUUUAACCGACGUUGCAUUUCCCUAGUAGAUUUAGCAUUUUCAUCAAGAUGAAUGUAAUGCAUGCAGUCUACUGGAUUUAUACAUUUUAUGUCUGCUACGGUCCAUCAUAAUGCUCCUUUAUGCUCUUUUAAAACAUCCAACAACUUACCUUUUUGUUCGUCAUUUAGGGAUGAUGAGAUGAUUACCGGUAGAGUACUUUCUUCUCCCAAAAAUGCAUAUUCCAAUGUGUUGGGCAAUGGUUUGAGCUCGAGUUUUGGUGGUGAUUCUGAUGAUGGGAUGAGUUCUUCUCUGAUGGUGCUAGUUGUUCAACUCUUGACUUCCAUUUAUUAGUGUCCAUGGAUGGUGCUGAGUGAAGUAGGGCGUUGACCUCAUCGACUGAUCUGUCAAUAUCAAAAUCCAAACCAAAGUGAGUUAAACAUGUUUGUAAAGGAUCAUCACUAAGGUUUGAAAGAAAAGUGUCAUCAACUAUUGUUUCUAUUAAAUCGACAUCAAUAAUUCCAUCAUAUGCAUUGUGAGGUUGUUUGGCAAUAUUGAAGAUGUUCAGCUUUAUAGUCAUGUUGCCGAAGGACAACUGCAUAUUUCCAGUCCUGCAUUGAAUUUGAGCAUCCGCAAUUGCCAAGAAAGGUCGGCCUAGAAUAAUGGGGAUGUGCUUCCUUGAAUCCUGUAUUGGUUGAGUGUCAAUUACAAUGAAAUCAACAGGAAAAUAAAACUUGUCUACCUGGAUAAGCACGUCCUCCACAAUACCACGAGGUAUUUUCGUGGACCGAUCUGCAAGCUGUAACACCAAUGGAGUUGGGUGUAAUUCUCCAAGUCCAAGUUUCAAAAAUACUGAGUAAGGCAACAGAUUUACACUAGCUCCUAAAUCCAACAAAGCAUUCUCAAUUGUGUGGUUCCCUAUGCUACAUGAGAUAGUGGGGGAGCCUGGGUCUUUGCAUUUUAGAGGAAUUUUAUAUUGGAGUAUAGAACUAACAUUUUCUGUUAAAAAUGCCUUCUUUUGAACAUGAAUGUUUCUCUUUUUAGUACAAAGGUCUUUAAGAAACUUGGCAUAAGAUGGAACUUGUUUAAUAGCAUCAAGUAAAGGGAUGUCAACACUUACCUGUUUGAAGAUUUCAAGAAUCUCACCUGUGGAUUUUCCCUUUUUUCCUUUAGCUAACCUUUGAGGAAAUGGAGCUUUGGGAACGUAUUCUCGUGGGUUGGUUUCUUCUUUCUCAUCCGGUGAUGAGUCCUCAACAUUCACAGGUACAAUUUGAUUUUCUUUUGUCAUGGGCAUCUCCACUUUGUUGUCGACUUCUUUUCCUUUUCGCAAGGUCAUGACUGCUUUGACCUCUCCAUGCUGCUGUGGUGAACUGGUACUUGCAUCAUGUACUCCUUUAGGAUUAGGCACUGGUUGACUUAGAAACUUGCCUUUUUCAAUAGUCAUUGCCAAGGUCUGAACUGAAGAAGCAAGUUGUCCCACCAUCUUCUUGAGGCUUGAAACUAAUUGAGCUUGUGAGUUGAAGCCUGCUCUCAACUCAUUUCGUAGUCCAUCAAUGGUGCGGUUCUGCUGCUCAAUCGUGGAGUGAGUAACAUUCUUGAAUUCUGGAAUGCAUCCUCCCAUAGUCUAGGUUGAGAGUGGUUCUGAUUCUGAUUGUAUGGUCUGAAUGGUGGCUGAGAGGCUUGAGGAAUUUGAGCAAUUGGUGGAGUUGGAGCUGUUGGUCCAUUCUGUUGGAAUCCUUGAGACCAUGAAAAAUUGGGGUGGUCUCUCCAUCCAGGGUUAUAUGUGUUAGAGUAUGGGUUGUAAUUUGAUAGUUUUCUCAUUACACCUAUGGCAUUGGCUUGAUCUGAGUAUGAGUCAUGGUCAUGUGGUUCUGUUGAUUUAGCAGUCGAUAACGAUGCUAUUUGUCGAGCAAGACCUUCAACCAUCUCCUUAACUUUUUUUAUUCCUGAAGUUGACUCUCCAAUGUGAAUCUCAUUCACUCCUUUAAUUCUUCUAGUAUUCCUGAGUGAUCGACUCCGUUGUUAGGAAUUAUCCGCUUGUCGCUGGAAGAAUUCCUAAAUUUCUGAUGCACUUUUUGACAUUAGCUCUCCUCCACUUGUUGCCAUUAGCCAUUCUUGCAUAUUCGGCAAUAAUCCCUCCAAAAAGUAUUGGCAUUGGUGCCAUUUCUCGUACCCAUGAUGUGGACACUUCAAGAGUAGCCCAUUGAAUCACUCUCAUGUUUCGAAAAACUGCUCGUCUUCUCUCUGGGUAAACUCUGAAAUUUCCCUGCGAAUAGCAUUGGUUUUAUGCACUGGGAAAUAUUUAUUCAAAAAUUUCGUUACCAUUUGUUCCCAUGAUGAAAUGCUAUUAGCAGGUAAAGUAUUUAACCAUGAACGAGCUCUAUCCUUUAAAGAAAAUGAAAAUAAUCUGAGUUUAACAUCAUCGUCUGAAAAAUUUUUAUAUUUAAAAGUUUGACAAAUGGCAUGAAAAUCAUUCAGAUGAUUAUAUGGGUCCUCAUUUUCUAGGCCAUAGAAUGUUGGGAGACAAUUUAGCACACUAGGUUUUAGUUCAAAACUCCUAGAAGCUACAUUUGGGUAUCUUAUGCAUGAUGUACUCAAAUUAGCUAAAGGACUGAAAUAAUCCUUAAAUGGCCUCUCCUGUGGUGCUUGUAAAUCCAUUCCAAAUUUAUUUUUAAUGUGCCUGUGUGUGCGAAGUGUUUUUUCUAAUUCAAGGUCUAUAGGUUCAAGAUUAGGUAAUAAUGACCUACGACCAUGCAUGCAAAAUAAAUAAAAUAAAAAUAAAGAUGGGAACAAAACAAAUAAAAAUAAAGAAGAGGGAGAAAUUACGAUACUAAUAUUAUUGCGCUAUUACAACCUUUCUAUAAAAAUACACAAAAACAAAUACGUGAAAUAAAUUAACUAAAAUUAAAUUAAUAAAAUAAACAAAAAUUACAAAGAAAAAAAAUAAAUUGAAAAUAAAUUACAGAAUUUUAAAGAAGAGAAAAAGAAAAGAAAUACUAACCUUUAAAUGUAGAUUCACUUUUUUUUCUUUUUUUUAAUUAUAAAAAAAAUACAAGAAAACAAAUAAAAGAAAUUAUUCACAAAAAUUAAUUUUACGAAUUAAAAUUACUUACCUCCCCGGCAAUGGCGCCGAAAACUUGUUGUGCAAAUUUUAAUGUACUCGUAAGCGCACGAAUCUAUUGUAGAAUAGAUCAAUGGUGACGAGUGUCGAUCCCACGAUGAGGUGGAUUUUAAUUGUGUGUAUAAUUAAUUUUGUAAAUGGGUGAUUGGAUUUAUGAUGGAAAUGAUUUGGAAUAUGCUAAAACUUAAAUUAAAAUGGCGAGAAUAAAUUCUAAAAUUGGAAUUGAAAUGGCGAGAAUAAAUUGAAGAGAAUUUUAUUAAAAUGACGUACUUGGGUAUCUGGAUCAGUAUCAACAUGCAUCAUGGGCUAAUAAUCCUUAUUAAUGCCAAUUAAAUCAUGAGGGGGGAAUCCACACCUCAUGAACCACGCUCUAAUCAAUAUGGUGCUAAGGGCUUACCGUGCCAAAUAAUAAUAACCUUGUAUUAGGGAGCCAGUGAAACCAAGGCGGUGCUAAACAAGAUUAUUAUUAUUUGUCUACGAGAAGUCAAAACAUCCACAAAAAUUAGAGAGGAAGAGAAAAUAAAUUUACCAAAUAAAGCCCAUGACACAUGUUGAGACUUCACCUUCAACCCAAGCUUGAAAGAAAAUUAGCUACUCAUAAUUAAACUAGGAGCAAAAUGAAAAUUUAUUAAAAUACGUAGCAAAUACAAGAUGGAGAGGGAAUUACAGAAAAUGGAGUCCAAAAAUGGAUUCAGAGCUAUCAAAUUAGGGGGGAGAGACCCCCUUUUUAUAGAUACAUGAAGUAAAUCAUGGCCAUCGGAUUAAAAACAGUUUGGACGCUCAGGAUUGCGCCAUGUCAUCAGUCAACAGUACGCGGUUUGACCACGCGGGUGAACAGUAACACAGUUUGACCCGGCUUUGAACAGUAACGCGGUUUGGUUGAAAAUAAUCCUGUGUAAUGCAUGUACCGUACGCGCAAGUUUUGGUCCACUAAUAUGCUGCCACGUCACCAUCAACAGUUCAUAAGAAUUUUAGACCAACAGGAUCAUGACACCUCAUCAGUCAAUGCCACAUCAUCGGUCAAUGCCACGUCAUCGAUCCGUCUAUGUGAACAGUAACGUAGACAAUACCGUACAUGUGAAUAGUACCGUACAUGUGAACAGUGCCAUUUUUCCUUUUAUGCUCCUUUUAAGGUUUUCGACCGUCUUGAGUUCAAAAGUGAUGUCCGUUUUACCGUUUGAUCUCUCGUUUAUUGUGAAAUGACUAUGAUGCCCCUAAACUACACAAAAUACUUAAUUAAAAUAAAACACACAUAAUUAAAUUACAAGAACCUUAAAUACAUAAAAGUAAGGGUUGUUAGUAAGACUUGAAAUGUAAAAUGACGAUUUUCUCCUUUAUAAAUAUACAUUUUCUAACACUCAACACUAAGAUUGAAAAUGGUGGAGAUGUAUCGUUUGGAGAUAAUUCAAAAGGAAAAAUCAUCGGGAUUGGAAAUGUCGGUAAUGUAUCCUCUACUCUCAUUGAAAAUGUGUGUUUGGUUGAAAACUUGAAACACAAUUUGCUUAGUAUUAGUCAAUUAUGUGAUAAAGGAUAUAGAGUUAUCUUUGAUGAAUCAAAAUGUAUUAUUGAGAAUGCAUGUGAUGGGAAAGUCUUGUUUAUAGGAAAUAGAUGUGUAAAUGUCUAUACCAUUAAUAUAGAUUGUGCAUCAAUACAUGAUAAAUGUCUCUCCGCAUUGCAUGAUGAUGGUUGGUUGUGGCAUAGAAGGUUAUGUCAUGCAAGCAUGGAUUUGAUUUCAAAAAUCGUGAAAAAUGAUUUAGUAAAAGGUCUUCUAAAAAUCAGUUUUCAAAAAGAUAGAACUUGUGAAGCAUGCCAAUUUGGAAAACAAAUCAAAACUUCCUUCAAAAGCAAGAAUCAUGUCUCUACUUCAAAACCACUUCAAUUGCUUCAUAUAGAUUUGUUUGGACCUUCUAGAUAUGCUAGUUUAAGUGGCAAAUUUUAUGCAUUUGUAAUUGUGGAUGAUUAUUCUAGAUACUCAUGGGUAUUGUUCUUAGCUAAUAAGGAUGAUGCCAUUGAUGCAUUUCGAAUUUUCUAUAAAAAUGUUCAAAAUGAAAAAGGCUAUUCUAUUACUUGUAUUAGAAGUGAUUAUGGUGGAGAAUUUGAAAAUCAUGCAUUUGAAAAUUUUUGUAAUGACUUCGGCAUUGAACAUCAAUUUUCGUCACUUAGGACUCCACAACAAAAUGGAGUAGUAGAGAGAAAGAAUAGGUCUAUGCAAGAAAUGGCUAGGACCAUGUUGAAUGAAAAUUCUUUGCCUAAGUAUUUUUGGGCUGAAGCCGUCAACACCGCUUGCUAUGUUUUAAAUCGGGUGUUGAUUAGACCUAAUCUUAAUAAAACUCCAUAUGAGCUUUGGAAAGAUAGAAAACCAAACAUUGGCUAUUUUAAAGUGUUUGGAUGCAAAUGUUUUGUUUUGAACACGAAAGAUAAUCUUGGUAAAUUUGAUCCAAAAUCUGAUAUUGGCAUUUUUCUUGGUUAUUCAAAUUCAAGCAAAGCUUAUAGAGUUUAUAACAAAAGAACUUUAGUUGUGGAAGAAUCUAUACAUGUUACAUUUGAUGAGUCUAACCCCUCCUCUAUGGAGAAAGUUGUUGUUGAUGAUAAUGCAGAAGAAGAACAACAAGAAGAAGCAUCGAAUGACAACCAAGAAGACGCGCCACAUGGAAUUCAAGAAGAAUAUCAUGAAGAAACAAAUGCAGAGCAAAAUGAAGGUACUUCACAAACACUCCCUAAGGAGUGGAGGUAUGUAUCCUCUCACCCUAAGGAUGUAAUUUUAGGAGAUCCCUCAUGAGGUGUUACCACUAGAUCAUCUCUUAGGAACACAUGUGAGCAUGCUGCAUUUAUUUCUCAAAUUAAACCAAAAUCCUUUGCGGAUGCGGAAAAUGAUGAAUCUUGGAUUAUGGCAAUGCAAGAGGAGUUGGAUCAAUUUGAGAGAAACAAUGUGUGGGAGUUAGUUCCUAAUCCAGAACAUCAAUCCAUUAUAGGCACUAAAUGGGUAUUUAGAAACAAAAUGGAUGAAUCCAGUGUGGUUGAAGAAAUAAAGCUAGAUUAGUGGCUCAAGGUUACAACCAAGAAGAAGGAAUUGAUUUUGAUGAAACUUUUGCACUUGUAGCAAGAUUAGAAUCCAUUAGGAUGUUGUUAGCAUAUGCAUGUCAUAAGGAUUUUAUUUUAUAUCAAAUAGAUGUCAAGAGUGCUUUCUUAAAUGGAUAUAUAAUGGAGGAAGUUUAUGUGAAACAACCUCCUAGUUUUGAAAAUGAAAAAUUUCCAAACCAUAUGUAUAAGUUAUCCAAGGCUUUGUAUGGUUUAAAACAAGCACCUAGAGCUUAGUAUGAUAGGCUUAAAAACCUCUUGUUGGAUAACGAUUUUUCAAUGGGAAAAGCGGACACAACUCUUUUUGUUAAGUAUAAGAACCAAGACAUACUUAUUGUUCAAAUUUAUGUUGAUGAUAUUAUUUUUUGUUCUACUAAUGAGUUGUUGUGUAAAGAUUUUUCAUCAUGUAUGAGCCAAGAGUUUGAGAUGAGUAUGAUGGGAGAGUUGAAGUACUUCCUUGGACUUCAAAUCAAACAAAACGAGGAAGGAAUUUUCAUAAACCAAGCCAAGUACGUGAAAGAUCUACUCAAAAGAUUUGGCUAUGAUAAUGGAACGACAAAAAGCACUCUUAUGAGUACUAGCAUCAAGCUGGACAAAGAUGAGAAAGGUAAGGAAGUUGAUAUCAAGACAUAUCGAGGUAUGAUCAGAUCUUUACUCUACUUGACUGCUAGUAGGCCUGAUAUUAUGUUUAGUGUAUGCUUGUGUGCUAGAUUUCAAUCUUGUCCUAAAGAGUCUCACAUGCUUGCUGUCAAACACAUUUUUCGAUAUUUAUUUGGCAACAUUAAUCUUGGCCUUUGGUAUCCUAAAGGAACUCAUAUUGAUUUAACUUGUUAUUUGGAUGCUGAUUUUGCUGGGUAUAAGGUUGAUAGAAAAGUACUAGUGGAACAUGUCACUUCCUAGGUCAUUCUCUUGUCUCUUGGUUUAAUAAGAAACAAAACUCAGUUGCGCUUUCAACCACUGAGGCAGAAUAUAUUGCCGUAGGUAGUUGUUGUGCACAAAUUCUUUAGAUGAAACAAACCCUUAGAAACUAUGGCAUUAAACUUGAUCAAAUACCUAUCUUGUGUGACAAUACUAGUGCUAUAAAUCUUUCCAAAAAUCCCAUUCAACAUUCUGGGACUAAGCAUAUAGAAAUUAGACAUUAUUUCCUUAGAGAUCAUGUUCAAAAAGGAGAUGUUGUAAUCAAAUUUGUUUCUACUGAAAAUCAGCUUGCGGAUAUCUUUACAAAACCUCUUAGCGAAGAGCUUUUUAUAAAGAUAAGACAUGAGCUUGGAAUGAUGAAUAUUGCAUCUUGAUUUAUCUUUUACUACAUGGCUUGAUAUGUUUGUUAUUAUAUGGAUUUAUGCUUCAUGAUUUAGAUAGCUUGAUAUGGUUGUAAUUUUAUGAUUUUAUGUUUCAUGCAUUAAAUGGCUUAUUGAAAAGUUUUAAAUCUCAAAAUGAUUUAAAAUUAAUCAAUUUUUGAAGCCAAAAAUAAAAUGGUGUGUGUAAUACAAGUAUAAGAGCUUGCCAAAAAUCAAUUAGAGCCAAAUAGAUUUCCAUGACUAAACUGGUUUAUCACUUUCUCUAAUCUGGAAAACCGCUCUCGUAUUGAUUACUCUCGGGUCAUCAUUCGGAUAACCGAAUUUAUCAAUCCAAAAAACCGGAUUUGCUAGGCCUUCUCUCUGCCUAAAAACCGGAUAACCGUUUCUUAAAAUCCGGAAAACCGAAUUCAAGAGCUCUCUUUCUGCCUCAAACCGGACUACCAGUUAAAAAAACCAGAAAUCCGGAUUAGCAAGGAAAGCUUGCUAGAACAAACCGGAUUUCCAGUUCUGUCAAUCCGGAAAUCCGAAUUCGAGCUGCACUUUGGCAGCAUUUUAGGCUCUUUCGGCCAACCGGUUCAGGAAAACCGGUAAGCCAAUUCUCGCUUGCUAUCUUCUGGAUCCAACCGGCAAGCCAGAUUAUGAUAUCCGGAAAACCGGAUUCGAGUGAAGGGCUUGCUGGUCACAACCGGAAUUCCAGUUCAAGUCAAACCGGCAAGCCGUUUACGGGUUUCAAGCUUCUGGUCACAACCGGCUAUCCGGUUAGUGCAAACCGGCAAUCCGGUUUCGGAAGCUAUUUCAACUGUUCUUCUUCUUUCUUCAUUCGGCAUUCCGGUUCUCUCACUCUUUCUAAAAACCGUUUGCUUCUCUCUCUUUCUCACUCCAAAAUCCUUUAUUUUCUAUCUUUUUCACAUCAAAUUGAGUCUUAAAAAUCAUUUCCCAUCUCAUUAAGAACUCAAAACCAUCCUUGAAAUCCAUUUCAAUAUCCAAAUCUCUAUAUCCCAAUUUCAACCUAGGUUUUGGGCCAAUUUUCCUCUCUCUAGAUUUCUCCCUCCUUAGCCGUUUUUUAUCCAAUUUGUUUCACAAACUAUCUUUCAAUCUUCAUUAUCUACAUUUUUUUUGCUCUCUUUAACUUCAAAUCCAUCAAAAUCACUAUGUCAAGCUCUCGGCCGGUUCGAAGAAAAGGCAAAGAACCGGUUUAACCAAUCAACCGGUCACGGCAAGCAGGGGGCACCUCCGAUCAAUCCAAUUUCGAGUCCACACACUUUCAGAACAAGAAACAUCUAGCCAAACAUUUUCACCAACAGUUCAUGACUCAUGAAGUACUCCAAACCUUUUUUGUUUUACCGGAUUGUUUGAAUCAUCUUAGUAUUAGCAAUAGAACUUUAUUGCAAUUGUUGGAAGAUGUUGGUUGGCUUCAUGCACUUGUUGUUGAGGAAAAUGUAUAUCCUGACUUGGUGAAAGUGUUUUACUCGAAUAUGGAUUGUUCCGCGGAGAAAGAGAAUCGAGUAAUCACCACAGUUGGAGGAGUUUUGAUUGAGUUUGAUGAUUCGAAGUUGAACCCCAUCCUAGGAUCUUCCGAUGAUGGCCUAGAAUAUUUUUCACCUAGGAAACCUCCUGACAUUGAUGACUAUGUUUAUAUUGAUGCUGUUAAGAAUCUAUGUCGUCGUGUCAACCUUUCCGAUGAAGAUUGUACUAUCCAUUUUCGCAACCUAUGUCUUUGUCUUCAAUCUCGAAUAUUACUUCAUUUUAUUCAGAGUAUUGUCCUUCCUAGAUCAGGCCAUUUGGAUGAGGUCUCUCAUAUGGAUGUCGCCUUGAUUGAUUGUAUUCUUAGACAUCGUCCAGUUGAAUUAGGAUAUACCAUUGUCCGAAACAUGCUCAGUAUACCUAAGUUGAUUACCCGCUCCCAUCCAUAUGGUCAUUUCAUUACCCAAAUCCAGAAAUUUUUUGAUGUACCGAUUAAAGAACCGUCGUGUAGACCGUCUAAGGGUAUAGGGGAUGAUGCCAUUGUCGACUUAGGCUUUGAGUGGAAAAAUGGCACUUGGGUCAAAUACUCUGAAAACAAGUUUACCUUCCUUGCUCGAAGUGAUGAUCGGCCACUUAAUGCUGUGGUUCCAGCCGAUCAGCUACCCAUUUUCUCACUCUCAUUUCGGGGGUAACGUAGACGCCGAGAUCCUCCCAUGAUUGCUUCAGCUCUUGAUGUCUCUGCAUCCAUUUCAUCACCUCCACGGCCUCCUACCUCUGGAGAUGUUACUCUUCAGUAGCUUAUGGAUGAGGUGCAGACACUUUCGGUGCGGCAGACUGAGUUUCAGCAGGAGCAGCAGCAGCAGCUCAUUCAUAGACAGCGUCUUCUCUUCGAGCACUUCGGCAUUCCAUAUCCGUAUCCACCUCCUUCACCUCCAUCCUCACCACCUGAGUAGUUUCUUAUGCUUGUAUUUGGACACACCUACAUUUCAUUUACUGCAUUGUGUGUUCUUUUAUUUUCGACUCUAUGGAUUAUUAUUAUGCUUUUCGGUUUAUGUAUUUGUUUUGGAUGAUAUCGAAGUGUUGUGACUAUUUAUGUUGGAUGAUUGGAUUUGUUUUGAUCGUAUGUUAUGGAUUAUAUGGAUUCUUUUAUGCUUAUGGAUAUUUUUGAACUAAUAUGAUUAUCUUGCGAUUUUGAUGAUUGAUAGGGGGAGCUCUUAUUCUCUUAUUCUUUUAUUCUUUUUUAUGAUGAAGGGGGAGAAUGAUUUAAUAUGUGUUAUAAAAAGUGUUAUGAAAAUAUGCAUGUAUCUAGGGGGAGUAUGCAUGUAUGCAGGGGGAGUUUUGUUAAACAAUUUUCAAAUCAUUUUUUAACUUGUAUUGAUUAAGGGAGAGCUUUUUCAUAACAAGAUUAAAGUUUUGAAUGUGUUUUGUCAUCAUCAGAAAGGGGGAGAUCGUUAGCCUAUAUGGCUAAAAAUAUUGAUUUUGAUGAUAACAAACCACAUGUAUUUAUUAAGCAAAGAUUUAUGAAUUGUGCUUUUAUAAUAAGAAAAUGAUGUUAUGGAAUUAAAGUAUUUUGGACUAAAAUGAUAGUGUUUUUAAAUUUCGGAUUUGGACUUAUUUGAAACUAUUUAAAUAUUUUUGCGCCAUUCUAUAAUUUCACAAAGUUUGGGCGAAGUCAUAAUUUCAAAAAGUUGUGGGAUUGAUAAAGCAUUAUUCUAAAAUUCUGAAAUUGGACCUCUUUGCAAACUUUCAUAACGUUUUGAGCCACACUAUAGUUUUAUAAAGUUUUGGGGUCAAACUAUAAAUUUAGAAAAUUUUUACUGUAGCAGUUACUGUAGCAAGCGGCUAUCCGGAUUCUGAAAAAUGAAAGUCUGGAUUUUAGGCAGAAUCUAUCCGAAUUGAAAGCGGCUAACCGGAUCCUGAUAAACGGAAAUCCGGUUGUUGGGCAGUAAGCUACUGAGCAUAAGCGGAAAUUCGGAUUUGACAAAGCGGCAAUCCGGAUGUUCAAAAAUUUAAAAUUGUGGCUGUAACGGUAACAUUAAGCGGAAUUCUGGAUGUCCAUAACCGGCAAUCCGGUUACGACCAAAAUGUGCAUAACGGCUAGUUUUUGAGCUCAAACUAUAUAAACUCAAAUCCAACUCAUUUUCAAGCUCUCCAACAAGCAAAAACAAAAAGCACACGUGAUAUCUUGAGCCUUCAAACUUGCGAAAUACAAACAUUGAAUCUUUUCUUGUUCUUCAUUUUUGAAUAUCUACUCAUUAAGUGAGUUUCAUUGUAACCUUCAUUUAUUCAUCUCAAUUGUAAGAGUUUGAGUGUGUGAGACACUUGAGUGAAGAGAUUGGGAGAUAAUCUUUUUGUUGUAAAGGUUUAUUGACACCUCGAAGUCAAUUGUAAUCGUUGAAGCCUUGGAAAGGCUUGGAUAGUGGAAUCCUCAAGCUUGGAUCGCUUGGAGGCGUGGACGUAGGCGGGGGUUGCCAAACCACGUAAAAAUUCAUGUGUUUGUUUCUCUUCUCCCUUACUCUUUAAUUAUUGUGCUUUUCUUGAACUUAUUGCUUUUAAUUUUUAUUAAGAAAUUAGAUUGCUUGUUGUGUGAAUUUGCUAGGAUAAUUUUUAAAUUUCCAAUUCACCCCCCCCCUCUUGGGUUGCACACUUAUAUUUCAAGAAGUAUUUGGAGCUUCUCCAUGAAAAACCCAAUUAUCAUAAGUGGGAUCCAUCCCACUUAUCCCUAAAUGUUCAUAUACCGUGUCUACAUGUUGACGACAAUAACAGGCACAUUUUAUGCAUGGACAUAUAAUCCUAUCAGAAUUUCCAGCAUUUUUUCUAGCCAAGUUGACAAAUUUUUGGGCUCCAUCUUGAAAUUCUUUAGUAUAUCUACAUAUAGAAAAAGUAAAAAAAAAAAAAACUUUAAAUCUAAUAGCAUAAAAUAUUUAAAUACUGCAGUUAUGAAAUAUUGUAUUCAAAUGCAAACCUAUUAAGCUUCACCCAUUUUUUAUCCAUCAACAUGACAUCAAGUGCUUGCUUGUAACCUCUUUGAUCUGUUGUUUAAAUAUAAAACAUAUUUUUUAAUUAUUUGUCUAGCAAAGAAUUAGAUUGCUCAAUCUACCAUACAUAACCAAUUCUUUUUCUUACUCUUUUUUAUUUUUUUACAAACAGUUACGAAUAAAAAUAAUCAAAAUUCUUUUUCAACCCAAAAUUGCAAAUAAGACAUCACGACUAUAUGACAUUAUUUAGCAAAAGUACUAGCUCAUAAACAAGCAUAUAUACGUAUAUGAUACAACUAAGGUUUUUAAAAGAUAAAGAUAGUCGAACAAGUUAUUUGCAUGCUAAAAAAUAAAUCAUUCAGUAUUAAGCAUAAAAGAACAAAUGAUUUCCUAUGUGACAUAUAACAAAGAAUAAUAAUAAUAAUAAUAUAAAAAUUUGAAAAGUUUGUUUACCAGAUAAAUAGAAUCCCAACCGGCAAAAGGCAAAUCUUGGCAACUUGGGUAAUCCUACAAGAAGUAAAAUAAAAUAUUUAUUUUAAUUUCACAAUUGACAAAAGGAAAAAAAUUGAAAGACAUCAAAUAGCCAUUAAUAAUUACAACGGAAAAAACUAGAAAAUAAAAAAACCAAAAUUUUAAUGCAAAAAUUACACUUUCUUUCCAACUUUUUCCUAAUUUUAUAAAUCAAAUUCAAUUUCCUCGAUCAAUGAUACCAAAUAAUGAUAGAUGCAGUCACAGUAGACUCCACUUUCGGUUUUUCACAGUAAGUUAAUUUUAUUAAAAGACUGAUUGGCAAAUGUUUGAUCACUAUCAAACAUGCCACACAUGGCGGGCCACCCUUAAAGUUGAUUCAGCAUAUUAUCAAAGCAAGUAAAUAAAACAAAUUGAAUUUUCUUUGACAAAAAAUCAUGAAAUUCAUGACCCCUCCAUUCAUAUAACUACUAAUUACCAAUAAAAUGUCAGUGAUAAGUCGGGUUAAUUCUCAUGAAUUUAGUUAUGAGGGUAGAGCCAAUUGCUUCCUUUUCCCCUUACAAAAAAUCAAGAUGCAGUUUAAGAUUAGUUUUACAUACAAAUUCAAAGGAAACAUCUAGUAAUAUAGUCUCAAAACACAACAAACAAAUAAUAUGCACAUAUACCGAAAUUUUGAAACAAAAAUUAUGCUUUUUUUUUCAAAUUUUUAAUAAAAUUAUAAUUUAAUUAAUUGAAAGAUAAAUUAGGUUAACUAGAUAACACAAUAACAGUAACACAACCAUUCAAACUUAUGUCCCAACAUAACGAUUUCCAAAUCAAAUGAAAAGAAAAUUACAUAUUAAAUAAAAGUUCUUACCUUUCCUUGUCGUUGAUGGUACAAACGGUGAUAAUAGGAAUUAAAAAGAAGAUUGAGGCCAAACCUUUGUGAAAUUGCAGAGAGGAUGAAAUACUAAGGUUAAAAGGGUAUACGAUUCCAAAUAAGAGAGGGAAAAUCUGAAAAACUAGGGCAUUUAGAAGUAUCGGUAUUCUAAAAUUAUGAGAUAAAAUUGGAAAAAAUCAAAAAUUUUUGGAAGAAUUUGAUAACAGCAGAAUCUCCAUAGAGAAUUAACGCGGGAGUGUUUUAGAAGAAGAGGGAAAUUUGCAAACUAGAGAGAAAUUAGUAAAGUGUUCCUAUUUUGUUUGUGGUAAGAUUCUCAUUUAACAGGAUAAGUCAAAGGCCAUCUUUUAUUAUUAAUUAAUAGCAAAUAUCACACGCUAUUGAAAAUUAAUUUUACCGGGAUUGAUAUUUUUAUACUAUUAAAAAUUUAUUAUCCAGAGCAAUCAACGGCAAUUUUUUAAAAAUAUGCCGUCUUAUUAUAUAUUCGAAUCUUUUAACGGUGAAUAUUUUAAUACCUUCCGUCUUUACAUAUUUUUACCCAACAUCUCCAAAUAUUACCCAACAUCUCCAAAGUAUUAAAAGAGUAAUGCCAACAUACUUUAAACAUCCAUAAUCAUUAAAUCAUAGAAUAAUUAUACAAUCCAAAAUGAGAUGUUUAAAAUACUCAAAUAAUAUCAUCGAUGUCUCUUAGCACCAUCAUGUACAUUCACUGUGCUGACUAAUAUACUUGCAAUCUCUUGUGGGAGAAAAAAUUUAAUAAAAUAGGGUAAGUAUAAACCUUAGUGAGUAUAAAAUAGUUUUCAAAAUAAAAUUUUCUUUAAAAUUACUAUGUUAUUGCAAUAUACAAACAAUUUUCAUGGACUUAUAUAUAAGACAACAUAAGUAAAAUAUUUAGAUUUUAAAUCAAUUAACUAGCUUUUAGGAAAAGAACACAAUGUCGUACAUAAUAAUCAUGAAAAUCAUCUUAAGGGGAGAAAACACACAUAUGGUUUUAAAACUUUCACUAGGCAAGUACCACGAAAAUAACUUUGUCAUACUUAGAUCUCAUAUGAGUGGUGCAAUGAGGUAUUAAAAGACAAUUUCAUGUCUGAUGCUCAACAGGUAGACCAAUAACUUAGCAUCUCAUAUAUUUAAUCAUACUGCAUGAACAAAAUAGUCUCAAAGGGCAAAAGUACACAAGCACAUGGCCCGAUGUCUUGUGUGCGCUCAAAUGAGCCCUAAAGGCUUCUAUGUCAAUUGUACCUCUGUAUUGUAUCUCUAUAAUUGUAUCUCUAUAACUAUGUCUUUAUACUAAACUUUAAACAUUCCUCAACUUUAAACUUUUCUUAAACUUAAAAGUAAUAUAUAAUAAAUGAACUAAUAUUAGAAAAAUGAGUACAUUCCCAAUACAAUAUUUCGGUAAAACUGUUUAUUUUUAAUAACUUUUUAAUCUUUUGCAAUCCUCCAAAUCACAAUUCCAAACCUAGUAAAAAACUCAACAAUUAUCAAACCUAUCCUGAAUUUCAUAAAACUGUUGGGCAAAGCAGAGGACAUAUAAGAUUAGAGGGUGCCAUGGCCUCUUCUGAAUUUGAAAAUUUUUUAAGGUUUCUAAGUAAAAUAUGAGAAGUUAGUGUAAAAUGUCUAUACUGGCCCUUGUACAAUUAAUGUAUAAAGUUUAUAUAUUAGAUCAUAUUGUAAUUUUACUGUUAAGCCCACUAAUGAUAUCAUCAAAAUAAUAAGAAACAAAUUAGACAAGCCCACUAAAUCCCAAUAAAUCACUAAUAUAUAACGAAAUAAAAAUUGAAAGUUUAAAUUUGUCUCCCCAAAAUAUUCCCCACCCCUGGUGGUGGGGCUUCCACGAAAUUUUCCAAUCAACAAAUUACUCUCCCAAAUGUGUCAUUCUCCCAGCUCACUAUCUCAAAGCUCUUUCCUAAUUCCUUCUUCUUUUCCUUUUUUAUUCUUCUUCUCCUUUUUUAUCUUCUUCAUCCCUCCCUCUUGGAAACAAAUAUUCUUCAAUAAUACCUAAACUCCAUUUUCACAUAAAGAAAAUCUCAAAUCACUUUUCUAUUUCCAUAAGUCACAAAUCACAAAUUUCUCACAAAUAAAUCCCAAAUAAGAAACGCAUUUAACAGUUAAAUUCUUCCUUUUUCCUUUAGGCUUCCCCCCCCCCCUCUUUUUCUAUUUUUUCUUCUUCCUUGUUCUCGUUUCUUCUAGCUUAAAAUCCUCCCCUAGUUUGGAGCCCCAUGGCCCCACCCAAAAUGAAGUUAAUUUUGAAUAAUUUUUGGGAAUAUGGUAGGGAAUGGGGAAAAAAUAAUCCUCAAAUUCUUAAUGGGAUAAGUUUGAUUUUAUACUCCCCACUCACCCCCACCCCAAUCCCCAUUAUUUAUGAAUAUUUUUUAAUUUUUGUUUAAUAAUUUUUGUUUUAUCAAUUUU
rnacentral:lncRNA from 1 species